rnacentral:lncRNA from 1 species
GCUGGCUCAGUUCUCUACCCAGAUCACACCCAUGUGAAUCUUCAAUUAAUGAACAUUGUAUUUUAAGAAUAAAUUUUUAUUAAAAUAAGAUGUCCAAAGUAUAUCUUAGGGUACAAAUUAAUGGCCUCACCCAUCUUUAAAUAGCUUGAAGCUUCAAAGUCAAAGUAGAAGAAAGAAAACACAUUAUUUAUUUAUUAAUUACUAUCCUCGUGCGCAUUUGUAAAAGAUAUUGAUAGUAUAAAACUAACUAAUAUUAUUCUUUCUUCAAAAUUAUGAGAUUGUUACGAGUAGCCACGCAAACAUGAGAACGUAGCCACCGAAAAGUUUGGAUCUGAAUAUUGCCCCGAGAAAAAACAUGCAGUUUGGAUCUGAAUGGCACUGACUUAUGAGGAAAAGUCAUUUCUGAAACUCAUGUCCUUGCCUUAUUCGCUUUAGAGGUGAUACAAAGCUGACCUUCACGAUUACUGCUUCAGUGAUUCAGUGACCAAAUCACAAUUUCCAUUGUGGUUUAAGACUCGAAAUGAACAGAAGAAAUACAAAUCUGAAUCACAAAGCUUUCGGUAAGUGUAAAACACAAACACACAUGAUUGAGAUAAACGCAUAAGAAAAUAAUGAGAUAGAAAUUAAUUAGAGUGUCGGACUUACAGAAGAAAAUAGGAUAUGAGGAAAGAAGGAACGUUGAUUUGGUCUCUCCAAAUUCUCAUCCUACUUGAUUCCAGUUGCUUUUCAUCGUAUCGGCCAACGCUUCCAAAAGUUCCACCCGUGCAGGCCUUAUCAAAUUUCGUAAAUCUGGUGCAGUCCACUUCACUAGUGGCAGCAAAUUUGAGAGUUUUGGGUUUGGUCCGGACGGGAUUUGCAUACACUGGAGUCACCCCACAACACUUCAACUUGUAACGUUUGCUUUUAUGGUCAACCUCCAGACGAGAGCCAUCAUGGUCAAGAUAGUAAAGGGCGAACUCCAAUUUGACAGGAGUAUGGUGGUCGCCAUCAGGAAGCCCAAUACUCCAACAGGGAUCGAAUCCAAGCAUUAGAUGAUCUGAGUCAACAGUAUCGUACAUAACCAACCAGCAAUCGUGAUUAACAAGUUUUUUUUCCAAACGGUAUCUACACACGACUUGGAAAUAUUGGGCGCUACUGGCUUCAGGAUCUUUCUCAAAGACAAUAACAGCACAAAGAGCAAAUCCUACGAAGUCUUUAUUACAACGCUGUGGCAGUUGAAUAGUUAUCGAAGAUCCUGAACGUUGAUUGAUGAACCACUCUGGAAUUUUAUUUCCAGGUACAAUGAUGCUGCUUUCAAGUGGUGUAAAAAAUUCCUGUAAAUGUGAAAAUCAUGACUCCUAAUGUAAUAGAGAAGACAAAGAGCAAAGCCUGAGCAAGAGAAAAACAAAUGCGUACCAAGUCAUAGUAUGGUCUCUGAGAUACAGCUGUUUGCCAAACCCUUAGUUGUAAAUCUCUCAAAAUUUUGCUGCGUGCUCUAUUAUUAAGUUUCAGGCAAUUGCUAAACAGAUGUACUCUGAGCAGACAUGAUGGAAGCUCUGGCAAAGAUCGAAGCCGCUUGCAAUUCCUUGCAUCUCAUCUUUCUAGACGCAGUGGAAGCUCUGGUAUUGAUUGAAGCAUAUUGCAAUUUCUCAAGUUAAGACACUUCAGCUGUGAAAUCUUACCGCAGUCUUUAGGGAUUUUCGUUAUACCACAGUCUCUUAAAUCUAGAGAUCUUACCGCAGAUAGAACUGGUAAUAAUAGAGGUAAUAGCUUGGUUUCAUUGGCUAGAGCAGACUAUAGGCGAAAUGACUUGGGCGCAAUUUAAACGGGUUUGACUACUCGAUUUGGGACAUUAGAAGAGAAUGAUGCAGUUGGCAGUCUUACCAAACUACGUCAACCAGGAACUGUUCUUGACUAUCAACGACAAUUUGAAAAGUUGGCUGAUCGGACUAGCAAUUUAACUGAGCCUUUCUUCAUUAGUUGUUUCCUCUAUGGGUUACGUGAAGAUAUCAAGGCUGGCAUACAACUAUUCAAACUUGUUACUCUCCUACAAACUUUUGAACUUGCUGUUAACAUAUAUGUUUUCAUAAUUUUGAUUUUGAUGGUAACAAACAAGAUUAAAAAUGAUUAAUCUUUUAAGCUCAAAUUAUUUUUUAUUCUUUUUAAUAAAUCAUUAUUUUCACAUUAUAAAUGUUUCAUAUUUAAUGAAAAAUGAUUUUAUGAAAUUAGUUGUUUUUCAAGUUUAUGAUUUAAUUGAAAGAAUUUUGAAAACUUUGAAAUCAACAAAUAUUGCUUGAAAUUUUGGAGGACUUAUUUGAAAAUUAUCAUAGCAUUUUGGGCUAUAUCAUAAUUUCAAAAAGUUUUGGUAUUAACAAAGAAUUAAUUAGAAAUUCUAAAAUUGGACCUAUUUGGAAAGUUUCAUAACGUUUUGGGCCGUAAUACAGUUUUAUAAAGUUUUGAGGUCAAACUGUAAUAUCAGAAAAUAGUGCAUUGUACAGGUUACUGUAGCAAGCGGCUUACCGGAUGUGAAAAACCGACAAGCCGGAUGUUGGGCAGAAUGUAUCCGAAUUGAAAGCGGCUUUACCGAAUAUGGUAAACGGCAAACCGGAUAUUGGGCAGUAAGCUUCUGGAGCGUAAACGGCUUACCGGAUUUCGCAAGUGGCAAGCUGGAUAUUUUGAAAUUCAAAAUUUUACCUUAACGGUAACAUAAAAGCGGUUUACCGGAUAUGGUAAACGGCAAGCCAGUUACGACCAAAAUGUGCAUAACGGCUAGUUUUUUAGCUCAAACUAUAUAAACUCAAAACAAAUUCAUUUUUGGUAAUCCAAGCAAGCAUCAACAAGUGCACACAACUUAUAUUGAGUUUCAAAUUCGAAAAUCAUCAUAAAUUAAAUCUUCAUUGUACUAUCAUUUGUAUAUCCACUCUUAAAGAGAGUUUCAUUGUUGUAUUUUUCGUUUCUCAUCAAAUUGUGAGUGUACAAGUGUGAGAAACACUUGGGGUGAAGAGAUUAGAGAGAUAAUCUCUUGUUGUAAAGGUUCAUUACACCUUGAAGUCAAUUGUAAAUGUUUGAAGCCUUGGAAAGGCUCGGAUAGUGAAAUCCCCAAGCCCAGUGUGCUUGGAGGCGUGGACGUAGGCAGGGAUUGCCGUACCACGUAAAAAUCCUUGAGUCUGCUUUCUCUUCCCUUGCUCAUUUAUUAUUGUACUUUCAUUGAAUUUAUUAUUUUCGAAUUUAUUAAGGCAUUAGAUUAAAUUGUUGUGUGGUUUGCUUAGCUUAAUUUUUAAAACCCAAUUCACCCCCCCUCUUGGGUUGCCUAGUUAGUAUUUCACUUGCUAGAUUUCAGGAAAAGGCAAUUACUUUACAAGGCAAUUGUUCCCCUAUUCCUACCAUCCAAGAUCCACUCCAACAAUUACAGUCAACUCCUACUCCACCAGCACCCUCUUUAUUAGGACCGGUUCCCUCUAUCGUACCUAAUAAUGUCAAACGUUUAUCCUCAGCUGAGCAGGUGGAAAGACGUUCUAAAGGGCUUUGUUUCAACUGUGACGAGCAAUUCAAGCCUAGACAUCGCUGCAAACAAUCUCAACUAUUGCUUUUAGACGCUGAUAUACCUCUUUACAACCCUCCAAAACCACCUGACCAUCAUAUGGAUUGAAAGAUUUCGGUUAUUGAGACUGGGUAAAAGGCUUGCGAACAAGCCUCUUUUAAGGGGUUGGAAAUGUUAGGACCCUAAUAGUUUAUUUUAUUUUAUUUUAAUUGCUUGUUUUAAUUUCUUUGCUAUUAGUAUUAGGUUUUCUUAUUUUAAUUAAAGUCCUUAUUAAAUUACAAUUAGGAUUGUCUUGAACUACUAUAAAUAAUUGGUUCUUAUUAUGUUUUUAGGAGGCAAGUAAUAAAAUUAAUUCUAAUUCCUAUUAAUUCUUCUCCCUUCUCUUUAAAUUCUUCAUCUAUUCUCUCUUAAUUCUCUAAUCAAAACCCUAGAAUCCUAUCAGACAUUCAAUCCAUAAUGCGCAAAACUUGAAUCGUCUAUCAUCUUUAACACAGAAUCUUUAUCCUGCCCAUUGAAAAAACAUGAAAUGUCUAGAAACAAACUCUUUUCUUCCGCCUUUAUUUCAUUAUAACUGAUUUUCAGCACAUCGUAGAUAUCAGGGUCGGAAAUCCGUUUUAAGUUAUCCAGUGCAUUUUCCCAAUCUAGCUUGCUCUUCUGACGAAGGAAAGAACCCAACACUCUCACUGCUAACGGAUUGCCAUUGGCAUAAUCUAGUAUACGCUUUGAGUGCACCAAGAGAUCUUCAGGGCAAUGGUUUUCUUUAAAGGCACAACUACAGAAGAGCUCGAGAGCUUCACGAUAUUUCAAUCCAUUAACCUUAUAUAUAUUACCAACUCCAAAAUUAUCAAGAACUCGUCUAUCUCUAGUGGUUACAAUGAUUCGACUACCCAGACCAAAUCGUUCAAGCCCCCCAAUUAAAUAUUCCAACUGACCAACUUUAUUAACAUCAUCGAGAACUAUAAGCACCUUUGUCCGUUGGAGCCUUUCGCGAACAUAUUCAGGAAGAUUGGGAGUUCUUAUUCUGAAAUUUUCUUCAAAUACUUCAGAAAGAACUUGGUCUCGUAGAUGUAACAAUCCACCUCCUUUCUCUGAUUCUUCCCUCACAUUCACCAAGAAGCACUUGCUUUCAAAUUCCUUAGAAAUUUGGUUGAAAAUAACGCCAGCAAUGGUUGUUUUACCUAUACCGCCCAUACCCCAAAUUCCUACAAUUUUGAAAUCCAAACGUCCGAGGCAUAACAAUGAUUUAAUUUUCUCAAUUUGUGAAUUUAAUCCAACUAGGCCAUUGGGGUAGGUAGAGACUGUAAUGUUUUCUACUUUCUUCAAAAUAUCUUUAACAACUACAUCUAGCAGGUGUGCCUCAGACCUAGCAAGUGCAAAUAUGAAGAGCAAUGACUCAAAUUGGACCAAGUUCGAAACGGAGAAAAUAAACAUAAACAUCAACAGUUCCUUCAUAUUUCCAAUUUCUUAUUAAUCUUAGAUACUAAAGGGUAAAUAAAGGCUACCUGAUUUCCUUGGAAGCCCAUCCCGAGAGAUUGGAUGCUUCUGUCAACGCAUGCCUCCACUUCUGAACCUUUUCUGGCGUCUUCUUGAGCUGUCGUUUCUCAUGCUUAGAGAAGGCAUCCCCGAAACUUCCGGUUUGCUUCCGCACAUCAGAUGGAUCUACAUGGUAAAAAACAGGCACAACCAUUUGGCCAUUCAUUUGACGGCAUUCAAGAACUUUGACAAGUUCAUCCAAGCACCAUUUCGAAGAAGCGUAGUCCUUCGAGAAAAUGAUAACUGAAAUCUUUGAUGCUUCGAUUGCUCUCAAAAGGGCAGGCGAAAUCUCGUCUCUCUCUUAAGUUGUUCAUCAUCAAUGAAGGCUUUAAUUUUCUCUCGAUACAAAGCAGCAUGAAGAUGGCUAGUAAAGUUAUCGCGGGUAUCCUCCCCUCUGAAACUGAGGAAGACAUCAUAAUUGCUAUGAGAAGUUAGACGAGAAGAAGAGGUAGAAGAAGAUGAAGCCAUAACGGAAGUUUUCUACUCUUUGGGACAGAAACAGAGUGCAAUAAAUAUGCAGCUGUGCAUAUUUAUUGAGAAUGUAUUAACAAAGUGCAGUAAAUAUGCAGCUGUGCAUGUGCAUGUGCAUGGAGCUUUCUUUUCUUAACUUGUUUUUAUUUUUUAUUUUUUUUAAACAUAUUGUUGACUUUCUGUCUCGGUUCGAGAAGGUUUCCUGUGACUUCUUGGAGCUUUCUUGGUACUCAUUAUGAUUACUUUUUAGUUUAAGGAGGAUCCUUCAAUCUAGCAGCUCUGACUUUCUGUGGCCGAACAUCUAGAAACUAUAAAAGCAAUUUAUUAUAAAAUUAGAUGUUGAAGAUGCACCAAGAAUAAUGCAACUUCCUUUAAUUAAAACUUAAGCCCUUGCAACCUUGCUAAAGAAUAAAUAUUUAGAAAAUUGAAGUUGAAAUCCAUUAAUAUUUUUUUUUCUCUUUUGGUCCCCUUAACAAUUUGGAGAAGACCGAAAAUAUCCUUCAAGACAUCAAAUUUUCCCAAUGAGGCAUGGAGAUGAAGGUGAACCCAUGAGACAGAUCUUUAAUCUUGUGAUAAGUUCUAAUGUCAUGUUUAUACUUUAAAAGUUCGUAUGUCAAAUGAUGUGCAUUACUACAAACAAACACGUGUUAAUUAUUUUAUUAUCUCACAGCCAUCGAAUAAAUUGUAUGAUUGAUGUACAACUUUGUAGGUGCACCUCUGUUAUGAACAACACGGUUUCUCAGGUGUAGAUGUAAAACCAAAUCAAUUUAUAUAUUUUCAACAUCAAUCCCUUAUUGGAUGGAUCUUGCAUUUUCAAGACCAGAUCAUAAGCAUUGUUGAAAGUGAAUCAGAAGCAGACUUAAAACGCAGCGUUUUGCUGUUGUUAGUUUACCAGUUUCAUCACUUAAGUCCCACGUGCAUCACUUAAAUUGACUAAGGUCACAAGCAAGGGGACAAGGCUACGUUGCAGACUCUGUAUGUAACAGCUCAGUGCAAACUGGCCUUGUAUCAGCUGAGUUCCAACAGCUUUUCCUCUCUCCUACAACGCGUGGAUGCUCCCCAUUUGCUAUGUUACAUACAGAGUCUGUAACAUAGCAAGCACCCAAGCAAGGCUGUCAAGCCGUUAUUUUUUACGGGAAGCGACAAAGAGCUCGGUUAGGCUGGCGGCUGCACCAUUUUCUGGAGAGAGACAAUUGGUGGGGGGUUUUUUUCUUCAAGUUUGUACUCAGUGGUAUUAAACACAAUUUUUGUGCCUUGCAUUAAAAAAAUCGGCAGAGAAAUUGACUUGUUUAUGGGAUGGGAUUAAGUCAUAUCGGGUGACUGAAUCAUCACAAAUUCUGUUUUGUCGAUUGUUCUGGUUUAAUCUGUUUUGCAAUGUCUUUGAGUCUUUCAACUGUGUUCAUAUUCUUGAUCUUGAGGGGGGUUUCUUUUGCAGAGAUUAAGGAUAAUAAGAAAAAACCUUGAAUGAAAUGCUUCCCUGAUAAAAAUGUAAACUAGAUUCGCUUAUAGCUGUGAACCAAGAAAAUGACUCAAGCAUACAGAAAGAACUAAUUUUUCCCCGGCAUAAAACAUUCUCUAUUAUUCAUUGACAUUGAUAGUACAAUGAGCAGAGAUGAAGUAUUUUUCUACAUCCAGCAUCGACAGCUGGUAGUUGAUCAAACAUCAUUACAAAACUGACAGUUUGUCUUAUUGUUCAUGAAUCAGGAGUCAUCAAUCCUUCAGUCCUCAUCACCGAGGUGUCCUGAAUGUUCUUGCUCAACAAGCCAACCAGGGAACUUAUUGCUGACCCUUUGAUUCAUUAUUGAUCUCGAUUCUCUGAUUGCUCUAGAAUUCAAAUGUGAUGUAUCCCAAAAUGCUUCACUGAGCAUUCCGUCGAACAUAAUCUGAAAACCAACAAACACCUUCUCAUUUUAACUAUUCUACAAGAUGCUGCUCUGUUCAGCUCUGCCAGAAGAUCAUCCGUGUUUACAACUGCUCUCAUGGUAUAGAAAUACAAAUGCCAUAAAGAUAUCGUCAGUGUACAUAUGUCCUAAAAGCCCAGCCAUCUUGCAAGCCAAAAAAAAGGGGUAAUGUGGUCAUACUUAUCAAGCAUGAAUUAAAUUCCAUUCAAAAUUGUCCUAUUUUAUGCCUUGGAAGGCACAGAACCAUAAGCAUUUGGAGGUUUCUAAUGGUCUCAUAAAGUACACAAACCAAAAUUACAAAGAAAACUAUCUACAAAAAUUGAAUGACAACCAAAAAUAUAAAGAAAACCCUAUAAACAAAUGCCAAUUUUCCAUAGUCCAUGAACGUGAUGCUACAUAGUUUCACUACAGUAUACUCAAAUAUGCAUCAGAAAGUUAAGGUAGUACUGGAUCAUGGAAAUAAGGAAAGACUAGGCAUCUUUUGGUGAAAAAAGAUGGUGCAGCAGCAACUUAUAACCCAAGACAUUAUAAAGCAGUUUGGUUUAAGCUAUUUCUGGAAAAAAUUUGCAGAAAUGCAAAAAAUAAAAAUUAGAUAAUCGAUUAAAAGUAAUCCCAUAAAAUAAUGAUAAAGAAACAGAAAUUGAUGGGAGCAUAGAACUUACACAAGAAACCAUAAUAUGAGAAACUAACUCUUUUGUUAAUCAGCAUUGACUUGAUCUCUGCGAAUUCUCUUGGAACUUGGUUCCGGUUCCCCUUCGUCAGAUCUGCCAACACAUGUAGAAGGUUUACUUGUGCCAGCAGGCAUCUUAUCAUGACUGCAUUCUUCUUUAGUAGUGGCAGCAAAUUUCAAAGUACAAGUGUUGGGUUUUGUCUUAUUGGGACUCAAAUAUACUGGACACACACCACAACUUUUCAAGCUGUACCGUCCGUAUGGUAAUCCAUCAUUUUUAUCUACAAUGUCGAAGUCAAAUGAGACAACUCCAGGGCGUUGACCAUCAGCAUCAUGUAGCCCAAGAUUCCAACAGGGGUAAAAACCAAGUAUGACGUGAUCCGAGUCAAUGGAGACGUCAGGGCCAAAACGCAAUUGAUGUUCGGUUUCAGAGCGUGUCCUUAUUUUAAAUCUGUAGCGACAUAGGACUUCCAUUUCACCUUCCCCAAUGACAACACAAAAAGCAAAUCCGAUGAAGUUUCUUUCUAUGUUAGAACAUUGCUGUGGCCAUCCAAGUGCUAUUGAAGAUCCUAAACUUCGAUGAAUAAACCAAUCAGGAAUUUCACUUCCAGGUAAACAAAGGGUGACUUCAACUGCAUGAGCAAAUUCCUCAUCUGAAUCCCAAAGGACUUGUUGACAUAGUUUCAGAGAUUGAACUAUCAUAUCCUGCAUUCUCUCCUUUGAAUCUGCCAGAAUUUUGAUGUUUCUGUUUUCAUUCAGUUUGAGGCAGUUGCUAAAAUUGAAGUUCGUAGAUACCCUGGAACUUUGUUUUAAGGGCACGGGGAGUAUUUCCAUUAUGGAUCUAUCUAAUUCUUGUGGCCAUGAAGGAAGCUUUGGCAAAGAUUGAAGCCUCUUGCAAUUGCUUGCUGUUAACAUCUCUAGAAACAAUGGAAGCUCUGAUAAUGACUGAAGCAUUUUGCAAUUUCCCAAGUGAAGGUAUCUCAGCUCUGGUAAUGACGGAACAUUUUCUAUUGCAGUCUCCCGUAAGUCUAGUUUUCUUAGAUUUGGGAUUUCAGAUGGUUGUGGGAUCCUGGUGAGAAAUUGGGAGUUGCGUAGGUCGACAAAUUUUAAAUUGAGAGCCUCCUGUUAAAAAAAGGUAAUUACUAUGUUAAAUUACUAUGCAUCAAUAAAAUUGUCAAUUAAUUAAAUAAAUGUAAAGAAAGAAAAAGUUGGUAAUAGUAAUACAACAUACCUUUUCUCCUUCCCAAAUUUGCUGAACUUUGCUAUAAGGCAAAUUCAGUUCAAUAAGAUACUCUGGCUCAAAAUAAAAUGGCAGUGUUUUUAAAGGAUAUCCAUGCCAAUGGAGAUAUCUCAAUUUCGCAGGAAGAUAUUUAAGAACUCGAUCAAGAAGCACUCUAAAACUCAUAGUUGAAAGAUCACAAUGCUCUGGAAUGUAGAAUUUAAGCCAUUUGAGAUUUGACAUAUUUUCAAAGGCUUCAAAAUCCAAACGUAUCUCCUUUGUUUUGGACAAAUCAAGGAAUAUGCCCUCAAUUGCAUCAGUACCCUUUUAAACAAAGCAAAGAAUGACUGAAUGAGUAAGCAUAAAUUCUACAAAAACUUUUGAAAAGUUGAUUAAGUGCUUCCUAAUUGAAGAAUAAAAUGCACAUAAAAUCUACAAUUAUUAAAGUAUAGGUCAUAUAAAAUCUACAAUUAUUAGAGUAUAGGUCAUUUUACUUGGUUCUUAGUGCCAAAACAUUUAAGCAUUAGCCGGGGGAAAUAAUAAAGUGAUAAAUAAAAUUAACACUUAACAGAACCGUUAUAACAUCAAGGGGAUUAGAAUGAAAUUUUAAAAUAGGAUGGGGGUUUUGUUCGAUUAGUUAUUUGCUUUCUCUAUGUAGAAAGGGGUGAGCUCUUUUUGACCCUAAAAAACUGACCAAGGCUUUUAAGUAAAAGUUUCAAACAAAAUGAGAGGAUAGCGAAUGGGAUUAUAUUUUAUAUUAUUUAGGGGUUUACGUUGUUUUGUUCGUACAAAUAACUUAGACUAAGGAUGUAUAGAGAGAAAAAUUAUGUCAAAUAAGUUGAUCCGUACCUUAUUUUUUGUUAGCACGUCAUAGACAUCUUCGUGAUCCCAUAGCCUGCUCCGUUUGCCUGGUUCUUCAGAUUCUUCGCGAACAAUCGUUUGACCCAUUUCUUGCAAUAAAUCAUGCAUUUGCAACCUCUUAUACGAUAUUGUAAUGAGUGACUUGUCAGCAAGGAAUUCCAGUUCAUAGCGCAGAGACGUAGGCUUGUCUUGUAUCCUUGUCACAUUGUCCACUUGUUCUCCUUUGAAGAAACAUGCAAUGUCAAGAAAUAUUUUCCUAUGUUUGGGACUUAGCUCAUCAUAACUGAUUUUCAGCACCUUAUAAAUUCUAGGUUCAGAAAUCAGUGUCAAGUCAUGCAAUUUAUUGUACCAUUGUUCUUUGCUCUUUUGUCUCAGGGAAGAACCCAAUACUUCAAGAGCUAACGGAUUGCCAUCAGCAUAACAUGCUACUUUCUUUGAGAGCUCCAGAAGAUCAUCAGAGCGGUUUUUUCGACUUAAAGCUUUUCUACAAAAGAGCUCACAAGCUUUAUCGUGUUCCAAUCCCUUGACCUUGUACACAAUACUAUUGACUCCAAGUACUCCUCUAUUUCUAGUGGUUAUAAUAAUUCUACUUCCAGGUCCAUAUAGAUUUAGCUGUCCAACUAAACUCUCUAAUUCUUGGAUGAAGUUGUCAUCAACAUCAUCAAGAACGAUCAGCACUUUACUCCGCCGAAGCCUUUUCCAUAUAUAUGAGUUGAUAGUAAGAGUUCCUAUUUUGAGAUUACUUUCUCCUAAUACUCGAGAAAUGGCCUCAUCUCUAACAUAAAGUGCUCCCAUUUUUCUUGAUUCUUCUCUGACGUUUCUCAUGAAGCACUUGCCGUCAAAGUGGUUUGAAUAUUCUCUAGAAGAAAUUUGGUGGAAAACAGCUUCAGCAAUGGCUGUUUUGCCAAUACCGCCCAUGCCCCAGAUUCCUACGAUUCGAACAUCAUCCAAUUCCAGACACAGCAGCGAUUUGAUUCUCUCAAUUUGUGAAUUGAAUCCGACGUAGCCAUCAAAAUUAGGUGGGUCUGCCAAGUCUUCCAAUUUCUUAGAAAUAUCUUCAGCAAUCUUUUCCACAAGUUCCGCAUCAUUCCUAGCAAGUGUUGUUCAAGAUAUAAAUACAAUGAUGAUGAAUCAAAACAGACCAAGCUAGGCCUAUAAAGCAUUAAUGUUCUUUCUUUCAUUGAUAAAACAAAAGGAAGAGUUAAAAGAGUUACCUGAAUGACCUGGAAUCAUGAAAUCCAGAUAUAUUUGAAGCUUGGAUCAAUGAAUCCCUCCAUUUCUGAACCCGGACCUCACCUGGAAAGUUCCUUUCGUGGUGAACAAAAGCUUCUCCAAAACUCCCCAUCUGCUUUCGCACAUCAGAUGGAUCUACUUUGUAGAAAACCGGUACCACAAUUUGGCCAUUCCUCUUCUUGCAAUCAAGAAUCCUGACAAGUUCAUCGAGGCACCAUGUUGAAGAAGCAUAGUUUUUUGAGAAGAUGAUUAUCGAAAUAUCUGAUGUUUCGAUUGCAUUCAAAAGGGCAGGCGAGAUCUCUUCUCCUCUCUGAAGUUCUUCAUCAUCUAUGAAGAACUGUAUUUGUUUCCGACGUAAAGCUUCAACUACAUGGCUGGUGAAGCCCGUACGAGUAUCCUCCCCGCGGAAACUGAGGAAGACAUCAAAUUUGCUUUGAGCAUUGAGGUUAGUAGAAGAUGAAGCCAUGGAUGAAGAAACAGAGCUUCAAGGUAGAUGAUGGAUCGGGUCAAUAUGCUUUAUUAUUAUUAUUCAGAGUAAGAAGACCAUAAAGAAAAAGCGAAGUCAGAAAUAAUGAGCGUGCAGUAGCCAGUAGCAUUGCUCUUUGUCGCGCGUGUAAAUAUUAUAAUCAACACCCCUAAGAUUUUUCCAUUUGAAAGAGAUAAUGAGAGUGAAUCGGCCUGGUCUUAUAUUUACUGGAGCGAGUCAGCAUUUCUCAUAGCAAAGCCAUCAAUUGGAUUAUGCAACCAUAUUUUAACUGAAUUAUAUAUAAGGCAGAGCUAUAAAUGUGGGAUAAAAGGUUUGAAUUUCUAAUCGCAUUUGUUCUGAUAGAGCUUGAAUAUCUAAAUUCAUCACAACUUUUCAUCUUCUAUUUCUAAUGAACAUAACUUUACGAUUCUCCGGAUUCAUUGAAUCAAAGAGAUACAACCAUUACAAAGCAGAGUUUUUUUUCUUUUGUGUGUGUGUGUGGGGGUCCCCCCGUUCCUCCCCUUCUUUCCCCCCUUUUCUCCCCUUUUCUUUCUCUCCUCCCCCCUUUUUUUUUUCGGGGGGGGGGGGGGUUGAAUUGGGGGAAUUACUGCCUCCCCCCACACCACCCCUCCUUCUCCCUUUCCCCUUCGUCUUUCUUAACAAGCUUAUACACAGGUAAAAAACAGUAAUUUGCUGAGCUGCCAAAAUGACAGCUUGAUUCAACCAUUUUCGCACAGUAAGAAAAAGCCUUCAAUAGAUUGCUUCUGAAGCACUUCUGCGCCACCAAGGGCUGUCAUUGCGUAUAAACCCAAUGACAAAUGCUGUCAAGCCACCGGCAAUCAGAUUCUUGGUUGAAUAAAAGAAGUUGAAUUCAAAAUCAGGACAGAAUGGCACUGCUUUAUCGGAAACAAAGAGGGAAUAUGAGAAGACGUAAUAUCCCCGACAACAUAUAUCCAAAAAUUAUAAGGAAACAAGAAUUGUUAAUGCAGUAACUUCACAGAUAUGUAAAUGCAAAUAACACUUUUCUGCAGUUUUAUAUCUGCAUAUCUCUCAAAAGCCCAAAAAGCAAGAAAUAUGUUUUCGAAUCUGUAGCACCAAGUGAGGGAUUAUUCUUUGUUCACUCUUUAUAAUGAAAACAAUAACAGAAGAUCAAAGUAAACUGAGUCAAAAUAAAACAACAUUCAAACACAAAACUCGACACAUACAGAUGCACAAAACUCCCAAGUAAUUAAAGAGAACAAUAAAGACAUUACUGCUGGCAAAUAUAGCCACAACUUAUUAAAUUUUAAGUUUAGUCACAACACCGAACAUCUUCAUUGAUUUGGAAAGAUGUUAUCAGAGUGAUUCCUUCAAGCACAGAAGGGGUAUCUUCAUCUUCAUGAAAUAAAUUGCGGGUAUUAACUAAAUUGACAGAAAGCUGAACUUCUACAUUACUUCUUCUGAGACUAAAUCCAAAUUUAAUGAAAACAAUAACAGAAGAUCAAAGUAAACUGAGUCAAAAUAAAACAACAUUCAAACACAAAACUCGACACAUACAGAGCGAGGAAAAAAAAAAGAAUAUAGCAAUGAAGUAAAUAUUAUAUUUGGACAUAAAAUCAUUGAUUCCAAUAAUUAUACAUAUAAUAUAAUAAGCCGGAAAUAGUGAGGAGAAAACAAAUAAAAUAGAUGUUAUCAGAGUGAUUCCUUAAAGCACAGAAGGGGCAUCUUCAUCUCCAUGAAAUAAAUUGCGGGUAUUAACUAAAUUGACAGAAAGCUGAACUUCUACAUUACUUCUUCUGAGACUAAAUCCAAAUUUCAAAUGUGGUACAAGACUCGAAAUGAACAAAACUACAAAAGAGAUACAAAUCCGAAUCACAAUAUUUACAGUCAAGUGUUAAAAAAAUUAGAUUAAGACAAAAGCACAAGAAAAUAAUGAAAUAGAAAUGAAUUAGAGCAUGGACUUACAGAAGGAAUGUUGAAUUGUCUCUGCAAAUUCACAUUUGAAUCAAGCCGAUUUCAUCAGGCAUAUCAAAUCCUGUAGAUGUUUCAGUUGUGAUUGCCUUACUUGCUUUCAAUUUUGCUUGCCUUAUCAUCCAAUUUCCCAAUUUCGGCAGUAAAUUUUAGAGUCAAAUUUUUGGGUUCGGUCUUGUUGGGAUCUGCAUAUACUGGACUCACCCCACAACAUUUCACCUUAGCAGGGAAGAAAUCAACCAAGACAGUUGUGUUGUGAUUACCCCCACCCACGGGAAACCCACCUAUCCCCAAGGGACUAAAUCCAAGUAUGACAUGAUCUGAAUCAAUGGCGUCGCGAAUACUAGCCAAAAAGCAAUUGAAUGACAAAUCUUCGGGUUUAUUCAUUUUAAUGUAGAUUCCACAGUUGAUGUUGAAAGAAUCCCAACUAUUAGAAGGAAGAUGCUUAAAAUCAAUAACAGCACAAAGGGCAAACCCAAUUAAGUUGAUUAAACAAUGCUCCGGCAGUUGAAGAGCUAUUAAAGGUCCAAUAUUUUGAAAUGCGAACCACUUAGGAAUUUCGCUCCCAGGUAACAGUAUGCUGGGACAAUAGAGUUGUUCCUGUAAAAUGAGAAUCACGAUUUCAGAUGUAUCGAAAAGGGAGAGAGGAGAUUCAGAAAGAAAGAGAGAAAUGAAUAAUGAAUACCUUUUCAUAAAAUAGUCUCAAUGAUGCAAUUGCCAUAUGCUGAAUUCUUAGCUCUGAAUCUUCCAAAAUCUUGUUCUCUUUUAGUUCCCAGCAAUUCUGAAAUUCAAACUGCAUUAAAGAGCAACCAUGCUUAAUAGGAAAUGUAGUUUUGGAUAACUUUUCGAGUAUGGAUAUAUCUAGUUCUUCUAGACAUGAUGAAAUCUCUGGCAAAGAUUGGAGCCGCUUGCAAUUACUUGCAUCUAAAUGACUUAGUAACAGUGGAAGCUCUGGUAAUGACUGAAGCAUAUUGCAAUUUCUCAAGUAAAGAUAUCUCAGCUGUGAAAAUUGCUUGAUGGUUGCAGGUAACCUCUCCAACUCACUUCCACUUAGAUUUAUUCUCUCAAGAUUUGGGAUUUCUGAAAAUUCUGGCAAUCUGGUGAGAUAUCGUGAAUUAUAGAGGUUGAUAAAUUUUAACUUGAAAGCCUUCUGUAACAAAAGAUAAACAGUCACUAGAACGAAUUAGUAUAAUUUAAGGAUUCCACAAUUAACCAUAUAACUUUAAAGAAAGAAAAAUAAAUAGUUAUGUAUUUGUAUAUCAGACCUUUUCUCCUAUCCAGAUUUGUUCAACUUUACUGUAAGGCAAGUUGAGCUCAAUUAGGUAAUUGGGUUCGAAAGAAAAUGGCAGUGUUUUCAAAGGAUAUUCAUGCCAAUGGAGAUAUCUCAAUUUCUUGGGAAGAUAUUCAAGAUCUUGGUUAAGAUGUAAUUUAGAGCUCAUAAUUGGAACACCAUUACACUCUGGCAUAUAGAACUUAAGCAAUGUGAGACUUGACAUAUUUGCAAAUGCUUGAGGACUUAGAUGAAGGUAGUUUAUUUUGGACAAAUCAAAGAAUAUGCCCUCAAUUGCAUCCGUCCCCUACAAAAAAAGAAAUAAUAAUAAAAUAAUUAAAAAAAUGAGCAAGCAUAAAAUCUACAAAAUAAAAUCUUUUGAAAAAUAGAUUAAGUGUUUCCUAUAUAAUUGAAUAUAUACAACGUGCAUUUUUUUUUAAUUAAUACAACAUCUAUAUAUUAAAAAAAAAAAAGUGUGCGGUUAUUCUAGUGAUCAUCCUCUCUUCUCCAUUACAGUCUUUUUCAUUUUACUUUCCCCUAAAAGUUAAAAGUUGAGAAGAUAACAGUUAAACAAAUUCCAUCAUUAAAUAAUCUAACAUUUGGUGAUUGCAAUGAUGCUCUCAUUUAAUAGUGUAUAUAGAAGCCAAAAUGUUUAUUUGCUGAAAAAACUACCCAAGGUUUUAAAUGAAAUGAUAUUAUAGUGAAUGGGUGUGAAAAAAAAAUGUUUUGCCCCUAUAGUAAAACAUCCACUAACAUUAAAAAAAAAAUAAUGUUGCAUAUAGCCUCACGUACAAAAUGUCAAAUAAAUAGAUUCUUACCUUAUUUUUCUUUAGCACUUGAUAGACAUCCUUGUGAUCCCAUAAUUUGCUACGUUUGCCUGGUUCUUUGAAAGAUUCUUGAAGAAUAAUUGUCUUACCUAAUUCUUGCAAUAUAUCAUGCAUUUGCAGCCGGUUGGCAGAAAUUGUAAUGAGUGACAUCUCAACCAGAGUGUUCAGUCCAUUGUGCAUUGAUGUAGGAUCAUCUUGUACCCUUGUCACAAAGUCUACAUCCUCUCCUUUGAAGAAACAUGCGACAUCAAGAAAUAUUUCCUUCUCUUCCCAAUUUAGUCCGUCAUAACUGAUUUUCAGCACCUUAUAAAUAUUAGGAUCUGUAAUCAAUUUCAACUUACGCAAUUUAUCUUUCCACUGUUCUUUGCUCUUUUGAUAAAGAGAAGAACCCAAAACUUGAAGAGCUAAUGGAUUGCCAUUGGCAUAAUGCGCUACCUCCUCUGAGAGCUCCAGGAGAUCAGGAGAGCGAUUGUUUUGUCUAAAGGCUUUUCUACAAAAGAGCUCAAGUGCAGAAUUGUGUUUCAAUCCCUUAACUUCAUAUACGUUUUCUACUCUACGUUUAUCGAGUAGCCGUUUAUCUCUAGUAGUUAUAAUGAUUCUACUUCCAGGGCUAAAUAGCUCUAACCCCCCAGCAAAAUUUUUAGAGUUAUCAUCGACAUCAUCAAGAACGAUCAGCACUUUCCUCUGUUGGAGCCUUUUCUUGAUAUUUGGGGUUAUAGUGGGAGUUCCUAUUUUUAUAUUUUCUCCCAUUACUUGAGAAAUAACCUCAUCUCGAACAUGCAUUACUCCCAUUUUGCUUGAUUCUUCUCCGACGUUUUUCAUGAAGCACUUGCCUUGAAAAUCCCCAGAAAUUUGGUGGAAAAUAACACUAGCAAUGGUUGUUUUACCGAUUCCGCCCAUGCCCCAAAUUCCUACAAUUCGAACAUCACCCAAUUCGAGACAUAGAAGUGAUUUAAUUUUCUCGAUUCGCGAAUUUAAUCCAACGAAGCCACUUAAAUCAGUUGAAUCUGACAUAUCUUCCACUUUCUUGGAAAUAUCUUGAGCAAUCUUUUCCACAUGUCCCGCCUCAUUCCUAGCAAGUGUUGUUCAAGAUAUCAAUACAAUGAUGAUGGGUCAAAACAAACCAAGCUAGGCUAUAAAGCAUCAAUUUUCUUUUCAUUUUCUACCUAAGACUGUAAAUGACUAUUGAUUUAAAAAAAAAAAAAAUUUAUUUCACUGUGUUCAGUUAAGGGUUACCUGGAUUCCGUGACAACAAAUGCAGAAAUCGUUGAUGCUUUGAUCAGUGCAUCCCUCCAUUUCUGAACCUUAUCUGGGAAGUUCCUUUCAUGGCGAACAAAAGCUUCUGCAAAACUGCCCUUCUGUUCGAGCACAUCAAAUGGAUCUACUCGGUAGAAAACUGGUACCACAAUUUGACCAUUAUUCUUUUCCAAGCAAUCAAGAAUCUUGACAAGCUCAUCGAGGCACCAUUUGGAAGAAGCAUAGUCUUCUGAGAAGAUAAUUAUCAAAAUUAAUGAUGUUUCGAUUGCAUCCGAAACAGCAGGCGAAAUCUCAUUUCCUUUUUCAACUUCCUUUUCAUCAGCAAUGAACAAUUCUAUUUGUUUACGACGUAAAGCUGCAGCUAGAUGGCUCCUAAUGCCAGUACGAGUAUCCUCCCCUCCAAAACUGAGGAACGCAUCAUACUUGCAUUUAGCAGUAAAGCUAGAAGAUAAACAAGAAGAUGAAGCCAUGGACGAAGGGAAAUUAGGUGGGUCUGCCAUGUCUUCCAAUUUCUUAGAAAUAUCUUCGGCAAUCUUUUCCACAAGUUCCGCAUCAUUCCUAGCAAGUGUUGCUCAAGAUAUAAAUACAACGAUGAUGAGUCGAAACAGAACAAGCUAGGCCUAUAAAGCAUUAAUGUUCUUUCUUCCAUUGAUGAAAACAAAAUGAAGAGCUAAAGAGUUACCUGAAUGACCUGGAAUCAUGGAAUCCAGAUAUAUUUGAAGCUUGGGUCAAUGAAUCCCUCCAUUUCUGAACCCGGACCUUAUCCGAAAAGUUCCUUUCAUGGUGAACGAAAGCUUUUCUGAAACUCCCCCUCUGUUUUCGCACAUCAGAUGGAUCUACUUUGUAGAAAACCGGUACCACGGUUUGACCAUUCCGUUUCUUGCAAUCAAGAAUCCUGACAAGUUCAUCGAGGCACCAUGUUGAAUAAGCAUAGUUUUUUGAGAAGAUAAUUACGGAAACAACUGAUGCUUCGAUUGCCUUCGAAACGGCAGGCGAAAUCUCAUCUCCUUUCUGAAGUUCUUCUUCAUCAUCAAUGAACAAUUUUAUUUGUUUACGACGCAAAGCUGCGGCUAGAUGGUCCCUAAUGCCCGUACCAGUAUCCUUGCCUCGGAAACUGAGGAAGACAUCAUACUUGCUUUUACCAGUAAAGCCAGAAGAUAAAGAAGAAGCUGAAGCCAUGGACCAAGGAAAAUCUUCAGAUUUUAGAAAACGAAACAGAGAUUCUUUUUUUGGAUACAAGAUGUAAUAAUCAAAAUAGUUUUGAAGUAAAUAUAAUAAUAUCAAUUAGAUACUUGUAACUCACUACUUUUUUUUUUGUGGGUGUGGUUGGAGGAGAUGAGUAUUGAGUCCAAUUUUCAUAGACGACAUAAACUUGGAAUAAUUAUUAAUUAUAUAGUUGGAUUAUUGACAUGAUGUUGAUAUAUAAUCCUCUGGCUUAUCACAAAUGACAGGAAAAUAACACAGUGGAUUACUAUCAAGAUUUAUCCUUUUAAUAUCUCAUUUUGUACUUGAUACUACAAAUUCAAAUAAUAACACAUAAUUGAAAGAUAAAUCUGUUUCGGUAAAGAAAUUUUCAAAUCUUACUUAUGUUUUAAUUUUUUUUUAAAAAAAAUCAACUUCAACGAUACAUAUAAUUAAAGAGAAUUUGAUAAGAUGAGCGUCAUCGCUCCUCACACAACUCCCACGCGAGCCCCGUAGCCUUUCGUAGGCAGAGCGGCGGUACUCAUUUAAUCAAAUUUUCAUAUUUAAAUACUCAAACCUUUUAUGUAAAAAACAUUAAGAUGAAGAGACAUCCACACUUAAUAUUUAAGAGCGGCAUCUGCAAAUUAGUACUUUUUCUAAACAUAAUUAAAAUCCUUGAGUUGUAUUUUCCAACAAAAGGUAGAAGUCAAGUCCAUAAACAUAAGUAAAUUAAGCAAUAAAAUCCAACUGGAGAAAACCUUGUGGCACGGUUAUUGGUGACCUGUCAUGUAACUGAAUGGUAGAGUUCUCGUAACUUUUUUAAUAUUAAAUUUAAUGGAAGCCGGUUCGGCAACGUUGUCGGGUGCGCUACUGCGCGCGGCAAAUACUCAUUUGAUGAGCUAUGACGUGCCCGCAAAUGGAAGUAUGCUAUGCUGGCAACCGUGCUUCGUAAGGCGCACGACUGCGUAACACCUUAUUUAAAAUAUAAUGUGAUUUUGAAAAUUUUAAUAUUCAUCAAUAAUAAAUUUAUUUACUUAUUACACUUGUUGUCAAAGACUCCUUAAUACCGUUUCAUGUGUUGAAGUUGCAAGAUAGUUUCAUUAUUAAUACAAUCGAAAACAUCUUUUUUAAUGGACACAAUUAAGUUAUCACUUAAUUUGUGCUUAAAUUUUUUUAAUAAUAACAAAAAUAUUCACAUAAUGCAACAGGGAGAACAAAUAUGAAUACAUGAUGAAUUUGGAAUUUUGAAAUAACAAAAAAAAAAAUCUUUGAAAAAUUAUAAAUUAGAAUUAGCAAACUUACAAUUUAGGGAUCAAUAUUGAAAAACUAUAUAAUUGAAGGAAAGUGCUUUUGAUUUAUGGGAACUCUGAUAAAAUCCACGCACUGAUGCACACGCACUACUUUAAUCCACUAUUGCACUACCAGCAUGCAGCCAUGCAGUACCACAUAAAUUAAGUGCAAGUUUGGUAAUGCUAUACCUUUUAAAAUAAUUGAUGUUAGCUCUAUUGUAGAAAUGAUAAAUUGUGAAGUGAAUUGGUUAAACAUUUAGCAAAUUUUAUUUUUAAAAGUGUUGUAAAUAUUAAACUGUUGUAAGAAUAUAAAUGUCGUAAGGAUAUAAAUGACUAAAUUAGACAUAAUAUUGAAUAAAAUUUAUUUACACAUUUACAAACAUGUAUAUAAAAUACUUAUAAUUUUGUGUAUAUAUAAUAAUUGAUAAUUAAAAUAAAUAUUUUAUAUUAUUAAUUCUAUUUUUUUAUUUUGUUAUCUCAAUAUAAUUGGUGAUAAUAAUAACCUCUUUAAAAUUAAUAAUUUUAUUUCCUGAUUAAUAUAAAAGUGAUUUUAAAAAUUAGAUUUUGAAAAGUUACUUUUUUCCUACUUUACAAAUUUUGUUGUAAAAUAGGUGAUUUUGCUAAAAGUGAUUUAUAAAAGAAUUUCUCAUAUACCAAAAUUAUUUUUUAAUCUCCUAAAAGCAACCCCAAACAUGCCCUAAGUGCUUUUCUUCAAAGUAUUAGAAAGAGAUAAGAAAGAAAAAAAAAAGUGAAUCCCUUUUGUUUUUAAUUGGGUCUUUAUUCUUCUCAAAAAAAAAAAAUUGGGUCUUUAUUUUUAUUUUAAUAUCUAUUUUUUUGUUUUUAUUUAAGUUUCAUAGUAUUUUAAUAAUUAAUCAAACUAUUUAAAAUUAAACAUUUAAACUUAGGGCAACAUGCAAUCUUUUAAAGCUAACAAGGACUUUCAUAAUUUUAUAUUUCAACCAGCGCACUUUCUUAAAUAAUAAAUCAAAUACAUUUCUUUUUAACAACCAUCAAAAAAAUUUUGAAAAGUUAGUUGGAGAAAAGUCGUCUGGGCCCGUCCCCCAGCCAGUCCUAUGCUGAUACGUCCACCGGUAGCGUUGUCCCCAUCGCCCAAGUCAAUCUUAAGAGACAAUUAGAGUUUAAAAAAGAAAUCAAUUUGAUUUUCUCCUCUAUAAACUCUAUUUCACUUUAAAAAUUAAAAAAAGAAAGAAAAAAGAAAAAGAAUUGUUCCACAAUAAGCGCCCAAGUCCAAUCGAGCACACGCAUAAAGUUCGGAGAUUUGAGUUUUUCUCCUUGUCUUUCAUGAUCUAGUAACAAUCAUUGGUUAGAUAGAAAAAAAUAAAUACAAAAUUUAGUCUUAACCAUUCUUUAAAUAAAAGAGCAAUAAAAAAAAAAAAAAAAGAGGAAUAAAAAGAGAGAGGGGGAAAAAAAACUAAGGAAAGGAUCCUUGUCCAAAGCUAGGACAAGAAAACACAAAAAUGUGAUGGAAUCAAAAGAAAUGAAAGCAGUAAUACGCAUGGGUCCUUAUUGAGUGAAGCAGAUAAAUGAUGAAAGCCAUUUCAAUAUUUUUAUGUUCCAGAGUAGCAACAAAAUUUGCAUGUUCUUUACACUAUUCAGGCUUGUGAGGAAAAAGGUUUUCAACUUUUGCGCCAACUUCUCUGGCAGAUGAUGAACAAGAACUGCAGGGUCUCGAUCCAAUGAAUAAUUUCUUCAAGAACGCGAAAAAUAAACGCAACAAAAGAAUUUAACAUGAAACACGUAUUUAGAUUUGAUCUCUCUUUAACCAAAUGUUAAUGCUGUUGUUCAAACAUGACUUAUUGGUCUUAAUGCAGAGUCUCUUUAUUUUGUGAUAAAAAUCAGACUUUACCACCCGCUGAUUUCUUUUACAUCUUCAGAUCUUGAUCAUUUUAAUCCAGUAACCUUUUUCUCAUGAGAUGACUGUCAAUAUAGAAAAAUGAAACAGAGCAUAACUGGUUUAUCAAUAGUUAUAUAAAGGGGUUAGAAUAUGAAAAGAGUGCCCAUUGGAUUCUGCUGUAGGGAUUUAUUAAGUGCCGGCAAUAAAAUAUUCCGUCAUACAAAUCAUGGCAGAGGAAAAAAAAUGACCUGAAUCCAUAAUUGCUGAGACUAAAAAUUUGAAGAUACACACACAACUUUUGAAACAAAUAUGAAAACCAAUGAAGAGAAAAGAAAAGAUACUAUAAACUUGACCAGUUCAUCUAAAAUCAUGAUUAUUCGUGAUUAUAUACAAACGGCAAUUCAUUGGAUCAAUAAUAGGGAUACAACUAAAGACAAGCGACACUAAGGAACACCGAACCACAGGGGAACUUGCUUGAGUGUGACAGAUAAAAACAGAAAGAAACAAACACGUUCAAUUUUGAGAAAUUUGAUGAUCACUCUCAACUUCUGGUUCUUUUGAAAAAGAUGAGAAUUAUGUAAGACAAAGAAGACUAGAUUUAUAUCUGCGAAGUGGACCAGAUAUUUGGAAAUCACCCAUAAUACCUUGGUCUAAAUCAAGGGUGAGUAUUUGUUACUCCUCCUGAUGGCUAUUUAUAACCAGCCAAUCGAGAAUUUAGCAUAAAAGAUGUAGCCAUUCACCAAAAAAAGUCCAAAAUCUCAUCUGCUUUAGCUGUUGGACCUCAAGAGAUCUAGCUAGAAUCAAAUUGUCUGACUAGCUUUUCAUACUGAAUUGGCAAGCUUAAAAUCCUAAAAGCUUUAUGAAAAUUCUCUACCUCUUAUUUUUUGUUGUAAUCAACGAGUGGUUAUCUUAAAUUUCGAUGAGCUACUUGCAGUUAAUGGUCAAGAUUUGCACUCCACUGUUUGGCACAUUUGUAGUGGAAAAAUCAGAAAUGUGAUGCGAAAUACUCCAGAUUUCAACCUAAGUUCAUUCAUGACUAGCGAAUCCAGUAACCGUUUAAACUAGUGUCUUUGUUUUAAUUUGUUAUUAUUUUUAAUACUCCUGUUUUUCCCAUAAUAAGUAUUUUCAUCCAUUUAAUCACAAUUCUUAAGGAUAAUCAGUUAAGGCAGAUAAUCAAACACUUGCUUUUCCCAGUUGUGGACAAACACUACAGUACAAUAAACAAAGCAGGUGUUUGGGAGAAAAAGGGGAGAGGUAGUAAAGCACCGUGUAUCGACGAACGGAAUAACUCCAGCACAAUCUAAGGUACCCAACAUAAUUAGAGCCUUAGAGGUACCCCACACAGAUUGAGGUAUGCCGUACAAUCUGAGGUACCCGGCACGAUUCAAGGUACCCCGCACAAAUAGAGAUACCCGACAUGAUACGAGGUACCCCGCACAAUUAGAAGUAACCCACAUAGAUUGAGGUACCUCAUGUAACUGGAGGUACCUGGUAGAUCAUAUGCAAAAGAACCCUCCGAAAAAGUCCGCCAUGAGAAAUGUCUCCACCUCUUAAAAGAUAUUAUUCGAUUUUGUCAGAAUUAGGAAUAAAACACGUCGUGCUAAAAGGGGGGGACAGCCGCCUGCCACCUCUGCCAAAAGUGGAGGACACUGUCCUAAGGACAGUGGUCCUCAGCCGCCUACCUGACAGCUACUGCAGAGGUACCCUGGACUACUCUCCAGCGCGCACCACGUCUCCAAAGGAUGAGAUACGCCGCAAACAUGCACAUAAUGACCCAAAAAUCAUAAAAAGGUAAAAAAGACGUUAGCAAAAAAUGGUACGCCAUGUGGCAGCUGAGGUACUCCAUAUAUAAAGGUACCUAAGUUUCAUUCUCCAUCAUACUCUAAUUCACCAACAACACUCACACUCCAUAAAAUAGGUUUUCUUCAACCUUAAAACUUAAUUUACAGAGGGCUGGCAAGCUUUCUUGGCCAUAAAAAGCUUGAGUUUGCUAACUUGAGCGUCGGAGUGUGAACGCCGAGGUACCCCGGCUUCACCUCUAACCUCUAUUUCACUGUUUUGCAGGUGUGAAACUCAUUUGGAAGGACUUUUUUCUUGGUUCAGACCUUUCUCCAUUGUUGCCACUCCCUCUUUCCUUCUCACCUCCCCGAAUUUCGGAUACACCGCACACAACAAACCAGUGAGAUACCCCAUCUCCCCCAAAAAUACAAAUUCAUUGUCCUAGAUAUGUUUGACUUUUCCUACCCCAAAAUCUAUCGAAAACAAUUGGUGCCGUCUGUGGGAAGGCGCACAAAAAGCCUUCUCUACGGUUACCAAAUUAGUUAUUGUGUGUACUCCAAUACAUGGCACCCGACGUACUUCCCGAAGGUUUAAUGGCGGAUCCUAUAAGGAUAAGAGAUGACAGUAGCGGUGAAGAUAGUGAUCCCGCAAGAAGGGUAGCCUGUCUGAGCAAGGGUAAGGGUAUCAAGCAAUCGACGGGUAUUCGCCAAGAUGAGGAACCUAUUUAUCACAAGCGUUUCGAGGAUCUUGCCAACGCAAUACUUAGGACGGUUUGAUCUUGAGCACUCGAAAGUUCACUUCCACCAGUGACGCUAGAUGCUCCACUACCUCAAACAGACGACCAAGCUAUGGUCAAGAAAGAAGUACCUGAGGCCAGCAAGCCAAAACAUAGGCCAUCGGGUACCCAUUCUAAGUUUCAAACCGUGGGCUCCCGAGAAGAGCAUUCCACCGCCUCUUGCAAUUAUCCGCAGCAGCCAUGGCACGAGGCGUGCAAAGCGUAACCAUGAGGAUCUCCAUGAAAAAUUAAACGUCAAAAAGACUUCCUAAAUGGCGGCGACAUCAUCAGGUACCCCUAGGGUACCCUUUGAACUUGUGGGAAAAAUAAAGAAUCUGGAAGCCCAAGUGAAGCUCUUCUCCGAGAAGCAAAACAUCACAAGUGCUCCAACACCAAUGACCUACCAAUUGCCAUUCACUAUGGAGAUUCGGACGACAGCUCUCCCCGAGGCGUUCGCCAUGCCUCAGAUACCCCAAUACUCGGGUACCACUGAUCCCUCGGAGCAUGCUGAGCUAUACUACAACCAAAUGCUUAUCAAGGGUGUAGAUGAGAAUGCCAUGUGUAGGAUGUUUACACACACACACUCACAGACCCCGUAAAGUCAUGGUUUCGGCCUUUGAAGGCGGGUAGCGUAUCUUCUAUACACCAAUUGUUAUCCGAAUUUACUAAAGAAUUUUCUUAUGCUUCUACUCAGGAUAGGGUAGCCUCCAAACUUGCCUUUAUCAAGCACAGGGAAACCGAACUUUUGGGGGAGUAUGUGAGCCGUUUCCACCAGGAGGUGUUGCGAACCGGAGCAUUUGGGAACCAACACAUACUAACCCAUUUUGAGAAAAAUUUACGAAUGUGUAAAUUAUUUCGUUCUUUCUAAAAAAAGCGCCCACUUUCGUAUGGGAAACCCUGUUCUCGGGCAUUGCAGCAGGUGGAGAUUGAUGAGAAAUGUCAUUUGAAGUGCCACAAAGAUAAGGUCGAGAUUACAAAGAACAAGGAGAAGCCCAAGAGGACGGAAGCACCAAUAUCGAGGGUACCCUAACCUCUACGAGCUGCCCCGCGAGGACGAGGGUAUAACACUUAGGGUAUCUCACGGGUACCCCAACCUCCAAGAUCGCCACCUCCGAGACCUCGGUACGAAUCUUACCACCCACUGAAUCGUUCCUCAGAGCAGAUCUUUUACCAUAUUUGGGAUAAUGGCUUUCUCCGUCCACCCAAGCCAAUGAAGAAGUACCCCAACAUGAAGCGUAACCUAAAGUAUUGUGAGUUCCACGAGAACUUUAGUCACAACACAGCCGAGUGUUUUACCUUGCGUGAGGAAAUUGAAUCUCUGAUUCUUAGCGGGUACCUCAAAGAAUUUGUUGCCGGCAUGAAGGAAGCUCGGAAAUCCAUAGAGCAUGAUAAGGGCAAGCGGGUAGCUGAUAGCUGUCCUGAACGAGAGGUACUCUCGAGACAUAAGAAAGGCGUGUAUGUUCGGAUGAUCAUGGGCCGACCGACUCAGCGGGCCAAUCCCGGAGGGCUAUCAAAGGCUAUAGUUGAUCGUUAUCAACAAACCACCAAUAUUGGCAGAGAAGUCAACUUUAAUGGAUGGGGUACACCGAAGGUACCCCACCAUCCCCCGCUUAUCCUUUUUACAUAAAAAGAUGCUGAGGGUAUCUCGUACCCCCAUGACGACGCCUUAGUAAUUACAUUGAAGGUUACUAUUGGUAAGGUAGCAAGAACUCUUGUAGAUACUAGCAGCUUCGUUGAUAUCAUUUUCAAAAGCACAUUGGAUCAACUAUUGAUUGAGUCACCAAAGAUCACCCCAUAUGCUACACCUUUUAUUGGGUUCGCCGAAGAUAUGGUUAUACCAAAAGGCAUCAUUACAAUGCCUGUUACAUUUGGUAAGGUACCUCACCGUGUGUUCAUAUGAUUGAUUUUCUUAUUGUGGAUCACCCGGGUGCCUACAACAUUAUAUUGGGUAGGCCGUUCUUAGUAGCAACUAAAGCGGUGGUAUCCAUGCACUACCUCACCAUGAAAGUCUCAGCCACCUAAAAAGUUAUCACCAUUAAAGGGUAUCAGCAAUCGGCUUAUGGAUGUUAUUUCGUGGCCUCCAAAGUCACUUACCAAAUAACUUCUGAUCCACCAGUGAAAAGGUACCCCAGUGAUAGUCAGCCCGUACCUUAUCCCUCAAAGCGAGCACUUGUUAGACAGGGGAGAGCAGUGCUAAAAAAAUCUCCUCAGGUAGCCCACCCACCAAAACAGUUGGAAGCCUCACCAAUGGGCGUAGAAGCAAUUGCUCAGGAUAGCUCAGGGGUACCCCAUGAGGAUCAUGUGGAGCCCAGAUGUGAAGUUGAAGUACCUUUGGAUCCCUUAAUAUUGAAAGAGAAAAAACGGGGUACCCAAUUGAAGACCUUGUUUCAGUCUCGAUUUGUGCCACCGACCCAACAAAGAUCGUGAAACUAGGCUCCAAUCUUUCGGAGGAACAAUGAGAGAGGCUCAUCAACUUCUUACCGAGCACCACGACGUAUUCGCUUAGUCUCACUCGGAUAUACCGGGCAUCCUACCUUCCCUCUUUUGUCAUAAACUCGAUGUCAGCCUACAUUAUAAACCGGUCAAACAGAAGCGUCACACCUUCAACUAAGAGAGGUACGACGUACUUGAACAAGAGGCAGACCGCCUAUUAGCAGCGGGAUUUAUUCGAGAAGCAGUGUAACCCGAUUGUGUAUCAAACGUAGUUCUAGUCAAGAAAUCAAAUAGAAAGCGGCGUAUGUGUGUGGACUUCAUCGAUUUGAAUAAGUCCUGCCCUAAGGAUAGCUUCCCGCUUUCCUAGGUGGACCAGCUGGUUGAUGCAACAACGGGACAUGAGAUGCUUAGUUUUAUGGACGCCUUCUUCAAUUACAACCAAAUCCCAAUGCCGGGGCUACCUAUCAGCGGCUAGUGAACAAAAUUUUCAAGGAACAAAUCGGGCGUACCAUGGAGGUUUACAUAGACGACAUGAUCACCAAAUCAGUGCUUGCAAGGGAACACCUGAGGCACCUCAGAGAUACCUUUACAGUUUUAAGAAGACACCAAAUGCGGCUCAACCUUAAAAAAUGUGCAUUCGGGGUUAUCUCGGGAAAAUUUCUUGGGUUCAUGGUACAACAACGGGGGAUUGAGGCCAACCUUGAUAAAAUUCGCGCGGUUCUUGAAAUGAAGUUGCCACACACCAUCAAGGAGGUUCAAAGUUUAGCAUGCCGGGUAGCUGCCCUGAGCCGCUUUUUCUCCAAGGCCACUGACCGGUGUAAGCCUUUUUUCAAAGCUUUGAAGGCCGACAAGAAGCUCCAAUGGACACCCGAUUGCGAAGAAGCUUUCCGAGAACUGAAGGGGUACCUCGUGAAUGCUCUACCACUUACCAAACCUGAACCGAAUGAGGUGCUUCUGUUGUAUCUCGCCGUAUCCGAGCAUGCCACCAGCUUUGUGCUACUCUGAGAAGAUAAUAAUGGGGUACAACGGCCUAUUUACUACACUAGUAAGGCUAUGGUCGAUGCCGAAAAGAGGUACCCCACCUCUGAGAAGAUCGUUUUGGCACUAGUUGUCUCCGCAAAGAAGCUCAGACCAUUUUUUCAAGCUCACACCAUUGCAAUCAUCACCAAUCUUCCCCUCCGGCAAAUCCUCCAGAAGUUAGAUGUGUCCGGAAGGCUUCUCCGAUGGUCCCUCGAAUUAAGCAAGUUCGACAUCAUUUUCAAGCCUCGUUCGGUAAUUAAAGCUCAAGCUAUCGCUGAUUUCAUUACGGAAUUCGCCAAUGACUCAUGUGGUGAAGGUAAUCUAAGGUACCUGUCAGAUACCCCAUCCACUGAUGAAGGGGGCAGGUCUAGGAAAUAUAUGUAGAUGACUCAUCUAACUCACACGAAAGUGGUGCGAGAGUUAUUAUAAUCGAACCGAACAAGGUGAAAAUAUGCUAUGCUUUGCAAUUUGGAUUCAAGGCUUCAAACAACGAAGCCGAACACGAGGCCAUCAUAGCGGGGUUGAGGAUGUCAAAGGCUUUGGGAGCAAAAAGGGUACACGUUAAGAGCGACUCCUGGUUGGUGGUAAGUUAGAUUACCGCACAAUAUCAAGCGAAAGAGGAAAACAUGAAGGGGUACCUCAGAAAAACCAGAGAGUUGAUGUCCCAAUUUUGUGAGGUUAAGGUGGAAAGGAUAUCCCGACUGGAGAACAUCGAAGCCGACACUCUGGCAAAAAUGGCGUCCCUUGGUGUAGUUCAGUCAGCUGGCCCCAUCACGACAGAACACAUACAUGCCCCCAGUAUUGAUCUCCUAGAGCCAUUGGAAGUAGAAUCACUGUCCAACGGGGUACUUUGGAUGGUGCCUAUCAUAAGUACCUCAAGGACGGAGAACUCCCCUCAGAUAAAAGUGAAGUAAGAAGACUAAAGUAUAAAACCGAGCUGUAUUGCCUGAUCCAGGAUACCCUAUACAAAAUAGGGUUCACUCUUCAUUACCUUAAAUACUUGGGAAGUGACGAGGUCGAGUAUGUCAUGAAGGAGAUACAUGAGGGGAUUUGUGGCAAUUAUUAUGGAGCACAAUCACUGGCGCAAAAAGCUCUCCGUCAGGGGUACUACUGGCCUACCAUACGGGAAGAUGCUAAUAAUAUGGUACGAAGUUUUGACAAAUGCCAAAGGUUCGCUAGGGUACCCCACCUACCCUCAGAGAAGCUAACAAUUAUAUCUUCCCCUUGACCCUUCACUAUAUGGGGAGUGGACCUCAUUGGCCCGUUACCUACCGGGAGGGGACAAGCAAAACAUGCAAUCGUAGCGGUAGAUUAUUUCACAAAGUGGGCAGAAGUGGAGCCACUAACAAGCAUAACAGAACAAAAAAUAACGGAAUUCAUUUGGAAGAACCUCAUUUGUAGAUUUGGGAUCCCUUGUGCAAUUGUUAGUCAUAACGGCAAGUAAUUCGAUAAUGAAAAAUUUUGAAAUUUUUGUUCGGAGCUUAGGAUAGCCAACCGGUUUGCUACACCUGCCCACCCCCAAACUAAUGGGCAAGUCGAAGCCGUUAACAAGAUUGUCAAAGGUAUCUUGAAGAAGAAGCUAGAAGAAUGAAAGAGAGCAUGGGUAGAGCUACCUAAGGUUCUGUGGGCCUACCAGACUACUCAGAACACCUCCACCCAAGAGACCCCGUUUUCCCUCGCAUUCGAUGUUGAUACAGUGAUUCCAACAAAAAUCGGGGUACCCUCUCACAAGGUUGAAUACUUUGAUGAGGUUAAGAACACCUCAUUGAUUGCUUCAAAUCUUGAUUUGGUGGCUGAGAAAAGGGUUAGAGCAUAAUUGAGGACAAUCAUAUACCAGCAUCGCAUUUCGGGUCUAUAUGAAAAAAUGGUAUGCCUUCGAUCCUUCAAGAAAUGAGACUUGGUCUUGAGAAGGGUAACUCAGAGCAUUAGGGUACCCUGCGAAGGCACUUUUGGGGCAAAUUGAAAAUGACCUUACCGCAUCGAUAAACCCGUUAGGUCAAGUGCAUACAGGCUGCUCCACAUGGAUGGGACAAUCGUGAGGCAUCUCUGGAAUGCUGCAAUGCUACGGAAAUAUUACUAAAGGACAGUGUCUUAACCUUUAGUCUUUUGCUGUUAUUUGCUUUCUUUAAUGUUUUUGUGUGGUAGGCUAAAUGAGGUACCCCAAAUACCCUAUGUUGGUUAGUUGCAACUUUAGAAUUUCUUUAAUUCCCAAAUGAAAAGAAUAUGAGGUCUUACGGUCUCCCGUUCUCCUUAGGGUAACAAAGUUAAGUCAUGUAUUGAUCAAUGCUUUCGUUAUCUAUAAAUGCAAUUUCUUUCUCGACAAAUAUGAUGUGUGUUCUUAAUUUUUUCGCCACUUCGAUCAUGAAAUGCGAAUUAUAUUCAUUUAUCGCCAUUAAUAUACCCUCGCAUCUGGUUAUAUGCAAUUAUCGCCAUACGCCUGUCAAUUAUGACUAACCUAUUACAGGACCAGCCAGGGUACUUAGCAUGUAUAGAUCGUGACGAUCUAUGUAAAGCCAAGAUUGGCAACGGAGUGAAUAGCCCAGGGGUAGUCUUUCCGCGGAAGCAUGACAAAGCUACUUAAAUAAAGAGAGGGAGGGUUAAAGAGGACUUGAGGGUGAAGUAAAGCCGGCAUACCCUAGCGCCACGAGGUUCUGCUUAGGUAUAAGUACACCCACACCUCUGUCCUCUUACUUGAGCAAAGUAGGGGGUAGGCCAUUAAAAAAUUCAUAGAAAACUUCGAAAGAGCAAAAAAAAUUAAUUGGUUGGGCCAAUUGCGUGCUCUCAUUUUCAAUCAGGAUGUCGCGAUGGUAUUUUGAUUACCUAUUUGUGGAAGAUCCACCAUAAUUUUCAAAAAGGACAUGCACUAAGGGCGUCAAUCUACAUAAACCAGCAGACGCCGGAUGUCGAAUAUUUAUUAAGUACCUAGGGUACUCCAUUUUAAAAAAAAUUUAUCGCAUAUAAUGGGGAGUACCCUAAAGAUUUGCAAGAUAACAGUUUGGACUAGCAUUCAUUUGCAGAAUAACACGGAUACAAAAUACAAGUUCAAAAUAUGGAGGGCUCGGUAGUAUGGUAUCAUAACAAAAGAGAGAUCUUAACGAUGCAAGAUAUCCCAAGAAAUCAAAAAAUAAAAAUAAACAAGUUCCAAAUAGCAAAAUGUGGAUAGAUCCAUAAAAACAAGAGCACUAUAAAAUGGCUACACCGAGGGUGGAACACCGUCCCCACCAUUCGUCUCCAGAGGGCGAUCAGCAGAGGACUCUGAGGUACCCAGAAUAUGAGCAGCCGAAGCAGGGGCAUCUGAGGCAGGCAAUGGCUGAAGCACGCGGGGUACCCUAUGCGACCCAAGAGGGGUACCCGACCGUGCAUGGGAAGACUUAUUCCUCUCCUCAAUCGUCUUCAGAAUCGUGGCCUUGUUGACAAAUUUCUGCACACAGGGUACCUCCAGUUCUGGAUCCACGCUCCACACCUCCGUCAUGAUAAGGGAUAACGCCUCAUUCGCCAUCUUCUUCUGUCGGGACAAUAGAUCCUCAUUUGUGGCCCUCAGCUCAUCGCAAUUCCUCUCUACUCGAGUUUUCUCCCCAGAUAGGUCAAGAAUGCGUUCUUGUAAAAUUUUGACUUCUUGAGCAAGCUUGUCCUCGCAAGACUGUCGACUUUGGAGCUCACCCCUUAAUUUGUCAACCUCCGAUUGGGCGGCAACAAGAGAGUCGAGAUCUGGAAGGCAGUGGCUGAGGAGAAAGGAUGCUUGCAGGUCGUUAAAGACAUGUUAUAUAUAUGUGUAUGGCAAUAGGAACAAAUAAGUAAAGAAUGGAGUGUACCCUAGGUACCCCAAUAAAGGCUACCUCUUGGGUAGCCCUGAGUGCCUGACCAUAGCGCUCGCUCAAACUCAUCUUGUCCGUCUCUUCAACGACCUCGAAAGUAACAUUUUUAGCAGAAUAGUAGAAACAGCGAGUCAAGUGUGAAACUUUCUUGUUGGAGGUCGGGUCUAGGUCACCUUCGCACAAUUCGUCAGGGAAAGCAGAAACCAACUCGAAUUUUUUCUUUUUAGAAUGAGGGGUACCCUUCAACCUGCUGUGGGAGGUACCCUAGGAUUUCUCCUUCAGUCCGAGAGCUCGAGGUGGCCGGGUAUUUUUUUGAGGUAACGCCAAAUCCUGAGAUCCAAAAGCUCCACUCACUACUACUUGGAAGAAAGCAUCAAAAGCAUCACUCGCUGACUCUAUAACUGCACUCAAUGCACAAAAGUGAUGUUAGUCGGACAGGCGCUAAGUACUACAAACGCAAAAAUGGCAAACAAAAAACAGAAAAACUAAAUAAAGAACGCGGAGAUAACGGGGUACCCCAGUCCUGUAGAUAAUAACAGGGUACCCCCAACAUCCAAAUCAUACAUGAGUCACCACCGGAAGCAGGUGGAAAACUUCGGUCAAUCAGCCCCGCUCCCCCUAACCUGCUCUCUUCUAACACAUCACUACCCCUCUGUGCACCUCGAAACCUCUCCACAAACUUCUUCACAUCUUUUCCCACCUCCUGAACUGGGCAUGAUCCUUUAGCCCAUGUCACACCUACAAAAUCACGGAGAACCCAAGGUUAGUGAGACAUUUAUGCGAAGGAUUACAGUAAAGAACAGUAAACAAGGGAGAUACUUGCAGUCUACACUGAAGGAACUUAGAACCUCCAAAGGGUUGCCCUUAUCACCUAAAGUCUCUAUCCCCCACUUACCUUCAGCGACAAACCACUCCUUUUUGUAACCCUUCUUCAAGGCGGAGUCCCUUUUAACAAUAUUGACAUGAUCACUCCAAGCAGAGAAGUAAACAAUAGCAGAACUCUUGGGCUUUUUGAAUUGGUAAAGGCCCUUCAACUCCCGAAUAAAAAUAUCACGCCUCAAUACCUCCAACCAUAACACCUGCAAGCCCGUACGUAUCCUCCACCCUAGAAGGGACAGCUGCGCAGGAACUACCCCUAAAUAGCUAAACAUCCUCAUAUAGAAAGGUGGGAGGGGCAUGCGGAGUCCAAAAUCAAAGAGGUUAAUGUGAAGAGCAAUCCCGUCAGACUUCGGACACUCAGGUCGUUCAUCCACAUAGAGUACUCUAAGCUGGACAGAGGGAUGAAUAUUGUAUUUGGCUCUAAUUUGUUCUAAGUCCCUCAAAGUAGCCCUCCUAGCACCUAGUGAAUGAGUGUUACCAUAUUUUUAAAGUGUGCCAGAGGGAGACUUGGGAGGCUGGUCUGAGGAAUGAGCUGGAACUUGGGCUUGGAUGACUUACCCUUUCUUCGAGGAUGGUGGGCUGGUCGUUUACUAGAAAAGCGUUGGCUGACACGAGAAGCACUCCUAGAGGGAGGGAGCUCAAAAUGUGAGUUACAACUCGUAGAGGUACUAGGAAGAGACCUAUCACCCUCACUAAUGGAAAUGUGGGAAAGAGAUCCUGUAGGAGGGCUGUCAACACUACUAGCCUCAACUGCACGAUGCUUCCUCACUGGUCUCACUUUUUUCUUACCCAUUGACUUCUUGCCACACACCACCAGGCCACAAGUCCCCCAACAACAUAUCCACCAUGCCACAAGCCCCUAACAACAUAUCCACCAAGCCACAAGCCCCCAACAGCAUAACCAACAGGCCACAGGUCCCCAACAACAUAUCCACACCAUACACCACCCACCACACAUCAACCAUCAAAUACAAACACCAACCACAAAAAAAUAGAAAUAAAAAAUAAAUUUUUCUCAGAGUAUGCAAAAUAGUGCCAUUGUAAAUGCGCCAAAAGAGGAAGAACGAGGAAGGAUACCUGUAAUUCACCAACUUGGCAAAUCAGGACUUGUGGUCGUGGGGUGACAAAGCUGCAGGUAACCAAAAAUAGUAGGUAAGAAUAUGCAAGUAUAAAAAUAAAAAAUAAUCUUAAAUAUAUGUAGUUAUUUAUUUAAAAAAAAAGGAUGAUAAAAUGAAAAACGAAGAAGACAGCAGGGGAAAAGCAUUACGGUGACCAGAAUACCGCUAGCCACCAUCCGAAUUUGACGUCGGUAGCCGUAGUUGUAGCCAUCGAGAACCACCGUGGGAAUGAAGAACGAGGAAAUAAAAAAAAAUAAAGAAUGAAGAAGACAACGCGGGAGGCGGAAGCUGCAGCCACCGAACCAACGCCGGCUGCCGCGGCCACAGCCACCGAACCGACACCGGCUGCAGCGCCGAGAACCAAUGCCGAAGAUCAUGAAGAAGAACGUCGGCAAAAAAAAAGAGUAAAGAAGAAAUUUGUACCUGUGAGCAAUAUUGAUGCAGUCAUGAGAAAAGACAAAAGUUUGAAGGAAGAAGCCACUUGAUCGGUUUUAUGGGAGAUUGUUUUGGAAUUUUCAAAAAUAAUAAUAAGAGAUUGAUAUUUACGUCAGGGGAUUUUAAUUAAACCUGACAGAGCACACUGAACAAAAAGAAAGUCAGGGAUGUUUGCAUGAGAUUGAUACUUUUAAAAUUCAAAUUGCAUGUCAGACGGCUGCCACUUCCCAAGAAAAAUGAGAGAGAGACAUUAAGACAACUGUUUGUUCUCAUCGUAAAAAAAAAAAAGGGCGAGAAAAGGAAAAGACAAAGAGAAGAUUUUUUUAGCUCGACAAUACACAAAGUUUAAUCAAUGGAAGAAACUGAGCAAGGUACCCCUGGUCCAGCCAUUCACCAAGCCGAACCCCGCAUCGCCACGUGUCACUCAUACAUCAUAUAAUAAGUUUUUUUGCCUCUAAUACUUCUCUCUAAAAGAAACUAGGGGGAUGUUGUUUGGAAGAAAAAUAGGAGAGGUAGUAAAGCGCCACGUGUCAACGAAUAGAAUAACUCCAACACAAUCUAAGGUACCCGGCAUGAAUUCAGGUACUUCGCAUAAUUAGAGGUACUCCACACAAAUUGAGGUACCCCGCACAAUUCGAGGUACCCUACACAAUCUGAGGUACCCGAUAUGAUUCAAGGUACCCCGCACAAAUAGAGGUACCCGACGUGAUAUGAGAUGCCCCGCACAAUUAGAGGUACUCCACAUACAUUGAGGUACCCCAUGUAACUGGAGGUACCGACAGAUUGGAUGCAAGAGAACCCUCUGAAAAAGUCCACCAUGAGAAACGUCUCUACCUUUUAAAAGAUAUUAUUCGAUUUUGUCAAAAUUAUCAAUAAAAAACGUCGUGCUAAAAGGGGGGGACAUCUGCCUGCCACCUCUGCCAAAAGUGAAGGACAUUGUCCCAAGGACAGUGGUCCUCAACUGCCUACCUGACAGCUACUGUAGAGGUACCUUAGACUAUUCUCCAGUGCGCCACGUCUCCAAAGGAUGAGAUAUGCCGUGAACAUGCACAAAACGGCCUAAAAAUCAUAAAAAGGUAAAAAGACAUUAGCAAAAAAUGGUACGCCACGUGGCAGCUGAUGUACUCCAUAUAUAAAGGUACCUAGGUUUCAUUCUCCAUCAUACUCUAAUUCACCAACAACACUCACACUCCAUAAAAUAGGUUUUCUUCAACCUUAAAACUUAAUUUAUAGAGGGCUAGCAAGCUCUCUUGGCCAUAAAAAGCUUGAGUUUGCUAACUUGAGCGUCAGAGUGUGAACGUCGGAGUACCCCGGCUUCACCUCUAACCUCUAUUUCAUUAUUUUGCAAGCGUGAAGCUCAUUUGGAAUGACUUUUUUCUUGGUUCAGACCUUUCUCCAUUGUUGCCACUCCCUCUUCCCUUCUCACCUCCCCGAAUUUCAGAUACACCGCACACAACAAACCAGUGAGGUAACCCGUCUCCCCCAAAAAUACAAAUUCAUUGUUCUAGCUAGGUUUGGCUUUUCCUACCCCAAAAUCUAUCGAAAACAGUAGGCAUGGUGGUUUGAUGGGAAUUGAGAGCAUAUCGAGCAUUUUCAUUAAAGCUCUUGUAGAUUUUAUGACUAAAUCUGUAUACAGUAUUUCAACAUCUACAUUUUUUUCUUAUAUCUUGAGACCAAAAGGACAUCACCAAUGUCAACAUUAUGGAAAAAACAUUAAAAACAAAAAGACAAACCAAAAACCUAUAUACAUGAACUCAUCCAACUCACCAUUAAUGUUCGAAUUAAUUUACACCAGUAGUCUUACAGCAUGAGUCAUAUAAUCACCCAAUGAAAGGCUCAUCUAGCACUUUCUUCUUGAAUCACAACUUUACUAAUAGCUUUGUUUAGUGCAUUUCUUCUUUUAGCUUAUCUGAUGAAUGUGUUUGGGGUGUAUAACACCCUGAUUAGAGGCAACCCACCAGGAUUCCCGUGCUCAUAGGCGAGGAGCUACAAAAUGUAUCCCAGCAGGAUUCACGUGCUCAUAGGUGAGGAGCUACAUGAUAUACUCUUGUAGGAUUCACGUGCUCAUAGGCGAGGAGCAAUCUUGUACAUCUGAUAGACGAAGUACGAGAGGGUUCAAAAAAGAAUCCAGGUGCUAAAGGACCCAGUCAAUGGUAGUUAUCGACACGUACUCUCGUUUCACAUCGAAAGACCCGACGUAGUAAUGAACGUGGGGGAGUGGGAAUUGAGCGCCCAAGUAAUAAGCUAUAAAAGGGACUUUCGGGUUAGACAUUGAGGGGGAUUCUUUUUCCUCUCACUCGGCGAGAUUAAAUCCAUAGGAUCAUUUUCCCUCUCUAACCACUGAGAAAUUUCUCUUUCUCUCAUGACUUCUUUAUCUUUAAAAUUGAUUAUUUUGAAUUCUUUUCCUUUAAAUUUACUUAAAAGCUUUUUGUUUAAAACAAUCAUAAUUAAGCCACAUGAAUUGUGGUAUGGGUUUUUUCAAAUAGACCCAAAUCGCUGACUUGAGCGUCGGAGGGUUCUCGCCGGAAAAACUUUCGGCACCUGCUGACUGUUGGCUGUGCUCACAGGCUCACAGGUUAUCUGGUCAUGGAUCGUCUGCUCAUGGAUCGUCCGCUCAUGGGUGGUCUGCUCAUGGGUGGUCUGCUCAUGGAUCGUCUGUUCAUGGAUCGUUUGCUCAUGGAUCGUUUGCUCAUGGAUCGUUUGCUCAUGGAUCGUUUCCUCAUGGAUUGUCUGCUCAUGGGUGGUCUGCUCAUGGAUUGUCUGCUCAUGGGUGGUCUACUCAUGAAUUGUUUGCUCAUGGGUGGUCUGCUGAUGGAUUGUCUGCUCAUGGAUCGUCUGCUCGUGGGUUGUCUACUCAUGGAUCAUUUGCUCAUAGAAAAUAUGCUCAUUGUGCUAACUAAUCAGCGGCUUCCCACCAAACAAAUUUAAUGCUGAUGCAGGAAUCUGAGAUCUGACCAACUCAUCCGAAUUUCGACAUCAACAGAAUGUACUCUGCCACUAUCACAUGGAACUUGGGAGCGAGCUUACUUGAAGAGGAAACAUUCAGCCCUGCUUUCUUCAAGGCCCUAUUAACAUGUUUCUGAGCCUUUUGGAAGUGGACCGAGCAGAGAGCAGGCGAAGUGGAUUUAAUUAUCGGCUUUCCACAUGUUAUGGGACCUUGCACAGCGCUAUAUGCGUACAAACAAGAAGAAAAAUUAUCAAUUUCAAGUCAUUUCUAAUCGUUUGGCAUUUUUGGUUAAACUUAUGGAUGCAUGUCACUUAUUUCAAAAUUUUGUGAACUCAGUUUGUAGUUGGUCAAAUAUUAAGGGAUCUGAAUUCUGCGAUCAGCCAGCAAAAGUUACCUAAUUUAUCUGAUUAUAUGUUUUUAUCAUUGCAUUUGAUCAAUGACAAAUGUUGAGGAUUUAGUAGAAAAUAUUUUCUUCAACUUUUAUAAAGAAAUUGCUAAUAAGAAGAAGCGUAAACUCAAAUGAUAUAAAACAAUGAAAAUUUUGAUAGAGCCAGCAAAUUGUUUCUGUUUUAACCAUUCAUGGCCUCUAUUUACAUUUUCAAUUUCGACUGCUGUAUCAUGGCUCGGCAUACAGCAUAUUAUACUUAUGUUUUAAUUGGGUAAAUUGGCUGUUUCGUACAGGUGUUAUUAAAAAAAAAAAUUUAAUCUGUUUAAAUCCAAUUAAAUGAGGUUAAAAUACAAUAUCUACCAGGACAAGGCCGUUUUGAAUUCUUAAUUACGUUAAUUUCUCGUCUAUAAUGAGCCCUCUUUGAGAUAAAACACAUACAAUCAAGCAAUCUGGCAGGCAUCAAGAUUAUUCAAUCGUUCAAGAUGAAUGCUCGUUUGCUUGUUAGCAGUAGUAGUACUGGGCAUCCUCUCCUCAUCGGUGCCUCCUGCAGCAGCAGUCAAUGAUGUUGUGGACUCACGAUUUCCUGGAGCAAUGUGCAUCAAAAUUAACACCAAACUAUGCAGCAGUCUAUGAUGUUGUGGACUCACAAUUUCCUGGAGCAAUGUGCAUCAAAAUUAACACCAAACUAUGGCCAGGAGAUUGAAGCAGGCAUGUACAAAGAUGGAAAGGAGAAGAACAAAGUACUUUCUGCUAAUUGCUGCGAUCAACUUAUAGCUGCAGGAUGGGAUAUUGGGAUUGUCAUGAAAAAUUUGUGGAGGUAACUCCACCUUUUCACAAUCAAACUGAAGCUGUGGCUAAUCAAAUUUGGCAAGGUUGCGUAUAUAGAUAUGAUUAUUGACCUAUUUGGUACUAAUAUCUCUCAAUGGGAUGUAAUCUCACACUUUUAAGAAAUAAUAAGAAUAAUUAUUAUUAAUUAGUCUUGUACAUGCAAUCAAUGUUGAAACUGAACAAUGUACCAUUGAACUCCAACAAUCAUAACAAAUGCCAAUGCAUUAGCAUGGAGUCUGAAUGUAAUAAACAGGGCAAUAACACAAAUAAUACCUUGGAAGUAGGCACCACCGUGCAAAUGGUAAAGUCUCAACCUGAAGAGGAAACAGCUUCCUGACAACUCUCUGCUUUGGAAACAUUUGCUUCGUCUUCAUGAAAACUGGGAGCUUUAGGAGUGAGUCCAAGAACCUUGAACAUGAGUUGAUCAGCAACGAAAUUGUUGUUCGGAGUUGUCAAAAGUUUCUCGCCAGUAAAGAUGGAAUUAGCACCGGCAAGAAAACACAGUGCCUGCUCUGGCAUGGAAGAACGAAUUCUUCCAGCUGAUAAUAUGACCAUUGCUUUUGGCAUGACUAUACGUGCUGUAGCAAUCAUCCGAAUCAUCUCCCAUAUUUCAACUGGCUGAACAUGGAAUUAGGAAAUCGACUUUGGUUAUUUCCAAGCAUAGAGUAACUUUUCAUGGACAUGGAAAGCUUUUUAGAUGCUCUUUAACAAUGAUGGCUGCCUUUUACAACAACACAGUGAGGGUAAAUAUGCUGAAGUAUAUCAUUCUUCCAAGCAAACACUACUCUAGAAACUUUUAUUAUCGGCAAUUUGUAUCAGACUACGUGGGUUUCACCAACAAUUUAUAUUAAAGAGCAAUAAAUGAUAAGAGAGAAACAACAUCAAUGACAGAAUAUGCUUGCAGUAAAAUAUAAUAUAUGCUUGCAGUAAGAUAUGAUAUAUAUAUAUUUAUAUAUAUUCCACCAAAACAUUAAAUGGUAUUGUGUUAAACAGGAAUAAAAUCACCUUCUGAUCUUGAAGAGGGGUGCCUUUCACUGCAAGCAGCGCAUUGAUGGGAACACUCUCUGGAUGAGUAGGGAGUGUUGCUAGUGUAUGCAACAAACCAACUCUGUCCUCCUCUGCUUCUCCAAGCCCUAUUAUACCACCUAUGAACAGAAAAUCAAAUACUCAUUGUCAAGAUCUGUUUAUCUUUGCAUUGAAAGACGAAAAAAGAAAGAUCUAUCAUCUAUUUGACAAUGAGGUUGAAGAAUGUUUGGUGAAUUUUAACAAUGGCACCUUGAAGUUAGAACAGAGAAUUGCAUGACUACCAAACUAAAAUGAAACGCUUAUGCAAAUAUCAUUGAUUUCAGUUCAUUUGAUGAUUUUGAGGCUUGAAAAAGGCAUUGCUUUGAAGGUUAGGAUUCCCAACUGAGACACAUGUUAAUUUCAAGUGAUGUUUGCAAAGACAAUCUAACUCCACAGACAAUAUCCUACCAAGCUUUAUUUAAACAAACAAAAAAAACAAAGUAGCCAUCAUCAUAGCCACCUCUUGAAUAAACAGAUUAAUUGUUUCCUUUCUAGAAUCUUAACACGUUUGGAAGGUUAUACCAGGAAUCUUGAAUCAACUCAGCAGUGUUAAUUUUAUUUUAUUUUUUAAAAUCAACUCAGCAGUGUUAAUUUUAUUUUAUUUUUUAAAUUCUAGUAAAAGAGAAUAAACCCUUUAACGAAAUUUCAAACUCUCUGUUCAGCGAAACUGAAAUUCAACUGAACCCAGGAACUUAAAACUCUGGUAUCUGUUGCCAAUGAUGGAGAUAAGUGAUAUUUGUGCUCACUUAAGAGACUUUUAAUAGAUUUAGUAACUAAUUACAUCUCAAUCCUAACCCUGGCCUCUUUGACAUGACUAAUACUUAAAAAGCUGCAAAGGACAAAAACCACCAACAGCAUAUGGAAUUGUAUCAUAUGGUUUGGCACCAAUAUGAACCCUAGGUGAUGAGCUUGUCUACCUUUCAGAAGGGGUACAUAUCAUCUUAAAAGUGGAUAUGAUCUUUCUCUGGAGGUUAAAGAAAGCCAUACAACAUAAAAAUUCUUCCUUCCCUUUUCUACUGUUUUUCACCAUUUAAUUUCUCAAUUCGCCCAUUCAACCAAUAGAAGGUGGCAAGAUAAAAGUCCACACAGAAAAAAUGCUCAAUAAGAUAGCAUAAUCAACACUAUAGUACAAAAUUACCUGAACAGACAUUAAUCCCAGCUUCACGGACAUGCUUAAGGGUUUCCAAAUGUUCAUCAUAACUACUUGUAGUAAUGAUUUUGGGGUAAUAUUCUCUUGAGGUAUCAAGGUUAUGGUUGUGCGCUGUAAGGCCUGCUUUCUUGAGUUCUAUAGCCUGCUGCUUCUCCAGCAUGCCCAAGGUGCAGCAAACCUCCAUUCCCAUGUCCCUCAUACAUGACAGAUUAAAACCCAGCUCAACAUUUGGCGGAUAAGCAAGAAAAUCUAAGACAAAGUUAGUCAAAUUUUCAAAAGCUAUGGCAAACAAUUAAUAGGACAAGUAGCUCAUGAAGCAUUGUAGAAGUUCUAUUACUUUUGAAACCUACGGAAACCCAAGAAAAGAAUUGAUGUUAAAAUUAUGAAUUGGAAAGCAUCAUAACAUAAGACAGAAGCUGUAUUCCAUGUAAUUCUUUUGUUGAAAAGAAAUAUUCGCUGGCUGUGUGUUGUUGCAUAUAACUUGAUAGUAAAAUACAAAAGCAUAUUCAAAUUUCUUGCAUUUAACAAAAUAAAAUUUUCAUCAACCCAGAGUUGACAUUACAUUACAGUCAACAUCUACAGUACUUACAUUGUCCAAGUAUCACAACUGAAUUCAUAGGGGGGAAAAUAAAAAGUAAAGAGAACUGAUAUAAGAAAUAUACAACCCUGUUAAUUAUGGUUCUAAAUAAGUUCCCUUAAUUGUGGAAUUCCCACAUUAUAAUAAUGUAGCAGGCUCAUUAUCUACAACACAAUCAUCCAAUCAAAAGCACGAUUAAAAAUUCACCUCCUUCUUUAACAAUGAGGACUUUCAUCAUGAAUUGCUUUAUUACCUUAUAUCUUUUACGUAUUCAAGUGUUUGGUUGAAAUUGGUUUUCCUCCCUAUUGUGUCUCUCCAUGCAGCACCCAUUCAAAAUCAUGUACUUCCGGCCUCCUUUGCCUGCAAAAGUAUAAUUAUAUUGAUAACAAGCUACUAAGAAACUAGCAUUGUAUCAUGUGAAACACAAAGCUCGUCAAACAAGUUUGAUAGAUAUUUGAAGAAGUUUUCACCAAUAUGGAAAACUGUAAUGGGUAGAUCUCAAUCCAUUCAUAAAGAUAGGCAUUCAAACAAGUUGUCGAUAUAUAAAAUUGAACUCAAAUGUAUAUUAAUAUGAUAUUGCAGUAAUUAGCCUCACAUUCAAAUCCAUAAUUGACUUGGAAAUCCCUCAUAGUAACAGAGUAUAACCAAAAAAAUUAAUCAACACUGCAUUUUUUCUAGUGCUAUGUCCGCAUCAGGAUAAACUAAAUCAGAUUAUUGCCCCUUAAAUGAGCGCAUGGAUAAGAAAAUAGCUUAGGGUAAAUAGUCAUUCAUCAGUACUCUUGUUCUUGUAAUGUUCUCUCCCUUUUCCAACUAAAUUAUCUUGCGGAACUUGUGAAUCACAUUUACUUUUCAAUUAAUUAAAAUCAAGUCUCUCCAUUUUCACAUGUAUAGCAUAUGUGCAAGACUAGUAUCGAGAAUUACUUUCAAAGCUCCGUAAUUUUCCAACCCUGUUCCUAUAUUGCUGCUCUAACACACCGUGAAGCUUACUCGAACUACAGAACAUUUACAAUCAAUUUUAAAAGAAUAUGCCAUUAAAGAAUCAACAACCACCAGCAUCUUGGAUAUAGCAAUUCACAGUGAACUUUGCUGACCUUUUGUGCUGCCUGCAUCACGGCGUCUUUAGUCAUAAGCUUUUGGCCCUUCACUCCAGUGUCAUAUCCAGAGGAUUGAGGACAAUAUGAACAAUCCUCACUGCAUCCACCCGUCUUGAUGGAGAGGAGAGUGCACUGCUGCGCUUCCCUGAAGUUAUGAGCAUGUCUGUGAACUUGAGCCUGAAAAAUAAAAAGAACCUCCUACCUAGUUGCUCAAUCGGUAACAAUAAGUUUGCAUAUAGUUACUUUUUAAAAAAAAAAAAAAAUCAACAGUGUAUUAUUGCCUACAAAUAAAUUUUAAACCAAAAAGAUCUCGCAGGGCAUUAUGUUCUUGGAAAACAUGAUACUCCUCUUCUACUCCAAAAGACUAAUACCAGACACUUUUGUCAAAAACUGUUUUUGAAAAUCAUUAGACAACACAUUUUUCAAAUAUUCUAAGUUUCCUGUUUUCAUUCUUGAGAAUAAUUUGUGAAAAAAGAAAAAAUUCUAAAAUAAUCCCAAAGCAUUAAAAGAAAAAAAAAACAGAUACCAGCCCACUAAAACUGCAAAAAAUACAUUAGCAGAAUGGGGGUUCUAAAUUAAAACAAAAAUAAGAAACAAAAACAUAUUGAAUGAGAGAAGUGAAAAAUACAGACUCCAUGGAAGAGGAGAUCGAGAACAGGAGAGUCGUAGAUAGAUUUGAUGUCAUAUUUAGACCAAUCGUGUCUGGGACCUUCACGUAUUGUUCUUUCAGCUUCAAUGGCAGCAGCCGAGGCUGAGUAACACGAGCAAGAAGAAUGCAAUGCCAGAAAUUUCUUUGAGGGUCUUAAACUUAAACUACGUUGCGAACGCAGUAACGAUCGAAACGACAUCAUUUUGAUUUUUUUUUUCCGUUGCUGGAGCUGCACUGGAUUUUUGGCGAUGAAAACUAGGAGUGUCAAUCGAGAGAGAAGAAAGAAGAAUAAGACGAAAAGUUAGAUAGCUACUUGCUACCGACCUAAUUUUUUUGAACUUUGAAGGAUAUAGGCAUAUACGUGGCUUUGUUUCUUAAACUAUAUUUGUAAUUACAUCUAGGUCGCUAAUUGCUUUACUAUUUCUCAAACAAGAGCAUAGUUUCUCUAUUUUUAUCAUAUAGGUCCUAGUAAUAGUUCCUUCUUGUUUAGAUGUACGGAGAGUACCGACAAUACUCUCCACCCAUUUUUUUUGAAAGGUACUGCAAGAACGAUCACCCAAAAAUUAAGUGAAAAAUAAGAUUUUAUUAUUUAUUUAAAAAAUUAUAUUAACUUUUCAAAUUUUAAAAAAUCUUUUUAAUUAAGAUUUUAAAAUAAGAGAUAUUCUUUCUUCGAUUUUAUAAGGUGCUUUCUACAUCUUUAAUUUAUAUUUUAUUAUUUUGUAUUAAAAAAAAUAAUUUAAUUACUAUUUAUUUAAAAAAAUAAUUAUUUAAUUCAAAUAAUUUUGAUAAGAAACUUUUUAAAAAAUAUAUUUUUUCACUUUUCUAUUUAUCACAUAAGUAAGUAAAUAAAUAUUUAAAAAAUAAAAUUAAUAGUAUUUUUUAAUGAUGCUCUAAGUAUAUAUUUUAUUAGGGGUUGUUUGUUACCAGGUCUCCACAUUUAUUAAUUCAGUUAUUUUGUAAACCACUUCUUGGUGGAAUGCUGGUAUAUUUUUUAAGAGUUGGAUUAUUGGCACCCCUCCAUAAUUCUUUUAAAACCCCUCUUCUAUUAUAAUUACAUUUUAGGACAAUACUAUAAUAUAUCUCAUAUCUAUUUUAUCUCAUUUCAAACUUUUGUUUUUUCUCUCUUUAAAAAAAAAAGAAAAAUUCUUAUAUUUUCUCUGCUAUCACAUUCACACAUGUAAUUUUUUUCUCAAAUUCUCUAUAAAUUUUUCUUCAAUUAAUAAGAUAAUGUAUUGAUAAUAAACAAAACACAUUCUGAUAAAAUUGUCUUACUUUUUUUUAAGUUCAUACUAAAACUUUUUACAUCAUAAUCUUAGAGAUAAUUUAUUUGAUUCAUUGAUUUUUAUAAAGAAGUUUAUCACUGAUAAAAAUUAUUUGUGAGGAGUGAGAAAAAAAAUAAAAAAUUAAAAGAUUCACAAAUUAAAUGUGUUUAUUUAGAAGUAAGGGUAAUUUUGACAUUAUGUCUAAUAUAAUUGAAAAAGGGGUUUUAAAAGAAUUUUGGAGGAGUGUCAAUAGUCCAACUCAUUUUUUAAUGCACUUUCUUGACUUGGCUUAUGAUGGACCUGUUUUGUAAUAGCCUUCAACCAUGGGUUGCUUCUCCCUGACCUAUGAUAGGCUCUAUUGGCACCCCUCUAUUUUAUUUAUAAAACCCCUUUCCUUUUGUAUUUAUAAUUCUAUCGUUUAUAUAUCAAACGCAAAAAUUCAUCUAAUUAAACGGAAUUUGCUAUAAACUAAGUUUAAUUCACUUUAUAAUUUUUGUUUGCGAGAAAAAUAAUUUUGUGAAGUAUUGUUAAUUUUAUGAGCUUGUUAAGGUACAUCCAAACCUUCUGGUUAUUCAUAAAUUAUCUUCUUCUUUGUCGAUUCUAAAGAAGAGUGCAUACUUGUAUUACAAAAACACCAUAUGUACAUUUGAGGGUUUAACUUUAAAGUAGGAGAAUAAUAGCAGCAUAGCAUUACUAGUUGGGAGGUUAUUGAGGAGGUUUAUAAAAAGAGAAGGGAUUUGAUGAGGAUGAUAGAGGGGCGCCCAUAGCAGAUAGCACCAUUCUAUGAAUGUUUGUAAUGUGUUCCAAACGCCAAUUUUUUGGGUGCGCUCAAAUCUAUGUAUUGAAAGUCGAACUCCAUAAUUUAUAAUAUUGUCUUAUUGUUUCGGUUUAAGGAUAUAAUUAUGUAGCAUAAAUAAAUUGAUUGAUAUAGUUUUAAAUAUUUCUGAUAUCAAUGUCUAAAUGUUUAUCUAUAUCUUCUUUUUAUAAUAAAAACAUUUUUAAUGUAUUGUACAUUACUUAGCUAUCUCAGAGAAUUGCUCAUUUGCGCGUGGACUUGUAAUUGAUUGAUAAUUGUAUAUAUUUGUUGUCAAUAUUAUUAAAUGUUAAAAAAAAGACAAAUACACUUUGGUGAUUUUUUUUUAAUUGGAUAGAUUUUGCAUAAGAAGAUUACAUGAACAUAUUCUCAUACUCAAUUAAUAUAUUUCAAAUUCACCGAAUAAUUAAAGAAAGGGUGGGGUUCUUUAAACCCCUCAAAUUUCUUUCUAAACCCAUUUUUUAAAUAAACUCGUAACUAAAAUUUAAAAAUAUUAAUUUCAUUUCUAUUCAUUUGAGAAUUUCAAAAAUAACCCUUAGUAGAAUUUCUAUACAUUGAUAUUUUUCUAAUUGUUCUUGAUUUGAACUAACAAAGAGACUUGCCUUUGUCAAUUUGAAAAACAUUUGACAUCAUGUAGAGAUAAAUUUCAGUUAAUCAUCUUCAAUCAAACCUUAUUUGAAUUAUAAAAUCAUUUUUUAAUGUUGGUAUUUGCACUAAUUAUUCCUUUUGAAAGGGAGAGGAACUUGCACAUUCCCAAAUAUUCCUUCAAGAAGUUACAAACCAAACGAUUUACUAGUUUCUAUUGUUUAAUGUAAACUCCAGGAAUUGAAAUAUCAAGAGAUAGUUUCAUCUUGUGAUACAAUUUUUUUUAAAACUAUCAAAAAAUAUUUUUGAUAUACCAUUUAUGCAAAUAUAAGAAACUAUUUAUCUGUAAAUUUGAAUUAGAUUUCUCUCAUCAACUAUCAUAUUUUCAAUAUAAACUAAAACAACUCACGCUAGUUUAAAUAGAUGGAUGCUGAAAUAUGAAGUAAUUUUGAUACUAACAUGUUUAUAUAAGUAAUUUUAUCAAAGGAUAUUUUAGAGAAAAAAAUAUGUUGACUAAAGAUAAACUCUAGUUGGUUAGUAAACAAGUUCAUUUUUAUAGUAAACGAGUCAAAUUUGAUUUUAGAACUUUUUUGUUAAAAAAAUCUGACUACUAAAUAAAAAUAAAUUUGAUUUCACUAAAUAAAAAAUUUUGAUUACUAAAUAAAAAAUACAUUUGAUUGCUAAAUAAAAAAAUCUAAUUACUAAAUAAAAACUAAAAUAUUUUACUGUAAAAGUUGACAUGUUAUAAGAGAUAUUUUACCUGAUCAAUUUUAAUUCAAUUAAGGCAUGAUAGUUUUUUUAAUUUAAAAGUAGAAAGUUAACAGGUUGGAUGUGCGGUUUUACAUAAAAAGUUAAUAGGUGCAUAUUGAUAUUUGUCAAAACAUUUGGAUGUGCAUGGAAAUGAACCUUUCCAAAUGUUAAAAACGGUUGCCCAUGAUUAAUUUCUAUUCUGACCUUUAAUCUCAACCAUCCCUUUUCAGUCUCUAGAUCCAACGAAUCAAAAAUGCAUGGCUGUUACGUACAGUUUCUGUGACGUAGCCAGCUCCUUUUCAAUGAAUUUUAUUGACUUGGCUUAUGAUGAAUCUGUUUUGUAACAGUCUUCAACGGUGGGUUGCUUUUCCGUACCUAUGAUUGGCUCUAUUGGCACCCCCAUAUUUUAUUUAAAAAAACCCUUUUGUUUUGUAUUUGUAAUUUUAUCGUUUAUAUAUCAAACGCAAAAAUUCAUCUAAUUAAACGGAAUUUGCUAUAGUUUUAUUUACUUUAUAAUUUGUGUUUGCAACAAAAAUAAUUUUUUGAAGUUUUCAUAAUUGUUAAUUUUAUGAAAUUGUUAAGGUACAGUCAAACCUUCUGCUUAUUAUUUUUUUUUUAUAAUGAAAAACUUAAAUAAAUUAAAAAACAUAUCCAUGAAUUAUCAUCUUCCUUUUCGAUUUUGAAGAAGAGUGCAUUCUUGUGUUGCAAAAACGUACAUUUGAGGGUUUAACUUUAAAAUAGGAGAAUAAUGGCGAGAAUAAUAGCAGUAUAGCAAUACUAUUUGAGAGGUUAUUGAGGAGGUUUAUAAAAAGAAAAGGGAUUUGAUGAGGAUAACUGAGGGAUGCCAGCAGCACUCUAUAAAUGUUUGUUUGUAAUGUGUUUCCAAUGUGAAUUUCUUGGGUGCGCUUAAAUCCAUGUAAUGAAAGUAGAACUUAUAAUUUAUAAUACUAUCUUAUGGUUUCGGUUUAAGGAUAUAAUUAUGUAGCAUAAAUAAAUUGAUUGAUAUAAUUUUAAAUAUUUCUAAUAUCAAUCACUAAAAGUUUAUCUAUAUUUUUUUUAUAAUAAAAACAUUUUUAACGUAUUAUACAUUACUUAGCUAUCUCAGAGAAUUGCUUAUUGAGGUGUGGACUUGUAAUGAUCAUAAAAAUGUCAAUAAUGAAAACGAAAAGCAGUAAUAUGAAAACUAGUAGAGCCAAGUACUCGGCAAGAAGGAGUUAACCUAGGGUAUGUUUUAAAGACUUAGAAGAAAUGAUGAGAAAGCUUAACUCACUUCAUUGAUUUACAAAUACCAAUAUAUACAACGAAGAGUGCAACAACUACCUAUAUUAUUGGUUUGUUACAACUGAAUAUAUCUUUACAUUCAAAAUACUUUGAACAUGUAAACUCCUAUAAUCAUGGAGGAGAAUCCUCUAUCAUGCCCCCUCAAGAUGGACUUCUUGAAAGCAGUCCGAUCUUGCGUCGAAGUUGAAGGAAGCGUGGUGGUGGGAGAGCUUUUGUAAGAGCAUCAGGUAGCUGAUCAUUAGAUGAUACAUGUGCUACCCGUAAGGAACCGUUUUGAACUUGCUCCUUGAUAAAAUGAAAUCAAUGGUAACAUGUUUCAUCCUUGAGUGAAAUAUUGGAUUGGAAAACAACUGAGUUGCUCCCACAUUAUCGUAGUAAAUAAUUGGACAAUUAGGCACUCUAAUAUGCAGGUCUGUUAACAGUGAUCAUAUCCAAGUAAGCUCAGCUGUUGUAUUGGCAACAGAGCGAUACUCAGCUUUGGUGGAGGAUCGUGCCACUGUACGUUGUUUCUUCGAACACCAGGAUACUAAAUUUCGACCAAGAUAUACCAAGUACGCACCUGUCGAUGAAAAAUAAUCUUUGUUACCUGCCCAGUCGGCAUUAGAAAAGGCAUGUAUACUAGUGGAAGAAUGAUGAUAUAGUUGAAUACCCUCAUUAACAGUACUUGCCAAAUAUCGAAGGAGUCGCUUGACACAGGUCCAGUGGUCAGUUGUCAAACAAUGCAUAUACUGUGAUAAGCGAUUAACCAUGAAAACUAUGUCUGGCCUGCUAAUUAAAAGAUAUUGUAGACUGCCCAACAUAGCACGAUACUCAGUGGCAUCAUCCAGGGGAGUGCCAGAUUGUGACGUCAGUUGCGCAGUGGUUGAAAGAUGAGUGAGUACCGAUUUCGCUGCCAUCAUGUUUGCUCGAUUUAAUAACUCCAGUAUAUAUCUUCUUUGAGACAAGAUCAACCCCUGGUCAUUCGGUACAACUUCAAUGCCCAGAAAAUAUGCCAAUUUUCCAAGAUCUUUGAGAGAUAAUUGCUUGGCAAGAAGAGCUAUAAAUUCAUUAAUCUUGAGAGGCUUGUCCCCCGUGAUUAUUAGAUCAUCAACAUACACAAUGAGAUAUAGAAUAUGUGUGCCAUCAUUAUAUACAAAUAGUGAUGUAUCAGCCAUAGAAUUUUUUAAUCCAAAUUGAAUAAGAAAUUAUCGUAGUUCAUUAUACCAGGCGCGUGGAGCUUGCUUUAGUCCAUAGAUGGCCUUUCAAAGCUUGCAGACAUAGUUAGGUUUGUCACCAUCUAUGAAUCCUUGAAGUUGAGCCAUGUAUACAUCCUCAUACAAGUGCCCUUGAAGGAAUGCAUUAUUUAUGUCUAGUUGGCGUAGCUCCCAUCCAUGACUGACUGCAAUGCUUAGAACAAUACGAACUGUUGUUGGCUUUACAACCGGACUGAAAGUAUCAUGGAAAUUGACCCUUGGUCUUUGAUGGAAUCCUUUGGCCACCAAGCGGGCUUUGUACCUGUCAACAGAGCCAUCAUAAUUUAUUUUUAUUCAAAAAAUCCAUUUACACCCAACAAGAUUAUGAUUUGGAGAUGGUGAAACAAGAUCCUAUGUCCCAUUCUUAACUAAAGCAUUAAACUCAUCUGACAUUGCUUAUCUCCACUUGGAGUCUUUUGACGCUUGAGUCACUGUGGUUGGUUCGAUUUCAUCUGUGGUGGCAAGUUGAGCAAGGAGACUCAUUCUGCGAAUAGGUUUAUGAAUAUUAUUUUUAGAUCUGGUGACGAUGGUGUGAGCGGGUGGCAUUGAUGGUUCUAGGGUAGUGAGUGUGGUGUGUUGAGAUGCACAAGGUUGUAUUUGAGGAGCUUCAGCCACAAAUGACGUAGUGAGUGGCAGAGUAGUUGUGGAGAUAGGUAUUUGUAGGGGAGGAGGAAACCAGGUGGCUAUUGUGUGUGAUUGGUUUAUGGACUCUUGUGGUUUUUGGUGGACGAACGAGAAUAUAGACUCUACAAACUUGACAUGUCUAAAGACGUAAACUUUGGAGGAACUUGUAUCACGACACAAAAACGCACCCUGACUUGUCAAAUAACCAAGAAACACACAUAGUUUAGAAUUGGACUCUAGUUUGUGAACUGUAUAAGGUCUGAGCCACGGGUAGUAAAGACACCUAAAAAUUUUGAGUUUGUUGUAAUUGAGUUUUGCCUAAAAAAUUUUCUCAUAGGAUGAAUAAUACUGGAGGGUUGGUGUGGGCAUCCUGUUUAUGAGGUAAACGACGGUGGCAAAAGCAUAUGGCUAAUAUUGUAAAGGUAUUGAUGCAUGGGACAAAAGUGCAAGACCAGUUUUGACAACAUGCAGAUGGCGACACUCAGACAUACCAUUGUGUUUUGGGGUGUGUGGGGGAGUGGUGAGAUGAGAAAUUUCAUUUGUAGAAAGAAAAUUGGUUAGUGCAAUUAAUUCACCACCAUUGUCAGAGUACAAGGUUUUGAUGAGUUUUUCAAAUCGUUUUUCAACAAUGGCUUUGUAUCUUAUAAAAACUUCUUUGACAUUAGAUUUGUUUUUCAAUAGGUAAAACCAAAUAUAUUUUGUGUAGUGAUCGACAAAAAUAACAUAAUAUUUGUAUCCAUUAACAGAGACCACAAGAGACGUCCAAAUAUCAGUGUAUAUAAUUUCAAAAGGAUGUGAAGAUGAUAUUGUAGAUUUUGAAAACAACAACUUAUGACUUUUAUUUGACAAACACGCAUUACAAUUGACAUCAGACAACAUAGAAGACGUUACACUGAGUUUAUUGGAAGAAAAAAAUUGUUUUAAAAUGGGAAUGGUAGGAUGUCCUAGCCUAUGAUGCCAAUUAGAAGACGAGGUCGUGACACUUGAAAAAGAAAUAAUUGGGGUGGAGUCUGACCACUCAUAUACGCUACCUUUAGCUUGACCCUUCAAAAGUGUUGUCCCUGUGCUGAGUUCCUUCACAAGAAAAGUAUCUGGUAAGAAUUCUAUGGAAGCAUUGUUAGAAUUGCAAAAUUGAUAAAUAGAAAUAAGAUUUCUCUUCAUGCUUGGAACACGUAGGAAAUUGUCUAGAAGAAAAGACUUAUGAGGAGAGUUUAAAGUUGUUGAACCAGUGUGAGUUAUUUGUAACUUAGAUCCAUGCCCUAUCAUCAUAUCAUCACCUCCUCUGUACGGGUUAUGUAAAGAGAGAUUUUCCAGAUCAGCUGUUACAUGAUGCGAUGCACCACUAUCUAGGAGCCAGGUUUGAUUGUUGUUUGUUGUGGCUGCAUAAUUUGCUUUUGGCUGCCAUGGGGUGGAUGAGUGGUUAUUGUUUGACUGCACAGGUUGCAAUUUGUAAGAUGGACAUUUCUUGGCAGUGUGUCCUUGAAUGCGAUAGAGUUGGCAGUAGCCAAGGUAUGGGCGUUGUUGUCGCUGAGUGGAAUUGUUGUUUUGGGGCACUCCUGUGUUGCGGUUUGGGUUGGAGGAGUUUUGGUUAGUUUCGCUGUUGAUACGCCAAUUGUUGUUGGUACGAGUUGUCACAUGGGCUGUUAUUGGGAACAUUCUGUCAGGUUUUGAAGUGUUUAGAGAUGCCUCAAAAUUGAGUAACUUUUCAUGAAGUUUUUCGAAUAUGAUAGGGGUGUCCCUGGCUUGUACAGCUCGGACCAGCUCCUUAUAGUCAUCUCCAACAGCCUCCAGAAUUUUGUGCGUAAGAUCAUCUUCGUCAUAAGGUGCGCCAAGAAGUGUAAGUUCAUCUGCCUGAGCCUUAAUAUUUUGGAGAAAUUCUAUAAUUGAUGCUAACCCUCUAGUCAUUUGUUUAAUCUGGCUUUUAACUUGCUUAAUACGUCCUCUGGAAGGCUUUGCAUAGGUGUUGGCAAGUGUUAUCCACGCUUCUUUGGAUGUUUUAGCAGUGGCCACAAAUGGGAUGAUGUUGGGUGAGAUGAAGCCAAUUAUGGCAUUGAGGAUCAGUUGAUCCUGGCGAACCCAAAGUGAAUGAGCUGGAUUCGGGGUAGUAGUGUUGUUGUCUGUUAUUGUAGCUGAAGGACAAGGUUUAAAACCAUCUAUGUAGCCAAGAAGAUCAUAGCCUACGAAGAGAGUUUGAAAUUGCAAUUUCCAUGAUAAGUAAUUGGUUGAUGUGAGUUUGAGAGGAGUUUGUGCAACUACAUUAAUGGUGAUUAAGGUGUUGUUGAGGUCAUUAGUGUUUCUGAUGGUGGUGGCCAUUGCAGGAUUUACUUUCCAUAAAUAAGGAGAGAAAGAGAGAGCCUCUAGUGCUCUGAUACCAUAAAGACUUAAAAGAAAUGAUGAGAAAGCUUAACUCACUUCAUUGAUUUACAAGUACCAAUAUAUACAGCAAAGAGUGCAACAGCUACCUAUAUUAUUGGUUUGUUACAACUGAAUAUAUCUUUACAUUCAACAUACUUUGAACAGGUAAACUCCUGUAAUCAUGGAGGAGAAUCCUUUAUCAUGUUUACAUUUAGUUUCCACCAAUAUUUCAAAAUUACCGAAUAAGGCCACUUAAUAAAAAGUUGAGAAAAUAAAUAUUUAUUGAUUUAUUUCAAACAUUGCAUGUGUUAGGAGCAUUAAAUGUGAAAUUUUGUGGAAGAGGUACCCUGGACCACUCUCCAGCGCGCACCACGUCUCCAAAGGAUGAGAUACGCCGCAAACAUGCACAUAAUGACCCAAAAAUCAUAAAAAGGUAAAAAAGACGUUAGCCAAAAAUGGUACGCCAUGUGGCAGCUGAGGUACUCCAUACAUAAAGGUGCCUAGGUUUCAUUCUCCAUUAUGCUCCAAUUUACCAACAACACUUACACUCUACAAAAUAGGUUUUCUUCAACCUUAAAAAUUAAUUUACAGAGGGUUGGCAAGCUCUCUUGGCUAUAAAAAGCUUGAGUUUGCUAACUUGAGCGUCGGAGUGUGAACGCCGAGGUACCCCGGCUUCACCUCUAACCUCUAUUUCACUGUUUUGCAGGCGUGAAGCUCAUUUGGAAGGACUUUUUUCUUGGUUCAGACCUUUGUCCAUUGUUGCCACUCCCUAUUUCCUUCUCACCUCCCUGAAUUUCGAAUACACCGCACACAACAAACCAGUGAGAUACCUCGUCUCCCCCAAAAAUACAAAUUCAUUGUUCUAGAUAUGUUUGACUUUUCCUACCCUUAAAUCUAUCGAAAACAAUUGGCGCCGUCUGUGGGAAGGCGCACAAAAAGCCUCCUCUACGGUUACCAAAUUAGUUAUUGUGUGUACCGUUGAGUGUUAGAAAAUGUAUAUUUAUAAAGGAGAAAACCGUCAUUUUACAUUUCAAGUUUUACUAACAACCCUUACUUUUAUGUAUUUAACCCUCUUGUGAUUUAAUUACGUGUGUUUUAUUUUAAUUAAGUAUUUUAUGUAUUUUAGGGGCAUUAUAGUCAUUUCACAAUAAAGGAGAGAUCAGACGGCAAAACGGACAUCAUUUUUGAACUCAGGACGGUCGAAAAUCUUAGGAGGAGCAUAAAAGGAAAAAUAGCACUAUUCACAUGUACGGUACUAUUCACGUGUACGGUACUGUAUACGUUACUGUUCACGACACUGUUCACAUAUACGGAUCGAUGAUGUGGCAUUGACCGAUGAUGUGGCAUUGACUGAUGAGGUGUCACGAUCCUGUUAGACUAAAAUUCUUAUGUACUGUUGAUGGUGACGUGGCAACAUAUCAAUGGACGAAAAAUCUCGCGUACGGUACAUGCAUCACACAGGAUUAUUUUCAACCAAACCGCGUUACUGUUCAUCCGGGUCAAACUGUGUUACUGUUCAUCCGCGUGGUCAAACCGCGUACUGUUGACUGAUGACGUGGCGCAAUCCUGAGCGUCCAAACUAUUUUUAAUCCGAUGGCCAUGAUUUACUCCAUGUAUCUAUAAAAAGGAGGCCUCCCCCCUAAUUUGAUAUAUCUGAAUCCAUUUUUGGGAUUCAUUUUCUUUAAUUCCCUCUCCAUCUUGUAUUUUCUACGUAUUUUAAUAAAUUUCCAUUUUGCCCUUAGUUCAAUUAUGAGUGGCUAAUUUUCUUUCAAGCUUGGGUUGAAGGUGAAGUCUCAACAUGUGUCGUGGGCUUUAUUUGGUAAAUUUGUUUUCUGUUCCCCUCUAAUUUUUGUGGAUGAUUUGACUUUUCGUCGACAAAUAAUAAUAAUCUUGUCUAGAUACCGCCUUGGUUACACCGGCUCUCUAGUACAAGGUUAUUAUUAUUUGGCACGAUAAGCCCUUAGCACCAUAUUGAUUAGAGCGUGGUUCAUGAGGUGUGGAUUCCCCCCUCAUGAUUUAAUUGGCAUUAAUAAGGAUUAUUUAUCCCAUGAUGCAUGUUGAUACGGAUCCAGAUACCCAAGUACGUCAUUUCAAUAGAAUUCUCUUCAAUUUAUUCUCGCCAUUUCAAUUCCAAUUUUAAAAUUUAUUCUUGCCAUUUUAAUUUAAGUUUUAGCAUAUUCCAAAUCGUUUCCACCACAAAUCCAAUCACCCAUUUACAAAAUUAAUUCUACACACAAUUAAAAUCCACCUCCUCGUGGGAUCGACACUCGUCACCAUUGAUCUAUACUAGAAUAGAUUCGUGCGCUUGCGAGUACAUUAAAAUUUGCACAACAAGUUUUUGGCGCCGUUGCCGGGGAGGUAAGUAAUUUUAAUUCAUAGAAUUAAUUUUUGUGAAUAAUUCCAUUUAAAAUUUUUUCUUGUAUUUUUUUUAAAAAAAAAAGAAAAAAAAAAGUGAAUCUACAUUUAAAGGUUAGUAUUUCUUUUCUUUUUCUCUUCUUUAAAUUUCUAUAAUUUAAUUUUCAAUUUAUUUUUCUUUGUAAUUUUUUUAUCUUAUUAAUUUAUUCUUAGUUAAUUUUUUUUCAUGUAUUUUUUUUAGUGUGUUUUUAUAAUAAGGUUGUAAUAGCGCAAUAAGGUUAGUAUCGUAAUUUCUCCCUCUUUUUUAUUUUUUUUUGUUUUGUUCCCAUCUUUAUUUUUAUUUUAUUUGUUUUGCAUGCAUGGUCGUAGGUCAUUAUUACCUAAUCUUGAACCUAUAGACCUUGAACUUGAGAAAACACUUCGCACACACAAGCACGUUAAAAAUAAAUUUGAAAUGGAUUUACAAGCACCACAGGAGAGGCCAUUUAAGGACUAUUUUAGUCCCUUAGCUAAUUUGAGCACAUCAUGUAUAAGAUACCCAAAUGUAGCUGCUAGGAGUUUUGAAUUAAAACCUAGUGUGCUAAAUUGUCUCCCAACAUUUUAUGGCCUAGAAAAUGAGGACCCAUAUAAUCAUCUGAAUGAUUUUCAUGCCAUUUGUCAAACUUUUAAAUAUGAAAAUUUUUUAGACGAUGAUGUUAAACUCAGAUUAUUCCCAUUUUCUUUAAAGGAUAGAGCUCGUUCAUGGUUAAAUACUUUACCUGCUAAUAAAUGGUGACUAAAUUUUUGAAUAAAUAUUUCCCAGAGCAUAAAACUAAUGCUAUUCGCAGGGAAAUCUCGGAGUUUACCCAGAGAGAGGACGAUCAAUUUUUCGAAACAUGGGAGCGAUUCAAUGGGCUACUCUUGAAAUGUCCACAUGGGUACGAGAAAUGGCACCAAUGCCAAUACUUUUUGGAGGGAUUACUACCAAAUGUGCAAGAAUGGCUAAUGGCAACAAGUGGAGGAGAGCUAAUGUCAAAAAGUGCAUCAGAGAUUUGGGAAUUCUUCCAGCGACAAGCGGAUAAUUCCCAACAACGGAGUCGAUCACUUGGGAAUACUAGAAGAAUUAAGGGAGUAAAUGAGGUUCAAAUUGGCGAGUCAACUUCGGGAAUCAAAGAAGUCAAUGAGAUGGUUGAAGGUCUUGCUCGACAAAUAGCAUCGUUAUCGACUGCUAAAUCAACAGAGCCACAUGACCCUGACUCAUAUCCAGAUCAAGCCAAUGCCAUAGGUGUAAUGAGAAAGCCAUCAAAUUACAACCCAUACUCCAACACAUAUAAUCCUGGAUGGAGGGACCACCCCAAUUUUUCAUGGUCUCAAGGAUUCCAACAGAAUGGACCAGCAGCUCCAGCUCCACCAAUGCAACAAAUUUCUCAAAUUCCUCAAGCCUCUCAGCCACCAUUUAGACCAUACAAUCAGAACCAGAAUUACUCUCAACCCAGACCAUGGGAGGAUGCAUUCCAGAAUUUCAAGAAUGUUACUCACUCCACGAUUGAGCAACAGAACCGCACCAUUGAUGGACUACGAAAUGAGUUGAGAGCAUGCUUCAACUCACAAGUUCAAUCAGUUUCAAGCCUCGAGAAGAUGGUGAGACAACUUGCUUCUUCAGUUCAAACCUUGGCAAUGAUUGUUGAGAAAGGCAAGUUUCCAAGUCACCCAGUGCCUAAUCCUAAAGGAGUGUAUGAAGCAAGUACCAGUUCACCACAGCAGCAUGGAGAAGUCAAAACAGUCAUGACCUUGUGAAAAGGAAAAGAAGUCGACAACAAAGUGGAGAUGCCGGUGAUAAAAGAAAAUUAAAUUGUACAUGUGAAUGUUGAGGACUCACCACCGGAGGAGAAAGAAGAAACCAACCCACGAGAAUAUGUUCCCAAAGCUCCAUUUCCUCAGAGGUUAGCUAAAGGAAAAAAGGGAAAAUGCACAGGUGAGAUUCUUGAAUUCUUCAAACAGGUAAGUGUUAACAUCCCUUUACUUGAUGCUAUAAAGCAAGUUUCAUCUUAUGCCAAGUUUCUUAAAGACCUUUGUACUAAAAAGAGAAACAUUCAUGUUCAAAAGAAGGCAUUUUUAACAGAAAACGUUAGUUCUAUACUCCAACAUAAAAUUCCUCUAAAAUGCAAAGACCCAGGCUCCCCCACUAUCUCAUGUAGCAUAGGGAACCACACAAUUGAGAAUGCUUUGUUGGAUUUAGGAGCUAGUGUAAAUCUAUUGCCUUACUCAGUAUUUUUGAAACUUGGACUUGGAGAAUUACACCCAACUCCAGUGGUGUUACAACUUGCAGAUCGGUCCACGAAAAUACCCCGUGGUAUUGUGGAGGACGUGCUUAUCCAGGUAGACAAGUUUUAUUUUCCUGUUGAUUUCAUUGUAAUUGACACUCAAGCAAUACAGGAUUCGAGGAAGCACAUCCCUAUUAUUCUAGGCCGACCUUUCUUGGCAACUGCGGAUGCUCACAUUCAAUGCAGGACUGGAAAUAUGCAGUUGUCCUUCGGCAACAUGACUAUGGAGCUAAACAUUUUCAACAUUGCCAAACAACCUCACAGUGCAGAUGAUGGAAUUGUUGAUAUGGAUUUAAUAGAAGCAUUAGUUGAUAAUACUUUUGUUUCAAACCUUAAUGAUGAUCCUUUACAAACAUGUUUAACUCACUUUGAUUUGGAUUUUGAUAUUGACAGAUCGGUCGAAGAGGUCAACGCCCUACUUGACUCAGCACCAUCCAUGGACACUAAUAAAUGGAAGUCAAGAGUUGAACAACUAGCACCAUCAGAAAAGAAACUCAUCCCAUCAUCAGAAUCACCACCGAAACUCGAGCUCAAACCAUUGCCCAACACAUUGGAAUAUGCGUUUUUGGGAGAAGAAAGUACUCUACCGGUAAUCAUCUCAUCAUCCCUCGACGAUGAACAAAAAAGUAAGUUAUUGAAUGUUUUAAAAGAGCACAAAGGAGCAUUAGGAUGGACCAUAGCGGACAUCAAAGGUAUAAACCCAGUAGACUGCAUGCAUUACAUCCACCUCGAUGAAAAUGCUAAAUCUACCAGGGAAAUGUAACGUCGGUUAAAUCCUAAUAUGAAAGAAGUUGUUAUAACUGAAGUCCUAUAAGCUAUUAGAUGCAGGUAUCAUUUACCCAAUUUCUGAUAGUUCAUGGGUCAGUCCUGUACAAGUUGUCCCCAAAAAGUCAGGAGUCACAGUAGUUACUAAUGCUGAUAAUGAAUUGAUACCAACUAGAGUGACUACAGGAUGGCGUGUAUGCAUUGAUUAUAGAAAGUUGAAUUCUGUCACACGUAAAGACCAUUUUCUUUUACCAUUUAUUGAUCAAAUGCUUGAUAGAUUAGCAGGCCACAAAUUUUAUUGCUUUCUAGAUGGCUACUCAGGAUACAAUCAGAUCCCCAUAGCACCAAAAGAUCAUGAGAAAACCACUUUCACUUGCCCUUUUGGCACAUUUGCAUAUAGGAGAAUGCCAUUUGGAUUAUGUAAUGCACCUACUACAUUUCAACGAUGCAUGUUAAGCAUUUUUUCUGAUAUGGUUGAACGAUUCCUUGAAGUCUUUAUGGAUGACUUUUCUGUUUUUGGUGACUCGUUUGAUCAAUGUUUACAUCAUCUAACACUAGUUCUGCAGAGGUGUAUCGAGAAGAACUUGGUCUUAAAUUGGGAGAAGUGUCAUUUUAUGGUAAAACAAGGUAUUGUUCUCGGUCACAUCAUUUCGAGCAAAGGUAUUGAGGUUGACAAAGCCAAGGUGGAUCUCAUUUCUAAUCUUCCUCCACCCAAAACAGUCAGAGAAGUAAGAUAUUUCCUUGGGCAUGCUGGUUUCUAUAGACGUUUCAUUAAAGAUUUUAGCAAAGUUUCUAAACCCUUAUGCAAUUUACUUGCUAAGGAUGUACUUUUUAUCUUUGAUGAUUCAUGUCUUAUGGCAUUUGAAAAACUAAAGCAGUUGUUGACAUCAUCACCCAUCAUUCAGCCCCCAAACUGGAGCUUACCAUUUGAGCUCAUGUGUGAUGCAUCUGAUUAUGCAGUAGGAGUAGUAUUAGGACAAAGAGUUGAUCGAAUUCCCCAUGUUAUUUACUAUGCUAGUAUGACAUUGAAUGAUGCACAGUUAAACUAUUCAACUACUGAAAAAGAAAUGCUAGCAGUAGUAUUUGCAUUAGAGAAAUUUCGAUCUUAUCUCAUUGGUUGUAAAAUAAUUAUAUUCACAGAUCAUGCUGCUCUUAAAUAUUUUCUCACAAAGAAAGAUGCAAAAGCUAGACUAAUUCGUUGGGUGUUACUUUUGCAGGAGUUCGACUUGGAAUUUAAAGAUAAGAAAAGCACAGAGAAUGUUGUGGCUGACCAUCUCUCUCGUCUACAUUUUGACACAAUUAUGGAAACAUUACCAUUGAAUGAGUCAUUCCUAGAUGAACAAUUGAUGAGUGUGGAAGUAUUACCAUGGUAUGCUGACAUCGUGAAUUAUCUUGUUACAGGUCAACUUCCAGAGCAUUGGACCAAGCAAGACAAGGCUAAAUUCUUUGCAGAAGUAAAGAAUUUCUUUUGGGAUGACCCGUAUUUGUUCAAGUAUUGUGCAGAUCAAAUUGUUAGACGAUGUGUCCCAGAAAAUGAAAUUCAGAAUAUUCUUUCAUUUUGCCAUGAACAAGCUUGUGGAGGCCAUUUCAGUGCUAAGAAAACAGCUACUAAAGUUUUACAAUGUGGUUUCUUUUGGCCAACUAUAUUUCGAGACGCUUAUACUUUUUGUUCUUCAUGUGAUAGGUGUCAACGAAUGAGGAGCAUUACGAGAAGGAACAUGAUGCCACUAAAUCCAAUUUUAGUGGUUGAGAUUUUUUAUGUAUGGGGUAUCGACUUCAUGUGACACUUUCCCCCAUCUUUUGGCCAUCAAUACAUAUUGGUUGCUGUUGACUACAUAUCGAAAUGGGUAGAAGCAAUUUCAUGCAGAACCAAUGAUCACAAGGUAGUGAUAGGAUUUUUGAAAAGCAACAUUGUUUCACGCUUUGGAUUCCCUCAAGCAAUAAUCAGUGAUGGUGGUGCCCACUUUUGUAACAAAGCAUUCAAGGCUCUUUUGACAAAGUAUUCAAUCACACACAAAGUGGCGACCCCGUAUCAUCCGCAAACCAGUGGCCAAGUUGAGAUCUCCAAUCGAGAAAUAAAGUACAUAUUAGAAAAAACAGUGAGGCCAGACAGAAAAGAUUGGUCAUUAAGACUUGAUGAUGCAUUAUGGGCAUAUGGAACGGCUUUCAAGACCCCGGUUGGGAUGUCACCCUACAGGCUAGUGUAUGGAAAAGCUUGCCACCUACCUGUGGAACUCAAGCAUCGUGCGUAUUGGGCCAUCAAGAAAUUCAACUUUGACAUGCAGCAAGCCAGCUCAGAAAGAAGAUUACAACUGGCAGAACUUGAAGAAAUUCGCAAUGACGCAUACGAAAAUGCCAAGAUUUACAAGCAACGGAUGAAAGUCUUUCAUGACAAGCAAAUUAUGAGAAAAUCGUUCACCCCAGGUCAGAAAGUGCUUUUAUUCAAUUCUCGUUUGCACCUAUUCCCAGGUAAGUUACGCUCUUGAUGGUCUGGUCCCUUUAUUGUUCAUACUGUUUUUCCACAUGAGGCAAUUGAAAUUAAGGACCCAAAGAACAGUGUCACUUUUAAAGUUAAUAGUCAAAGAUUAAAGCCAUAUCUAGAGUACCAACCACAUGGAGAAGACACCGAAAUAAAUUUGAGUGACCCACCAGAUUUGAAUUGAUUUUUUUUUCUCGGUGAUUUGAUUUUUUUUUUCUUUAUAUUAUUCUUUUGCUAAUUGAAAUUAUUUUUGCAUAAGUGUGUUUGUUUAACUAUUAAGUUUUCUCUUAUCAUUUUCAAUCAUGAGUACCUUACUUAGACCGUUCCUCCUGAACAUUCUUAAACCACUUCAACGUGUCAAAACUCAUCUCAAAAGGCAGAUUCAAUUUUGUAAAACACAUAGCAUUUGGGCUCUACAGCCACCAGAGUUAGUAGCCUAUGUUGAGGGUUUAGAAAGCCAACUCAGAGACAUUGAGAGAAGUGUUUAUGACAUCCAGUUGGAGCUUGAGGUAAAUUCAAUAAGAGGACGAUUUUAAUUUUCUUUGUGUGUUUUAAUUUGUUUUUCUGUUUGUGUGCUUUAGUUUGUUACCCUGGUGAAGUGGCGGAUAAUGGUACUCCGUGACAAUCAAGUCGGUUACUUCAGUUUCCUAUAAUAACUGACAUUCUGAGGCGAAAGUAUGGAUAGAAAUGAGAUUUUAGUGAAGCUUCACAAGCAAUUCCCUUCACUUCCUCAGAAUGCCCUCCUUACGAUCUAUAAAGCUCAGUCCGAACGCAUGCGAUUACUCAUGAGGAAUAAUAUACCUGCUGACAUCCGUUGGUUAAUCGAGGCUAAAGUAUGAUCGGCAGGUGAGUUAGCUCCAAAAUUUAUUGCAUAGAUGCCUGGUUGUGGUAAAGAAAAUUAUGCAAGAAAAUGACGAGCUCAAAGAAUUUUUGUUGCUUGUCAUAAAUGUGUCAGAAUGAGUUGCGAUAAAAAACCAUGUUCUUUAGGAAUGGUGUCUGAUAACAAGGAAGAUAAGAUUCAAUUCAUUAGGGAUGGCUUGAAUAAGGAGUCAUUGGAUGAUAUCCUUCUAUCUCUUGAAACGCAUCCCAGUGGAUAUGUGCAAGGAGCGAUUCUCCAGUUAUGGUCAUUAUUCCAGAAAGAGCAUGCACGAUAUAGUCUUGGGAAUCUGACUAUAAACGACCCUGUUUGCCAGUAUAUAAGAAAACUGGAUGGGAAGCCUAUCCUCGACCCAUAGAGGGCGUUCAAGCCGUUUCUGGACGUAAAACCAGAGGAAGAAGUGAGCCACAGUCGCAACUACCUGUAAAUAUCCUUUUACUUCACUGUUAUUUUAUUGUUUGCAUUAUUGUCUUUAAUAAUUUUAUUACUGUUUGCUUUUUCCUUUUUACUGUUUCCUUUUUGACUUACGAGCCAUGUGCUUUACGCGUUAUUUGACACUGACAUGCCACAUUAUACACAGCUAUGACCCACUGUCACUAAGAUUCUUAAAUAUGAUUUUUUGUCAAGCACUCAAAUUAUUUUUGAGAAGUAUCGCAAUGGCAGCUACUCCAAACAGACAAUUCAAGAACAUUUGUCUGCUUUCUGGAUUUAACUAUGGCAAACAUAAAUAGUUUGUGGAGGCAGCCAUAGAUCUUGGUCGAAGCAUAGCAGCGAGAAAAUUACACUUGGUGUAUGGAGGAGGUAACUGAGGGUUAUCAAAAAUGGUCUCAGAAGCAGCUUUUAUCAGAGGAAGUCAAGUGUUAGGCAUCAUCCCAAGAGUCUUAAAACCAUUGGGCAGUUCGUCUGACUCAUCAACUGGAGAAGAGUUAGUCGUCUCAGGUAUGCAAGAAAGAAUAACUGAAAUGCUUAAUCAUGCUGAUGCUUUUAUUUUCCUUCCAGGAGAUCUUGCAACACUAGAGGCACUUAUCACACUAGCAUCUUGGGCCCAUCUGCACAUCCACCAGAAACCCAUUGGUUUGUUAAAUGUCAAUAACUUUUAUGAUGGCUUUAUCGCAUUUCUUAACCAUGCAAUAAAAAACUAUUUCAUUCCUUCUAAUGUGAAAAAACUUUUUAUUUGUGCUCACACUGCUAAUGAGCUACUUGAUCUGUUACAAGCUUAUAAACCGGAGCCAGACCCCUGGACCUUUGUGUUGGAGCGCCCAAAUAAUGAUGGUAACAGUAGCCGCAGUAAGAAGUACAAAUUAGAUUUAACUCUCCGCUUGUAAAUAUUUUCUUCUAUGUUGCACCACCCAGGUGAUGUCUUCUAAACUCUACUUCUUUCCUUUCAAACAUUGAGGAUAAUGUUUCGUUCUGGUUGGGGGGAGGGAAUAGUCGACAAUUGUGGAAUUUUGGUGAAGUUUUUACUAAUUUUUUGUUGUAGAAACUAACUGUUGCUAACUUUUUGUGUUGAAGAUGGCUGAAUAUAGAGUGUAGUGCCUCAAGAAACGCAUCUUCUAAGUUAAAAAAAAAAACCAUUUUCUUUUUCUAUCAUUUUAAGUGUAACUUUUCUAAUUAGUUUUUCUGCAUCAUUUUCACAUUUCUGCAUGCAUAUUUUCCUUUCAUGUUUAGAAUAGGUUGAGGGGUAGAAUGUUCUUUAAAAAAAAAAUUUCUGUGAUAUGUUUUAACAUUGGAUGACAUGAUUAAUUUCAAAUUUUAGUAUUUGUUUUAUCUUUGGUCUUAAGUGAUGUUACACUAUGUUUGCUAUUCUACAUGUUGAUGUCGGAGACAAAUAUGAGUUGCUUGAAGGAAUGAACAUGUCAUAAAUAAGUGCCAAGUGAGUUGUUGAGCCUAUCAUUUUCUUGGAGAGUAACCCUUUUGCCCAUUCUCUAUACAGCUUAGCAGUUUAUUAUUUUAUACACGAUCUCUAGAUUUCUUUUGAGUUAACCCUUAAAAAAAUGGUAAAAUUAAAAAAAAAGAAAAAAAUGUGUGUUGCUACAUUGGGAGGCCUGUCUAACUAGUAGAUAUGGAUGAUUAUUUAGAGCCCUAAAAGACGAUGGAAAGGCCAUCUUUGAUCCGUUUGAGCCUUUCUAGCCAUCCCUUUUAUUAAAUAUCCAUAGUUAACCCUUUUGAGCCUUUAAAAAAAAAAAAUAUUUUCUUUAUCAACUUAUCAUCUUGACCCACUCCGAUUUUGAGUAUUACCUGAUAUCUUAUAAGUUCCAUCACCUAUUUAUGUUUGAGAAAAUGUAAAUAAUUAUGUUGUUCAGUGAAGUUAUGCCAAAAAAAAAUAAAAAACAAAAGUUGUUGUUUCAAAAGAAUAAAAAUAACAAUAAUAGGUGAAAUCCACCUUGCAACUUUAAAAAAAAAAAAAUUUCUCUGCAUUUUUCUCAAACAUACACUUUGUUUUCCUUAUUUCCCUUCUUUAUUAGCCAUAUCCCUAGCCUACGUUACGUCCUAAUAAAAGUCAUUCUUGAUUUUAGGGAACUAUAGUUUGAAGUAGAAGCUAGUUAUAUGGGCUAAAAAGAUGUAGUACUCAACGGCUAAUAAAUAAAAUUUUCAAGGAACAAAUCGGGCGUACCAUGCAGGUUUACAUAGACGACAUGAUCACCAAAUAAGUGCUUGCAGGAGAACACUUGAGGCACCUCAGAGAUACUUUUACAGUUUUAAGAAAACACCAAAUGCAGCUCAACCUUAAAAAUGUGCAUUCGAGGUUACCUCGGGAAAAUUUCUUGGGUUCAUGGUACAACAACGGGGGAUUGAGGCCAACCCCAAUAAAAUUCGUGCGGUUCUUGAAAUGAAGUCGCCACACACCAUCAAGAAGGUUCAAAGCUUAGCAGGCCGGGUAGCUGCCCUGAACCGCUUUAUCUCCAAGGCCACCGACCGGUGUAAGCCUUUUUUCAAAGCUUUGAAGGCCGGCAAGAAGCUCCAAUGGACACUCAAUUGCGAAGAAGCUUUCCGAGAACUGAAGGGGUACCUCGUGAAUGCUCCACCACUUACCAAACCUGAACCGAAGGAGGUGCUUUUGUUGUAUCUCGCCGUAUCCGAGCAUGCCACCAGCUUUGUGUUACUCCGAAAAGAUGAUAAUGGGGUACAACGGCCUAUUUACUACACUAGUAAGGCAUGGUCGAAGCCGAAAAGAGGUACCUCACCUCUAAGAAGAUCGUUUUGGCACUGGUUAUCUCCGCAAGGAAGCUCAGACCAUUUUUUCAAGCUCACAUCAUUGCAAUCGUCACCAAUCUUCCCCUCCGGCAAAUCCUCCAAAAGUUAGACGUGUCCGGAAGGCUUCUCCGAUGGUCCUUCGAAUUAAACGAGUUCGACAUCAUCUUCAAGCCUCGUUCGGUAAUUAAAACUCAAGUCAUCGCUGAUUUCAUUGCGGAAUUCGCCAAUGACUCAUGUGGUGAAAGUGAUCUGAGGUACCUGUCAGAUACCCCAUCCACCGAUGAAGGGGGCAUGUCUGGGAAAUAUAUAUAGAUGGCUCAUCUAACUCACACGAAAGUGGUGCGGGAGUUAUUAUAAUCGACCUAAACAAGGUGAAAAUAUGCUAUGCUUUGCAAUUUGGAUUCAAGGCUUCAAACAACGAAGCCGAACAUGAGGCCAUCAUAGCGGGGUUGAGGAUGUCAAAAGCUUUAGGAGCAAAAUAGGUACACGUUAAGAGCGACUCCCAGUUGGUGAUAAGCCAGAUUACCGCACAAUAUCAAGCGAAAGAGGAAAACAUGAAGGGGUACCUCCGAAAAACCAGAGAGUUGAUGUCCUAAUUUUGUGAGGUUAAGGUGGAAAGGAUAUCCCGACUGGAGAACAUCGAAGCCGACACUCUGGCAAAAAUGGCGUCCCUUAGUGUAGCUCAAUCAACUGGCCCCAUCACGACAGAACACAUACCCGCCCUCAGUAUUGAUCUCCUAGAGCCAUUGGAAGUAGGAUCACUGUCCACCGGGGUCCUUUGGAUGGCGCCUAUCAUAAGGUACCUCAAGGACGGAGAACUCCCCUCAGAUAAAAGUGAAGCAAGAAGACUAAAGUAUAAAACCACGCUGUAUUGCCUGAUCCAGGAUACCUUAUACAAAAGAGGGUUCACUCUUCUUUACCUUAAAUGCUUGGGAAGUGACGAGGUCGAGUAUGUCAUGAAGGAGAUACAUGAGGGGAUUUGUGGCAAUUAUUAUGGAGCACAAUCACUGGCGCAAAAAGCUCUCCGUCAGGGGUACUAUUGGCCUACCAUACGGGAAGAUACUAAUAAUAUGGUACAAAGCUUUGACAAAUGCCAAAGGUUUGCUAGGGUAUCCCACUUACCCCCAGAGAAGCUAACAAUUAUAUCUUCCCCUUGGCCCUUCACUAUAUGGGGAGUGGACCUCAUUGGCCCGUUACCUACCGAGAAAGGACAAGCAAAACAUGCAAUCGUGGCGGUAGAUUAUUUCACAAAGUGGGCGGAAGUGGAGCCACUAACAAGCAUAACAGAACGAAAAAACAACGGAAUUCAUUUGGAAGAACCUCAUUUGUAGAUUUGGGAUCCCUUGUGCAAUUGUUAGUGACAACGACAAGUAAUUCGAUAAUGAAAAAUUUUAAAGUUUUUGUUCGGAGCUUGGGAUAGCCAACCGGUUUGCUACACCUGCCCACCCCCAAACUAAUGGGCAAGUCGAAAUCGUUAACAAGAUUGUCAAAGGUAUCUUGAAGAAGAAGCUAGAAGAAUGAAAGAGAGCAUGGGUAGACGAGCUACCUAAGGUUCUGUGGGCCUACCAGACUACUCAAAACACCUCCACCCGGGAGACCCCGUUUUCCCUCGCAUUCAGUAUUGAUGCAGUGAUUCCAGCGGAAAUCGGGGUACCCUCUCACAGGGUUGAAUACUUUGAUGAGGUUGAGAACACCUCAUUGAUUGCUUCAAAUCUUGAUUUGGUGGCUGAGAAAAGGGUGAGAGCAUAAUUGAGGACAAUCAUAUACCAGCAUCGCAUUUCGGGUCUAUAUGAAAAAAUGAUACGCCUUCGAUCCUUCAAGAAAUGAGACUUAAUCUUAAAAAGGGUAACUCAGAGCACUAGGGUACCAUGUGAAGGCACUUUCGGGGCAAAUUGGAAAUGACCUUACCGCAUCGACAAACCCGUUGGGUCAGGUGCAUACAGGCUACUCCACAUGGAUGGGACAAUCGUGAGGCACCACUGGAAUACUGUAAUGCUACGGAAAUAUUAUUAAAGGACAGUGUCUUAACCUUUAGUCUUUUGCUAUUAUUUGUUUUCUUUAAUGUUUUUGUGUGGUAGGCCAAAUGGGGUACCCCAAAUACCCUAUGUUGGUUAGUUGCAACUUUAGAAUUUCUUUAAUUCCCAACUGAAAAGGAUAGGAGGUCUUACGGUCUCCCGUUCUCCUUAAGGUAACAAAGUUAAGUCAUGUAUUGAUCAAUUUUUUCAUUAUCUAUAAAUGCAUUUUCUUUCUCGACAAAUAUGAUGUGUGUUCUUAAUUUUUUUGCGACUUCGAUCAUGGAAUGCGAAUUAUAUUCAUUUAUCGCCAUUAAUAUACCCUCACAUCUGGUUAUAUGCAAUUAUCGCCAUACUCCUGUCAAUUAUGAUUAACCUAUUACAGGACUAGUCAGGGUACCUGGCAUGCAUAGAUCACGACGAUCUAUGCAAAGCCAAGAUUGGCAACGGAGUGAAUAGCCCAGGGGUAGCCUUUCUGCGGAAGCAUGACAAAACUACUUAAACAAAGAGAAUGAGGGUCAAAGAGGACUUGAGGGUGAAGUAAAGCCGGCAUACUCUAGCGCCACGAGGUUCUGCUUAUGUAUGAGUACACCCACACCUUUGUCCUCUUACUUGAGCAAAAUAGGGGGUAGGCCAUUCAAAAAUUCGGAGAAAACUUCGAAAGAGCAAAAAUAUUAAUUGGUUGGACCAAUUGUGUGCUCUCAUUUUCAAUCCGGAUGUCGCGAUGGUAUUUGAUUACCUAUUUGUGGAAGAUUCGCCAUAAUUUUAAAAAAAGACAUGCACCAAGGGCGUCAAUCUACAUAAACCAGCAGACGCCGGAUGUCGAAUAUUUAUUAAGUACCUGGAGUACCCCAUUUCAAAAAAAAAUUCAUUGCAUAUAAUGGGGGGUACCCUAGAGAUUUGCAAGAUAACAGUUUGGACCAGCAUUCAUUUGCAGAAUAACAAGGAUACAAAAUACAAGUUCAAAAUAUGGAGGGCUCGGUAGUAUGGUAUCAUAACAAAAGAGAGAUCUUAACGAUGCAAGAUAUCCCAAGAAAUCAAAAAAGAAAUAAACAAGUUCCAAAUAGCAAAAUGUGAAUAGAUCCAUAAAAACAAGAGCACUAUAAAAUGGCUACACCGAGGGUGGAACACCGUCCCCACCAUCCAUCUCCAGAGGGCGAUCAGCAGAGGACUCUGAGGUACUCGGAAAAUGAGCAGCCGAAGCAGGGGCAUCUGAGGCAGGCAACGGCUGAAGCACGCGAGGUACCCUAGGCGACCCAGGAGGGGUACCCGACCGUGCAUGGGAAGACUUAUUCCUAUCCUCAAUCGUCUUCAGAAUCGUGACCUUGUUGACAAAUUUCUGCACACUGGGUACCUCCAGUUCCGGAUCCACGCUCCACACCUCCAUCAUAAUAAGGGAUAACGCCUCCUUCGCCAUCUUCUUCUGUCAGGACAAUAGAUCCUCAUUUGUGGCCCUCAGCUCAUCGCAAUCCCUCUCCAUUUGAGUUUUCUCUCCAGAUAGGUCAGUAAUGCGUUCUUGCAAAAUUUUGACUUCUCGAGUAAGCUUGUCCUCGCGAGACUGUCGACUUUGGAGCUCACCCCUUAAUUUGUCAACCUCUGAUUGGGUGGCAACAAGAGAGUCGAGAUCUAGAAGGCAGUGGCUUAGGAGAAAGGAUGCCUGCAGGUCAUUAAAGACAUGUUAUAUAUAUGUGUAUGGCAAUAGGAACAAAUAAGUAAAGAAUGGAGGGUACACCCGAGGUACCCCAAUAAAGGCUACCUAUUGGGUAGCCCUGAGUGCCUGACCAUAGCACUCACUCAAACUCAUCUUGUCCGUCUCUUUAACGACCUCGAAAGUAACAUUUUCAGCAGAAUAGUAGAACCAGCGAGCCAAGUGUGAAACUUUCUUGUUGGAGGUUGGGUCUAGGUCACCUUCGCACAAUUCGUCGGGGAAAGCAGAAACCAACCCGAAUUUUCUCUUUUUAGAACGAGGGGUACCCUUCAACCUGCUAUGGGAGGUACCAUGGGAUUUCCCCUUCAGUCCGAGAGCUCGAGGUGGCUGGGUAUUUUUUUGAGGUAACGCCGAAUCCUGAGAUCCAGAAGCUCUACCCACUACUACUUGGAAGAAAGCAUCAAAAGCAUCACUCGCUGACUCUAUAACUGCACCCAAUGCAUAAAAGUGAUGUUAGUCGGACAGGCGCUAAGUACUACAAACGCAAAAAUGGCAAACAAAAAACAAGAAAACCAAAUAAAGAACGCGGAGAUAACGAGGUACCCCAGUCCUGUAGAUAAUAACGGGGUACCCCCAACAUCCAAAUCAUACAUGAGUCACCACCGAAAGCAGGUGGAAAACUUCGAUCAAUCAACCUCGCUCUCCUUAACCUGCUCUCUUCUAACACAUCACUACCCCUCUGUGCACCUCGAAACCUUUCCACAAACUUCUUCACCUCUUUUCCCACCUCGUGAACUGGGCAUAAUCCUUUAGCCCACGUCACACCUGCAAAAUCACGGAGAACCCAAGGUUAGUGAGACAUUUAUGCGAAAUAUUACAAUAAAGAACAAUAAACAAGGGAGAUACUUAUAGUCUACACUGAAGGAAUUUAGAACCUCCAAAGUGUUGCGCUUGUCGCCUAGAGUCUCUAUCCCCCACUUACCUUCAGCGACAAACCACUUCUUUUUGUAACCCUUCCUCAAGGCAGGGUCUCCUUUAACAAUAUUGACAUGAUCACCCCAAGCAGAGAAGUAAGCAAUAGCGAAACCCUUGGGCUUUUUGAAUUGGUAAAGGCCCCUCAACUCCCGAAUAAAAAUAUCACGCCUCAAUACCUCCAACCAUAACACCUGCAAGCCCACAAGUAUCAUCCACCCUGGAAGGGACAGCUGCCUAGGAACUACCCCCAAAUAGCUAAACAUCCUCAUAUAGCAGGGUGGGAGGGGCAUGCAAAGUCCAAAAUCAAAGAGGUUAAUGUGAAGAGCAAUCCCAUCAGACUUCGGACACUUGGGUCGUUCAUCCACAUGGGGUACCCUAAGCUGGACAGAGGGAUGAAUAUUGUAUUUGCCUCUAAUUUAUUCUAAGUCCCCCAAAGUAGCCCUCCUAGCGCCUAGUGAAUGAAUGUUACCAGAUUUUUAAAGUGUGCCAGAGGGAGACUUGGGAGGCCGGUCUGAGGAAUGAGCUGGAACUUGGGCUUGGAUGACUUACCCUUUCUUCGAGGAUGGUGGGUUGGUCGUUUACUGGAAAAGCGUGGACUGACACGAGAAGCACUCCUAGGGUGAGGGAGCUCAAAAUGUGAGUUACAACUCCUAGAGGCACUAGGGAGAGACCUAUCACCCUCACUAAUGGAAAUGUGGGAAGGAGAUCCUGCAGGAGGGCUGUCAACACUACUAACCUCAACUGCACGACACUUCCUCACUGGUCCUACUUUUUUCUUACCCAUUUACUUCUUGCCACACACCACCAGGCCACAAGUCCCCCAACAACAUAUCCACCAUGCCACAAGUCCCCAACAAUAUAUCCACCAUGCCACAAGUCCCCAACAACAUAUCCACCAAGCCACAAGCCCCCAACAACAUAACCAGCAGGCUACAGGUCCCCAACAACAUAUCCACACCAUACACCACCCACCACACAUCAACCAUCAAAUACAAACACCAACCACAAAAAAAAAUAGAAAUAAAAAAUAAAUUUUUCUCAGAGUAUGCAAAAUAGCGCCACUGUAAAUGCGCCAAAAGAGGAAGAACAAGGAAGGAUACCUGUAAUUCACCAACUUGACAAAUCAGGACUUGUGGUCGUGGGGUGACAAAGCUGCAGGUAACCAAAAACAGUAGGUAAGAAUAUGCAAGUAUAAAAAUAAAAAAUAAGCUUAAAUAUAUGUAGUUAUUUAUUAAAAAAAAGGAUGAUAAAAUGAAAAACGAAGAAUAUAGCAGGGGAAAAGCAUUACGGUGACCAGAAUGCCGCUGGCCACUAUCCGGAUUUGACGUCGGUAACCGCAAUUGUAGCCAUCGAGAACCACCGUGGGAAUGAAUAACGAAGAAAUAAAAAAAAAGAACGAAGAAGACAACGCGGGAGGGGGAAGCUGCAGCCACCGAACCAACGCCGGCUGCCGCGGCUACAACCACCGAACCGACGCCAGUUGCAACCGCCGAGAACCAACGCCGGAGAUUGCGAAGAAGAACGCCGGCCAAAAAAAAAAGAGUAAAGAAGAUGUUUGUACCUGUGAGCAAUAUUGAUGCAGUCAUGAGAAAAGACGAAUGUUUGAAGAAAGAAGCCACUGGAGACAAUCGGUUUUAUGGGAGAUUGUUUUGGGAUUUUCAAAAUAAAUGAUAAGAGAUUGAUAUUUACGUCAGGGGUUUUUAAUUAAACCUGACGGAGCACACGGAACAAAAAGAAAGUCAGGGAUGUUUGCGUGAGAUUGAUAUUUUUAAAAUUUAAAUUGCAUGUCAGACGGCUGCCACUUCCCAAGAAAAAUGAGAGAGAGACAUGAAGACAACUGUUUAUUCUCAUCGUAAAAAAAAAAGGGUGGGAAAAGGAAAAAACAAAGAGAUGAUUUUUUUAGCUCGACAAUACACAAAGUUUAAUCAAUGGAAGAAACUGAGCAAGGUACCCCCGAUCCAGCCAUUCACCAAGCCGAACCCCGCAUCGCCACGUGUCACUCAUACAUCAUAUAAUAAGUUUCUUUUGCUUCUAAUACUUCUCUCCAAAAGAAACUAGGGGGAUGUUGUUUGGGAGAAAAAUAGGAGAGGUAGUAAAGCGACACGUGUCGACGAACAGAAUAACUCCAGCACAAUCUAAGGUACCCGGCAUGAUUUCAGGUACCUCGCAUAAUUAGAGGUACCCCACACAGAUUGAGGUACCCCGCACAAAUAAAGGUACCCGACGUGAUAUGAGAUACCCCGCACAAUUAGAGGUACCCCACAUACAUUGAGGUACCCCAUGUAACUGGAGGUACCGACAGAUUGGAUGCAUGAGAACCCUCUGAAAAAGUCCGCCAUGAGAAACGUCUCCACCUUUUAAAAGAUAUUAUUCGAUUUUGUCAGAAUUAUCAAUAAAAAACGUCGUGCUAAAGGGGGGACAGCCACCUGCCACCUCUGCCAAAAGUGAAGGACAUUGUCCUAAGGACAAUGGUCCUCAACUGCUACCUAACAGCUACUGCAGAGGUACCCUGGACUACUCUUCAGUGCGCGCCACGUCUCCAAAGGAUGAGAUACGCCGCGAACAUGCACAAAACGGCCCAAAAUUCAUAAAAAGGUAAAAAGACAUUAGCAAAAAAUGGUACGCCAUGUGGCAAUUGAGGCACUCCAUAUAUAAAGGUACCUAGGUUUCAUUCUCCAUCAUACUCUAAUUCACUAACAACACUUACACUCCACAAAAUAGGUUUUUUUCAACCUUUAAACUUAAUUUACAGAGGGCUGUCAAGCUCUCUUGGCCAUAAAAAGCUUGAGUUUGCUAACUUGAGCGUCAGAGUGUGAACGCCGGGGUACCCCGGCUUCACUUCUAACCUCUAUUUCACUGUUUUGCAAGCGUGAAGCUCAUUUGGAAGGACUUUUUUCUUGGUUCAGACCUUUCUCCAUUGUUGCCACUCCCUCUUCCCUUCUCACCUCCCCAAAUUUCGAAUACACCGCACACAACAAACCAGUGAGGUAACCCGUCUUCCCCAAAAAUACAAAUUCAUUGUUCUAGAUAGGUUUGGCUUUUCCUACCCUAAAAUCUAUCGAAAACAGCAGGCAUGGUGGUUUGAUGGGAAUUGAGAGCAUAUCGAGCAUUUUCAUUAAAGCUCUUGUAGAUUUUAUAACUAAAUCUGCAUACAGUAUUUCAACAUCUACAUUUUUUUCUUAUAUCUUGAGACCAAAAGGACAUCACCAAUGUCGACAUUAUGGAAAAACAUUAAAAACAAAAAGACAAACAAAAAACCUAUAUACAUGAACUCAUCCAACUCACCAUUAAUGUUCGAAUCAAUUUACACUAGCAGUUUUACAGCAUGAGUCAUAUAAUCACCCAAUGAAAGGCUCAUCCAGCACUUUCUUCCUGAAUCACAACUUUACUAAUAGCUUUGUUUAGUGCAUUUCUUCUUUUGGCUUGAAUCUGAUGAAUGUGUUUGGAGUGUAUAGCACCCUGAUCAGAGGCAACCCAGCAGGAUUCCCGUGCUCAUAGGCGAGGAGCUACAGGAUGUAUCCCAGCAGGAUUCACGUGCUCAUAGGUGAGGAGCUACGUGAUGUACUCCAGUAGGAUUCACGUGCUCAUAGGUGAGGAGCAAUCUUGUACAUCUGAUAGACGAAGUACGAGAGGGUUCAGAAAAGAAUCCAAGUGCUAAAGGACCGAGUCAAUGGCAGUUAUCGACACGUACUCUCGUUUCACAUCGAAAGACCCGACGUAGUGAUGAACGUGGGGGAGUGGGAACUGAGCGCCCAAGUAAUAAGCUAUAAAAGGGACUUUCGGGUUAGACAUUGGGGGGGAUUCUUUUUCCUUUCACUCGGCGAGAUUAAAUCCAUAGGAUCAUUUUCCCUCUCUUACCACUGAGAAAUUUCUCUUUCUCUCAUGACUUCUUUAUCUUUAAAAUUGAUUAUUUUCAAUUCUUUUCCUUUAAAUUUACUUAAAAGCUUUUUGUUUAAAACAAUCAUAAUUAAGCCACAUGAAUUGUGGUAUGAGUUUUUCCAAAUAGACCCAAAUUGCUGACUUGAGCGUCAGAGGGUUCUCGUCGGAAAAACUUCCGGCAUUUGCUGACUGUUGGCUGUGCUCACAGGCUCACAGGUUAUCUGCUCAUGGAUCGUCUGCUCAUAGGUUAUCUGCUCAUGGAUCGUCCGCUCAUGGAUUGUCUGCUCGUGGGUGGUCUGCUCAUGGAUUGUCUGCUCAUGGAUCGUUUGCUCAUGGAUUGUCUGCUCAUGGGUGGUCUGCUCAUGGAUUGUCUGCUCAUAGAUUGUCUGCUCAUGGCUCGUUUGCUCAUGGAUUUUCUGCUCAUGGAUUGUCUGCUCAUAGAUUGUCUGCUCGUGGGUUGUCUGCUCAUGGAUCAUUUGCUCAUAGAAAAUAUGCUCACUGUGCUAACUACUCAGCGGCUUCCCACCAAACAAAUUUAAUGCUGAUGCAGGAAUUUGAGAUCUGACCAACUCAUCCGAAUUUCGUCAUCAACAGAAUGUACUCUGCCACUAUCACAUGGAACUUGGGAGCGAGCUUACUUGAAGAGGAAACAUUCAGCCCUGCUUUCUUCAAGGCCCUAUUAACAUGUUUCUGAGCCUUUUGGAAGUGGACCGAGCAGAGAGCAGGCGAAGUGGAUUUAAUUAUCGGCUUUCCACAUGUUAUGGGACUUGCACAGCACUAUAUGCGUACAAACAAGAAGAAAAAUUAUCAAUUUCAAGUCAUUUCUAAUCGUUUGGCAUUUUUUAUUAAACUUAUGGAUGCAUGUCACUUAUUUCAAAAUUUUGUGUACUCAGUUUGUAGUUUGGUCAAAUAUUAAGGGAUCUGAAUUCUGAGAUCAGCCAGCAAAAGUUACCUAUUUUAUCUAAUUAUAUGUUUUUAUCAUUGCAUUUGAUCAAUGACAAAUGUUGAGGAUUUAGUAGAAAAUAUUUUCUUCAACUUUUAUAAGGAAAUUGCUAAUAAGAAGAAGCGUAAACUGAAAUGAUAUAAAGCAAUGAAAAUUUUGAUAGAGCCAGCAAAUUGUUUAUGUUUUAACCAUUCAUGGCCUCUAUUUACACUUUCAAUUUCGACUGUUGUAUCAUGGUUCGGCAUACAGCAUAUUAUACUUAUGUUUUAAUUGGGUAAAUUGGCUGUUUCGUAUAGGUGUUAUUAAAAAAAAACAUUUAAUCUGUUUAAAUCCAAUUAAAUGAGGUUCAAAUACAAUAUCUACCAGGACAAGGCCGUUUUGAAUUCUUAAUUACCUUCAUUUCUCGUCUAUAAUGAGCCCUCUUUGAGAUAAAACACAUACAAUCAAGCAAUCUGGCAGGCAUCAAGAUUAUUCAAUCGUUCAAGAUGAAUGCUCGUUUGCUUGUUAGCAGUAGUAGUACUGGGCAUCCUCUCCUCAUCGGUGCCUCCUGCAGCAGCAGUCAAUGAUGUUUGCUUGUUAGCAGUAGUAGUACUGGGCAUUCUCUCCUCAUUGGUGCCUCCUACAGCAGCAGUUUCCUGGAGCAAUGUGCAUCAAAAUUAACACCAAACUAUGGCCAGGCGAUUGAAGCAGGCAUGUACAAAGAUGGAAAUGAGAAGAACAAAGUACUUUCCGCUAAUUGCUGCGAUCAACUUAUAGCUGCAGGAUGGGAUAUUGGGAUUGUCAUGAAAAAUUUGUGGAGGUAACUCCACCUUUUCACAAUCAAACUGAAGCUGUGGCUAAUCAAAUUUGGCAAGGUUGCGUAUAUAGAUAUGAUUAUCGACCUAUUUGGUACUAAUAUCUCUCAAUGGGAUGUAAUCUCACACUUUUAAGAAAUAAUAAGAAUAAUUAUUAUUAAUUAGUCUUGUACAUGCAAUCAAUGUUGAAACUGAACAAUGUACCAUUGAACUCCAACAAUCAUAACAAAUGCCAAUGCAUUAGCAUGGAGUCCGAAUGUAAUAAACAGGGCAAUAACACAAAUAAUACCUUGGAAGUAGGCACCACCGUGCAAAUGGUAAAGUCUCAACCUGAAGAGGAAAUAGCUUCCUGAUAACUCUCUGCUUUGGAAACAUUUGCUUCGUCUUCAUGAAAACUGGGAGCUUUAGGAGUGAGUCCAAGAACCUUGAACAUGAGUUGAUCAGCAACGAAAUUGUUGUUCGGAGUUGUCAAAAGUUUCUCGCCAGUAAAGAUGGAAUUAGCACCAGCAAGAAAACACAGUGCCUACUCUGGCAUGGAAGAACGAAUUCUUGCAGCUGAUAAUCUGACCAUUGCUUUUGGCAUGACUAUACGUGCUGUAGCAAUCAUCCGAAUCAUCUCCCAUAUUUCAACUGGCUGAACAUGGAAUUAGGAAAUCGACUUUGGUUAUUUCCAAGCAUAGAGUAACUUUUCAUGGACAUGGAAAGCUUUUUAGAUGCUCUUUAACAAUGAUGGCUGCCUUUUACAACAACACAGUGAGGGUAAAUAUGCUGAAGUAUAUCAUUCUUCCAAGCAAACACUACUCUAGAAACUUUUAUUAUCGGCAAUUUGUAUCAGACUACGUGGGUUUCACCAACAAUUUAUAUUAAAGAGCAAUAAAUGAUAAGAGAGAAACAACAUCAAUGACAGAAUAUGCUUGCAGUAAAAUAUAAUAUAUGCUUGCAGUAAGAUACGAUAUAUAUAUAUUUAUAUAUAUUCCACCAAAACAUUAAAUGGUAUUGUGUUAAACAGGAAUAAAAUCACCUUCUGAUCUUGAAGAGGGGUUCCUUUCACUGCAAGCAGCGCAUUGAUGGGAACACUCUCUGGAUGAGUAGGGAGUGUUGCUAGUGUAUGCAACAAACCAACUCUGUCCUCCUCUGGUUCUCCAAGCCCUAUUAUACCACCUAUGAACAGAAAAUCAAAUACUCAUUGUCAAUAUCUGUUUAUCUUUGCAUUGAAAGACGAAAAAAGAAAGAUAUAUCAUCUAUUUGACAAUGAGGUUGACGAAUGUUUGGUGAAUUUUAACAAUGUCACCUUGAAGUUAGAACAGAGAAUUGCAUGACUACCAAACUAAAAUGAAACGCUUAUGCAAAUAUCAUUGAUUUCAGUUCAUUUGAUGAUUUUGAGGCUUGAAAAAGGCAUUCCUUUGAAGGUUAGGAUUCCCAACUGAGACACAUGUUAAUUUCAAGUGAUGUUUGCAAAGACAAUCUAACUCCACAGACAAUAUCCUACCAAGCUUUAUUUAAACAAAAAAAAAACAAAGUAGCCAUCAUCGUAGCCACCUCUUGAAUAAACAGAUUAAUUGUUUCCUUUCUAGAAUCUUAACACGUUUGGAAGGUUAUACCAGGAAUCUUGAAUCAACUCAGCAGUGUUAAUUUUAUUUUAUUUUUUAAAUUCUAACAUGUUUACCAAUGUAUUCUUUAUACAAACAAUCAACCUAGUAAAAGAGAAUAAACCCUUUAACGAAAUUUCAAACUCUCUGUUCAGCGAAACUGAAAUUCAACUGAACCCAGGAACUUAAAACUCUGGUAUCUGUUGCCAAUGAUGGAGAUAAGUGAUAUUUGUGCUCACUUAAGAGACUUUUAGUAGAUUUAGUAACUAAUUACAUCUCAAUCCUAACCCUGGCCUCUUUGACAUGACUAAUACUUAAAAAGCUGCAAAGGACAAAAACCACCAACAGCAUAUGGAAUUGUAUCAUAUGGUUUGGCACCAAUAUGAACCUUAGGUGAUGAGCUUGUCUACCUUUCAGAAGGGGUACAUAUCAUCUUAAAAGUGGAUAUGAUCUUUCUCUGGAGGUUCAAGAAAGCCAUACAACAUAAAAAUUCUUCCUUCCCUUUUCUACUGUUUUUCACCAUUUAAUUUCUCAAUUCGCCCAUUCAACCAAUAGAAGGUGGCAAGAUAAAAGUCCACGCAAAAAAAAUGCUCAAUAAGAUAGCAUAAUCAACACUAUAGUACAAAAUUAUGUUAGGUCCAUGAAAACUUAUGUCAGGCGCAAAUAUAAAGGGGCAGGGGUUGUUUAGUAAUUUUAGGGGCAGGGGCAAUUUAGUAACUUUAUUAUUAAUUAGGGUUUAGUUAUAAAUAAGUGAUUAUGGAGUCAUUUAGGGUUUAUGUUGAGUUUUGUCUGGUAUUAGGAACCAUUAGGAGUUUUGGGAGAGAUUGACAUACCUCUCGAAUUGUAGGUCAGGAUUGAUUGUUUGUUUUCUUUCGAUUUAAUUAAUAAAAGUCAGCCCUAAUUUAGCCCUAAGUCCUAUCAAAGUGGUAUCAGAGCAAGAAUCCUAAGACAAUGGCAGCGAAGAAGGUGGACGCGCUUGAAGAAAAAUUGAAAGCAGAGGUCAGAUCACUCAAGGCUACGAUUGAUGAGCGAUUCAACACCGUUCAAUAACAAUUUUCAUCUCUUGAAGCCAUGCUGUUGAAAUUGACGGAACUCCACCUCAACCCUCCUCCGGCAGCAUCGAGGGGCCAUGGCGGUGUGGCAGGAGAAGGAUCCGGGGUUACGAAACCCGUGGUAGGCGACGGCGCAGAAAUCGGAGUGACCGGGCUAGGCGACUCGGGGGCGUUUGGGGGUGAGGCACAACCUGGACAGGCUGAAUUUGGGCCCGAGCAGGGAGGAUUUGGGUCUGAACAGGUUGGAUUUGGGGACGGUAGGCCAGGAGGAGGGAUUUCUGGUGAGAAAGGGAGCGGUUAUGGUCGAAAUACGGCUGGGCAAGGGAAUCCAGCCCACUAUGGUGCUGGGCAAGGAGAAUUUUGGGCUGGAUCUUUAGGAUUUGCAGACACUGGAGUAGAUUGGGGAGGUUGGAGACCUCCGAUGGCAUGAAAUUGGGCGGGUCAGACUCAAUUUGGAGUAGAUUCUAGGGUAAGGAAACUAAAAAUGCCUAUUUUUUAAGGUGAGGAUGCCUAUGGAUGGGUGUAUAGGGCAGAGCGCUAUUUCGCCAUUAAUGGACUCUCAGAAAGGGAAAAAUUGAUGGCGGCGACGUUAUGCUUGGAGGGAAAGGCCUUUGCGCAGUUUCAAUGGCGAGAACAACGACAACCAAUGAGGUCGUGGGGUGAAUUUAAGGAUCGGCUGUUGGAGAGGUUUCAGGCCACUCAAGAGGGAUAUUUGCAUGAACAGUUUUUUGCUCUGACCCAGGAGAGAACGAUUAUGGAGUAUAGGGAGAAGUUUGAGUUGCUAUUAGGGCGUCUAGGGGGGCUUCCAGAGGCGGUGUUGGAAGGGAAUUUUAUGAAGGGACUGAAGCUAGAAAUCCGAGCCUCCCUACGCUUGCUAAGGCCGAGAGGGUUAGGGGAGUCAAUGGAGUUGGCACAGAUGAUUGAGGAUAAGAACACAAUAGAACGGAUUAAUAGGAGUAGUUCAGUCGAUUUUUCAUAUCGAAAUAACACACCAUUGGUAGGAAAGAAGACUCAGACUUUGGGGUUUCAACGAGAGUUCCAAAAUACACCAUCAGGAGGCCAGAAAAUGCAAAUGAUGGGUUUACAGAGAGAUUCCCAAAGGGAUCGGGUUAGUGGGGCACGACUAGGGGUGACUUUCAAACGCCUCACAGAGACAGAGAUUCAGGAUAAGAGGGCGAAGGGGGUGUGUUUUCGAUGCGAUGAUAAAUUUUCACCAGGGCAUCGAUGUAAGGAUAAAUCACUACAAGUCCUGACUGUGUGUGACGAGGAAGAAGAGGCAGCAGUUUCCUAGAUUUCACCUUGAGGACAAGGUGUCUUUUUGGGAGGGGAGUAAUGUUAGGUCCAUGAAAACUUAUGUUAGGCGCAAAUAUAAAGGGGUAGGGGCUGUUUAGUAAUUUUAGGGGUAGGGGCAAUUUAGUAACUUUAUUAUUAAUUAGGGUUUAGCUAUAAAUAAGUGAUUAUGGAGUCAUUUAGGGUUUAUGUUGAGUUUUGUCUGGUAUUAGGAACCAUUAGGAGUUUUGGGAGAGAUUGACCUACCUCUCGAAUUGUAGGUCAAGAUUGAUUAUUUGUUUUCUUUUGCUUUAAUCAAUAAAAGUCAGCCCUAAUUUAGCCCUAAGUCCUAUCAAAUUACCUGAACAGACAUUAAUCCCAGCUUCACGGACAUGCUUAAGGGUUUCCAAAUGUUCAUCAUAACUACUUGUAGUAAUGAUUUUGGGGUAAUAUUCUCUUGAGGUAUCAAGGUUAUGGUUGUGCGCUGUAAGGCCUGCUUUCUUGAGUUCUAUAGCCUGCUGCUUCUCCAGCAUGCCCAAGGUGCAGCAAACCUCCAUUCUCAUGUCCCUCAUACAUGACAGAUUAAAACCCAGCUCAACAUUUGGCGGAUAAGCAAGAAAAUCUAAGACAAAGUUAGUCAAAUUUUCAAAAGCUAUGGCAAACAAUUAAUAGGACAAGUAGCUCAUGAAGCAUUGUAGAAGUUCUAUUACUUUUGAAACAUGCGGAAACCCAAGAAAAGAAUUGAUGUUAAAAUUAUGAAUUGGAAAGCAUCAUAACAUAAGACAGAAGCUGUAUUCCAUGUAAUUCUUUUGUUGAAGGGAAAUAUUCGCUGGCUGUGUAUUGUUGCAUAUAUAACUUGAUAGUAAAAUACGAAAGCAUAUUCAAAUUUCUUGCAUUUAACAAAAUAAAAUUUUCAUCAACCCAGAGUUGACAUUACAUUACUGUCAACAUCUACAGUACUUACAUUGUCCAAGUAUCACAACUGAAUUCAUAGGGGGGAAAAUAAAAAGUAAAGAGAACUGAUAUAAGAAAUAUACAACCCUGUUAAUUAUGGUUCUAAAUAAGUUCCCUUAAUUGUGGAAUUCCCACAUUAUAAUAAUGUAACAGGCUCAUUAUCUACAACACAAUCAUCCAAUCAAAAGCACGAUUAAAAAUUCACCUCCUUCUUUAACAAUGAGGACUUUCAUCAUGAAUUGCUUUAUUACCUUAUAUCUUUUACGUAUUCAAGUGUUUGGUUGAAAUUGGUUUUCCUCCCUAUUGUGUCUCUCCAUGCAGCACCCAUUCAAAAUCAUGUACUUCCGGCCUCCUUUGCCUGCAAAAGUAUAAUUAUAUUGAUAACAAGCUACUAAGAAACUAGCAUUGUAUCAUGUGAAACACAAAGCUCGUCAAACAAGUUUGAUAGAUAUUUGAAGAAGUUUUCACCAAUAUUGAAAACUGUAAUGGGUAGAUCUCAAUCCAUUCAUAAAGAUAGUCAUUCAAACAAGUUGUCGAUAUAUAAAAUUGAACUCAAAUGUAUAUUAAUAUGAUAUUGCAGUAAUUAGCCUCACAUUCAAAUCCAUAAUUGACUUGGAAAUCCCUCAUAGUAACUGAGUGUAACCAAAAAAAUUAAUCAACACUGCAUUUUUUCUAGUGUUAUGUCCGCAUCAGGAUAAACUAAAUCAGAUUAUUGCCCCUUAAAUGAGCGCAUGGAUAAGAAAACAGAUUAGGGUAAUUAGUCAUUCAUCAGUACUCUUGUUCUUGUAAUGUUGUCUCCCUUUUCCAACUAAAUUAUCUUGCAGAACUUGUGAAUCACAUUUACUUUUCAAUUAAUUAAAAUCAAGUCUCUCCAUUUUCACAUGUAUAGCAUAUGUGCAAGACUAGUAUCAAGAAUUCCUUUCAAAGCUCCGUAAUUUUCCAACCCUGUUCCUAUAUUGCUGCUCUAACACACCGUGAAGCUUACUCGAACUACAGAACAUUUACAAUCAAUUUUAAAAGAAUAUGCCAUUAAAGAAUCAACAACCACCAGCAUCUUGGAUAUAGCAAUUCACAGUGAACUUUGCUGACCUUUUGUGCUGCCUGCAUCACGGCGUCUUUAGUCAUAAGCUUUUGGUCCUUCACUCCAGUGCAUAUCUAGAGGAUUGAGGACAAUAUGAACAAUCCUCACUGCAUCCACCCGUCUUGAUGGAGAGGAGAGUGCACUGCUGCGCUUCCCUGAAGUUAUGAGCAUGUCUGUGAACUUGAGCCUGAAAAAUAAAAAGAACCUCCUACCUAGUUGCUCAAUCGGUAACAAUAAGUUUGCAUAUAGUUACUUUAAAAAAAAAAAAAAGAAUCAACAGUGUAUUAUUGCCUACAAAUAAAUUUUAAACCAAAAAGAUCACGCAGGGCAUUAUGUUCUUGGAAAACAUAAUACUCCUCUUCUACUCCAAAAGACUAAUACCAGACACUUUUGUAAAAAACUGUUUUUGAAAAUCAUUAGACAACACAUUUUUCAAAUAUUCUAAGUUUCCUGUUUUCAUUCUUGAGAAUAAUUUGUGAAAAAAGAAAAAAUUCUAAAAUAAUCCCAAAGCAUUAAAAGAAAAAAAAAAAACAGAUACCAGCUCACUAAAACUGCAAAAAAUACAUUAGCAGAAUGGGGGUUCUAAAUUAAAACAAAAAUAAGAAACAAAAACAUAUUGAAUGAGAGAAGUGAAAAAUAAAGACUCCAUGGAAGAGGAGAUCGAGAACAGGAGAGUCGUAGAUAGAUUUGAUGUCAUAUUUAGACCAAUCGUGUCUGGGACCUUCACGUAUUGUUCUUUCAGCUUCAAUGGCAGCAGCCGAGGCUGAGUACACGAGCAAGAAGAAUGCAAUGCCAGAAAUUUCUUUGAGGGUCUUAAACUUAAACUACGUUGCGAACGCAGUAACGAUCGAAACGGGACACGGCUACCAUGCAGGGCAUAAAAUCCCUGUAUGGUACAGGGGCUGCCCUUGAACCGUUGGAUUCAGCUUAUUUGAAUCCAAUGGUUGGGGUUUUAGUUUGAAAAAAAUGAAUAAAAGCAGAAAAAAAUAUGGCAACCGGUUCAAACGGGGUAGUUACAGUACGUAAAAAAUUACCGUUGGAUUGAAUAGAGCGGAUCCAAUGGCUGAGAUUUGUUUUAUUAUUCAAUAAUUAAAAAAUUUUGAAAGAACAAACCUGUAAAACUGAAAUAAACAAAAAAAAAAAAAACCACCACUCACUCACUCACCUCACCGUCACCACUCCCUCACCUCACACGUCAAACACCUCACCACUCCUCACCUCACACACGGCCAUCAACGGCGGCUGCUGAAGGAGUUCCUAGGCAACGAUCAAUGGCGGCACAAGGACGGGCUGAUCUCCGCCGUCGGCAACGAUCAACGAAGGCAGAAGGAUGGGCUGAUGUUCUUCGUUGACAAUGAUCAACGGCGGCACAAGCACAGCCCCGUUCCUCGCCCCACAUUCUCUUUACCGCCAGAAUCAUCAAGCAAAACGUUAGUAUUAGAUUAGAUUUUCUGAAUUAAUUUAUAAUUAGGGUUUGAUUUGAACUGUAUCAAGGUUAGAUUUGAAUGAUUGAUUUGGGUUUGAUUUUAAUUGUUGAUUUGGGUAUGAAUUAAAAUUUUUAUUGAUUUAUAGUGUUGGUUUAUGUCUUUCCCUUCUCAAGCUUUUGGGCAAUAGUGCAUGGAUCGACAGCAACAAAGAGCAGGGGCUACACAGGCACAGCCUCGGCUUCGACCUUAGCCUCAACCUGGCGAUUUAUCUGCUAUACUCGGUGUAUUCCUCACUUCCAUUGCUAUUGUCUCACUAGCAAAUUCUCUCUUAUUCCUAAUUCGUGCUUUUACGCAUAUUUAGUCACUUUCAAUCUGGUUUAUCAGUUAAUGUGUAUGAUAUUGUGUUCUAUUUCUUGGUUUUUUCACAACGUGAAACUUUUUUUUUUAACACUUGGUUGACCAUUUUUGGCCAAUUAUAUUUGAUUUUAUAGUCACAAUUUUCUCAUUUAGUACUUUUUAGGUUUUAAUGGUGACUUAAAUCUUCUUUUUUUAAUUGUUUGAGUUGAAUCUUGUAGCUCUGUAAAUAUUAAGUGUUGGGUUCUCACCUGAAUAAAGGGCUUUCCUUGGAGUGAAAUAGUGAAAUGAACAACGAUUUGAAUUGACUAGUUGUAAAGUUUAAUUUUUUCCUAAAAUGAGCAGAUCAACAAUAUAUUAUCAUGGGCAGUGUUUUUACCCAGAUUUUGCUUCGUUACUUGCCUACUAGUAUGAACACUUUGUUGCUUUGAAAACUCAUUUGCUAUAUUAAUGCUUUGGUGGUAAGUUUCUUGUAUGUAUAUCUGUAGUUAUAUUAUUUUGAUUGGAAUUUUCUGUAUUUAACUCUGAAACUGACUUGCUGGAUUUAAGUAAUAAUUAGUUAUUUUAGUGAAAGUUUGAGCAUUUGUGUAGGUAUGAAAGUAAUAUUAAGUUCAUUUUGAACAAUAUGUUGUUUGGAUGAAUAUAGCUUUUGAAUGAAUUUUCAGAUGAUGUCAAUGCCGAACAAUAGAUUGUCAUUGCUUCCUGGAAGAAUAGACCAAUCAAGUUACCCUUGUCGUACCUGGAAAUUAUUUGGAGGGGGCAGAAUCUGUUGGAUGAUGAACUUUGCUGCAGCUUUGUUGCAAUUUUGUUUGCUGCAGAAUUUUAGGCUUGGCUUCAGUAAAUAUAGGUUGAUAUUUGCAAGGCAUCUUUUAUACGGCUUAUGUAAAAUUUUUUUCUUUUUCCAUUUACAUUGCUGGGUUUCGUUGUAGUUGCUGAGCAAGUGAUAGAACACAUUCAAUUUUAUACAACAAUUAUAAGUAUUGACCAUGAGGCAGGAUACUGGAAAAUUGUUGUGUUAUUAUAACCCCUCAAUGGUAAAAUGAUUGCAAUUGGUAUGGUGAUCACAAUUGAUGACUUUUGAAUGAAACCAUAUGUUUUAAUUAUUUAGUUAUCCUGUUAUUUAUUUUAAUAAAGCUUAGUUUAUUUCAUUUGCAUGGAUGUUUAUUUCACAAGAUACUUAUUUGAAAAAUGUCAAAAAAAAUGUUAUAUUGCUAAAAAAUAAAAACGUUGUUAAUAAGCUGUGCUGAGCUUUAAAACUACUUACCUUUCUUCCUUUUUUUUUAUUUGCCGUAAAUUUAUGCAAUAUAUCAAUCCACUUUUUUUUCGGAGAUGGUACUUGUAAUAAGGUUGGAUGAUGCACUUGGUGUAAAGUACUAGAUUUUGGUGGAUUUUUAGGAUGAUAUGUAGAAAAUAUUAUGUUUGACAUAGGAAUAGUUAAUUUGAUUUAUUUUCAUUAAAUUGUGUUUCCUAUAAUUAGUUAAAAUAAAAUUAAAAUAAAUUGAUUAAAUUGAUUUAGCGGAAUGGAGAAAUAAGCCUAUAAAUUUGUAUGGGAAUUAAUAGAAUUAAAAAUGAUUGCAAGGUUAUUUAUAAGAGCUCUUAUGAAUUUAAAAGCAAAUUCGGAUUGGAAUAUUAUUAUUUUGUUGGUUACCUUUAUUCAUAAUACAAAUACUUCAAAAGUGAUUAUAUUUAUAAAAAAUUAGAAGAAAAAUGUUAACAAAAUAAUAUUAUUGAAUGUCUAAAACGAACACUUGUAGUCUAAGGUAUAACCAUUGAAAGAUUAAAAUCGGUGCACUAAAUUCAAGUGAAACGGUUAGAUUUAAGACUAAAUAAAUAGUAUUCAUAAAAUGAGUGUUGUUAAAUACCUUAAUAUUCUUCUAAUGCUUAUGUUAAAGUCACUUUACAAAAUGGUGGAUUAAAAAUUUUCGGGUGCUUGGAAAAUAAUUAUCUAAAACAUUGAAUAGUAAUUUUAAAACACAUUACUUAAAAUAUGUAACAAUGAGUACCUCCGUAACAAUGAACAUAAACAUCAAAUAUGAAACUUCGAACUUGAAACAUAAAACAUGAAUCAUAAACAUGAAACGGGAGCAAAAUAGAAAAAUUUUAAGGUAUUUAAAAAUUAUUACAUAAAACAUUGAACAAUAAAUAUGAAACACGUUACUUAAAAUAUGCAACAACGAACAUAAAAUAUGAGUACCUCCGUAACAGUGAACAUGAAACAUAAAACAUGAAACAUAGAACAACAAACAUGAAACACAGAACAUAAACAUGAAACGGGGGCAAAAAAGAAAAAUUUCGGGGUAUUUGAAAAAUCAGUACAUGAAACAUUGCACAACUAACAUGAAACAGAUCACUUAAAAUAUGCAACAACAAACAUAAAAUAUAAGUCCCUCCGUAACAGUGAACAUGAAACAUAAAACAUGAAACAUAGAACAACAAACAUGAAACACAGAACAACAAACAUGAAACACAGAACGUAAACAUGAAACGGGGGCAAAAAAGAAAAAUUUCGGGGUAUUUGAAAAAUUAUUACAUGAAACAUUGCACAACCAACGUGAAACAGAUCACUUAAAAUAUGCAACAAGGAACAUAAAAUAUGAGUCCCUCCGUAACAGUGAACAUGAAACAUAAAACAUGAAACAUAGAACAGCAAACAUGAAACACAGAACGUAAACAUGAAACGGGGACAAAAAAGAAAAUUUUCAGGGUAUUUGAAAAAUUAUUACAUGAAACAUUACACAACCAACGUGAAACAGAUCACUUAAAAUAUGCAACAAGAAACAUAAAAUAUGAGUCCCUCCGUAACAGUGAACAUGAAACAUAAAACAUGAAACAUAGAACAGCAAACAUGAAACACAUAACGUAAACAUGAAACGGGGGCAAAAAAGAAAAAUUUCGGGAUAUUUGAAAAAUUAUAACAUGAAACAUUCCAUCACCAACAUGAAACAGCUAGCUUAAAAUAUGCAAAAACAAACAUAAAAUAUGAGUUCCUCCGUAACAGUGAACAUGAAACAUAAAACAUGAAACAUAGAACGUAAACAUGAAACGGGGGCAAAAAAGAAAAAUUUCGGGGUACUUGAAAAAUUAUUACAUGAAACAUUGCAUAACCAACAUGAAACAGAUCGCUUAAAAUAUGCAAAAACAAACAUAAAAUAUGAGUCCCUCCGUAACAGUGAACAUGAAACAUAAAACAUGAAACAUAGAACGUAAACAUGAAACGGGGGCAAAAAAGAAAAAUUUCGGGGUACUUGAAAAAUUAUUACAUGAAACAUUGCACAACCAACAUGAAACAGAUCACUUAAAAUAUGCAACAACAAACAUAAAAUAUGAGUCCCUCCGUAACAGUGAACAUGAAACAUAAAACAUCAAAUAUGAAACAUAGAACGUAAACAUGAAACGGUGGCAAAAAAGAAAAAUUUUGGGGUAUUUAAAAAAUCAAUACAUGAAACAUUGGACAACCAACAUGAAACAAAUCACUUAAAAUAUGCAACAAUAAACAUAAAAUAUGAGUCCCUCCGUAAUAGUGAACAUGAAACAUAAAACAUGAAACAUAAAACAUAAAACAUGAAACAUAGAACGUAAACAUGAAACGGGGGUAAAAAAGAAAAAUUUUGGGGUAUUUAAAAAAUCAUUACAUGAAACAUUGUACAACUAACAUGCAACAGAUCACUUAAAAUAUGCAACGAACAUAAAAUAUGAGUCCCUCCGUAACAGUAAACAUGAAACAUAAAACAUCAAACAUGAAACAUAGAACGUAAACAUGAAACGGGGGCAAAAAAGAAAAAUUUCGGGGUAUUUGAAAAACCAGUACAUGAUCCGUAACAAUAAACAUGAAACAUAAAACAUCAAAUAUGAAACAUAGAACGUAAAUAUGAAACGGGGGCAAAAACGAAAAAUUUCGGGGUAUUUGAAAAACCACUACAUGAAACAUAAAACAUAAAAUAUGAAACUUAAAAUAUUAAACAUGAGAUAAAUUUCAUAGAAAAUGAAUAAAAUUUUUGUCUUUUUGUUAACACACAUUUUAUUUUAUUUUUUAAAAUAUUUAUAAUAAAAAAAUUUUUUCUAUUUUUACUUUACUUAUCCUUUUCUACUUCUUAUUAUUAUUAUUUUUUAAAUAUUAUUCGUUUUAAAUAUUUUUUAUUUUAAUUUAUUUAAAUAAAAAAUACAUAUUAAUGGCAGCAACCGGCUGGAAAACCGGUUGCUGCCAGUCAUAAAAGUUGUUUGGCUGCCAGAUGGCAGCCAAACAACAAAGGGGUCAAUAAAUUGACCCCCUCUAUCAUAGCCGUGUCCAUCGAAACGACAUCAUUUUGAUUUUUUUUUCCGUUGCUGGAGGCUGGAGCUGCACUGGAUUUUGGCGAUGAAAACUAGGAGUGUCAAUUGAGAGAGAAGAAAGAAGAAUAAGACGAAAAGUUAGAUAGCUACUUGCUACCUACCUAAUUAUUUGAACUUUGAAGGAUAUAGGCAUAUACGUGGCUUUGUUUCUUAAACUAUAUUUGUAAUUACAUCUAGGUCGCUAAUUGCUUUACUAUUUCUCAGACAAGAGCAUAGUUUCUCUAUUUGUAUCAUAUAGGUCCUUACCUUAGUUCCCUUCUUGUUUAGAUGUACGAAGAGUACCGACAACACUCUCCACCCUUUUUUUGAAAGGUAAUGCAAGAACGAUCACCCAAAAUUUCAUUGAAAAAUAAGAUUUUAUUAUUUAUUUAAAGAAUUAUAUUAAUAUUUAAAAAUUUUAAAAAUCUUUUUAAUUAAGAUUUUUAAAAUAAGAGAUAUUCUUUCUUCAAUUUUAUAAGGUCUUUUUACAUCUUCAAUUUAUAUUUUAUUAUUUUGUAUUGAAGAAAAAGAAAAGUAAGUUAAUUACUAUUUAUUUAAAAAUAAUAAUUAUUUAAUUCAAAUAAUAUUAAUAAGAAACUUUUUAAAAAAUAUAUUUUUUCACUCUUCUAUUUAUCACAUAAGUAAGUAAAUAAAUAUUUAAAAAAUAAAAUUAAUAGUACUUUUUAAUGAUGCUCUAAGUAUAUAUAUUAUUAGGGGUUGUUUGUUACCAGGUCUCCACAUUUAUUAAUUCAGUUAUUUUGUAAACCACUUCUUGGUUGAAUGCAGGUAUAUUUUUUAAGAGUUGGAUUAUUGGCACCCCUCCAUAAUUCUUUUAAAACCCCUCUUCUAUUAUAAUUACAUUUUAGGACAAUACUCUAAUAUAUCUCACAUCUAUUUUAUCUCAUUUCAAAAUUUUGUUUUUUCUCUCUUUAAAAAAAAAAAAGAAAAAUUCUUGUAUUUUCUCUGCUAUCACACUCACACAUGUAAUUUUUUUCUCAAAUUCUCUAUAAAUUUUUCUUCAAUUAAUAAGAUAAUGUAUUGAUAAUAAAUAAAACACAUUCUGAUAAAAUUGUCUUACUUUUUUUUAAGUUCAUACUAAAACUUUUUACAUCAUAAUCUUAGAGAGAAUUUAUUUGAUUCAUUGAUUUUUAUAAAGAAGUUUAUCACCGAUAAAAAUUAUUUGUGAGGAGCGAGAAAAAAAAUAAAAAAUUAAAAGAUUCACAAAUUAAAUGUGUUUAUUUAGAAGUAAGGGUAAUUUUGACAUUAUGUCUAAUAUAAUUGAAAAAGGGGUUUUAAACGAAUUUUGGAGGAGUGUCAAUAGUCCAACUCAUUUUUUAAUGCACUUUCUUGACUUGGCUUAUGAUGGACCUGUUUUGUAAUAGUCUUCAACCAUGAGUUGCUUCUCCCUGACCUAUGAUAGGUUCUAUUGGCACCCCUCUAUUUUAUUUAUAAAACCCCUUUCCUUUUGUAUUUAUAAUUCUAUCGUUUAUAUAUCAAACGCAAAAUUUCAUCUAAUUAAACGGAUUUUGCUAUAAACUAAGUUUAAUUCACUUUAUAAUUUUUGUUUGCGAGAAAAAUAAUUUUGUGAAGUAUUGUUAAUUUUAUGAGCUUGUUAAGGUACAUCCAAACCUUCUGGUUAUUCAUAAAUUAUCUUCUUCUUUGUCGAUUCUGAAGAAGAGUGCAUACUUGUAUUACAAAAACACCAUAUGUACAUUUGAGGGUUUAACUUUAAAGUAGGAGAAUAAUAGCAGCAUAGCACUACUAGUUGGGAGGUUAUUGAGGAGGUUUAUAAAAAGAGAAGGGAUUUGAUGAGGAUGAUAGAGGGGCGCCCAUAGCAGAUAGCACCAUUCUAUGAAUGUUUGUAAUGUGUUCCAAACGCCAAUUUCUUGGGUGCGCUCAAAUCUAUGUAUUGAAAGUCGAACUCCAUAAUUUAUAAUAUUGUCUUAUGGUUUCGGUUUAAGGAUAUAAUUAUGUAGCAUAAAUAAAUUGAUUGAUAUAGUUUUAAAUAUUUCUGAUAUCAAUGUCUAAAUGUUUAUCUAUAUCUUUUUUUUUUUAUAAGAAAAACAUUUUUAAUGUAUUGUACAUUACUUAGCUAUCUCAGAGAAUUGCUCAUUUGCGCGUGGACUUGUAAUUGAUUGAUGAUUGUAUAUAUUUGUUGUCAAUAUUAUUAAAUGUAAAAAAAAAAAGACAAAUACGCUUUGGUGAUUUUUUUUUUAAUUGGAUAGAUUUUGCAUAAGAAGAUUAGAAGAACAUAUUCUCAUACUCAAUUAAUAUAUUUCAAAUUCACCGAAUAAUUAAAGAAAGGGCGGGGUUAUUUAAACCCCUCAAAUUUCUUUCUAAACCCAUUUUUUAAAUAAACCCAUAACUAAAAUUUAAAAAUAUUAAUUUCAUUUCUAUUCAUUUGAGAAUUUCAAAAAUAACCCUUAGUAGAAUUUCUAUACAUUGAUAUUUUUCUAAUUGUUCUUGAUUUGAAUUAACAAAGAGACUUGCCUUUGUCAAUUUGAAAAACAUUUGACAUCAUGUAGAGAUAAAUUUCAGUUAAUCAUCUUCAAUCAAACCUUAUUUGAAUUAUAAAAUCAUUUUUUAAUGUUGGUAUUUGCACUAAUUAUUCCUUUUGAAAGGGAGAGGAACUUGCACAUUCCCAAAUAUUCCUUCAAGAAGUUACAAACCAAAUGAUUUACUAGUUUCUAUUGUUUAAUGUAAACUCCAGGAAUUGAAAUAUCAAGAGAUAGUUUCAUCUUGUGACACAAUUUUUUUUUAAAACUAUCAAAAAAUAUUUUUGAUAUACCAUUUAUGCAAAUAUAAGAAACUAUUUAUCUGUAAAUUUGAAUUAGAUUUCUCUCAUCAACUAUCAUAUUUUCAAUAUAAACUAAAACAACUCACGCUAGUUUAAAUAGAUGGAUGCUGAAAUAUGAAGUAAUUUUGAUACUAACAUGUUUAUAUAAGUAAUUUUAUCAAAGGAUAUUUUAGAGAAAAAAAUAUGUUGACUAAAGAUAAACUCUAGUUGGUUAGUAAACAAGUUCAUUUUUAUAGUAAACGAGUCAAAUUUGAUUUUAGAACUUUUUUGUUAAAAAAAUCUGACUACUAAAUAAAAAUAAAUUUGAUUUCACUAAAUAAAAAAUUUUGAUUACUAAAUAAAAAAUACAUUUGAUUGCUAAAUAAAAAAAUCUAAUUACUAAAUAAAAACUAAAAUAUUUUACUGUAAAAAUUGACAAGUUAUAAGAGAUAUUUUACCUGAUCAAUUUUAAUUCAAUUAAGGCAUGAUAGUUUUUUAAUUUAAUAGUAGAAAGUUAACGGGUUGGGUGUGUGGUUUUACAUAAAAAGUUAAUAAGUGUAUAUUGAUAUUUGUCAAAACAUUUGGGUGUGCAUGGAAAUGAACCUUUCCAAAUGUUAAAAACGGUUGCCCAUGAUUAAUUUCUAUUCUGACCUAUAAUCUCAACCAUCCCAUUUCAGUCUCUAGAUCCAACGAAUCAAAAAUGCAUGGCUGUUACGUACAGUUCCUGUAACGUAGCCAGGUCCUUUUCAAUGAAUUUUAUUGACUUGGCUUAUGAUGAACCUGUUUUAUAACCGUCUUCAACCGUGGGUUGCUUUUCUGUCCCUAUGAUUGGCUCUAUUGGCACCCCUUUAUUUUAUUUAUAAAACCCCUUUUGUUUUGUAUUUUUAAUUUUAUCAUUUAUAUAUCAAACGCAAAAAUUCAUCUAAUUAAACGGAAUUUGCUAUAGUUUUAUUUACUUUAUAAUUUGUGUUUGCAACAAAAAUAAUUUUUUGAAGUUUUCAUAAUUGUUAAUUUUAUGAAAUUGUUAAGGUAUAACCAAACCUUCUGCUUAUUAUUUUUUUUUUAUAAUGAAAAACUUAAAUAAAUUAAAAAACAUAUCCAUGAAUUAUCAUCUUCUUUUUCGAUUUUGAAGAAGAGUGCAUUCUUGUGUUGCAAAAACGUACAUUUGAGGGUUUAACUUUAAAAUAUGAGAAUAAUGGCGAGAAUAAUAGCAGUAUAGCAAUACUAUUUGAGAGGUUAUUGAGGAGGUUUAUAAAAAGAAAAGGGAUUUGAUGAGGAUGAUAGAGGGAUGCCAGCACCACUCUAUAAAUGUUUGUUUGUAAUGUGUUUCCAAUGUGAAUUUCUUGGGUGCGCUUAAAUCCAUGUAAUGAAAGUAGAACUUAUAAUUUAUAAUACUAUCUUAUGGUUUCGGUUUAAGGAUAUAAUUAUGUAGCAUAAAUAAAUUGAUUGAUAUAGUUUUAAAUAUUUCUAACAUCAAUCACUAAAAGUUUAUCUAUAUCUUUUUUUAUAAUAAAAACAUUUUUAACGUAUUAUACAUUACUUAGCUAUCUCAAAGAAUUGCUUAUUGAGGUGUGGACUUGUAAUGGUCAUAAAAAUGUCAAUAAUGAAAAUGAAGUGUAAUAAUCUGAAAACUAGUAGAGCCAAGUACUCGGUAAGAAGGAGUUCGCCUAGGGUAUGUUUUAAAGACUUAGAAGAAAUGAUGAGAAAGCUUAACUCACUUCAUUGAUUUACAAAUACCAAUAUAUACAGCAAAUAGUGCAACAACUAUCUAUAUUAUUGGUUUGUUACAACUAAAUAUAUCUUUACAUUCAAAAUACUUUGAACAAGUAAACUCCUAUAAUCAUGGAGGAGAAUCCUCUAUCAUGCCCCCUCAAGAUGGACUUCUUGAAAGCAGUCCGAUCUUGCAUCGAAGUUGAAGGAAGCGUGGUAAGAGCAUCAGCUAGCUGAUCAUUAAAUGAUACAUGUGCUACCCGUAAGGAACCGUUUUGAACUUGCUCCCUGAUAAAAUGAAAAUCAAUGGUAACAUGUUUCAUCCUUGAGUGAAAUAUCGGAUUAGAACACAACUGUGUUGCUCCCACAUUAUCGCAGUAAAUAAUUGGACAAUUAGGCACUCUAAUAUGCAGGUCUGUUAACAGUGAACGUAUCCAAGUAAUUUCAGCUGUUGUAUUGGCAACGGAGCGAUACUCAACUUUGGUGGAGGAUCGUGCCACUGUGCGUUGUUUCUUCGAACACUAGGAUACUAAGUUUCGACCAAGAUAUACCAAGUACACACCUGUUGAUGAAAAAUCAUCUUUGUUACCUGCACAGUCGGCAUCAGAAAAGACAUGUAUACUAGUGGAAGAAUGAUGAUAUAGUUGAAUACCCUCAUUAACAGUACCUGCCAAAUAUUGAAGGAGUUGUUUGACACAGGUCUAGUGGUCAGUUGUCAGACAAUACAUAUACCGUGAUAAGCGAUUAACCACGAAAGCUAUGUCUGGCCUGCUGAUUAAAAGAUAUUGUAGACUACCCAACAUAGCACGAUACUCAGUGGCAUCAUCCAGGGGAGUGCCAGAUUGUGACGUCAGCUGCACAAUGGUUGAAAGAGGAGUGAGUACCGGUUUCGCUGCCGUCAUGUUUGCUCGAUUUAAUAACUCCAGUAUAUAUCUUCUUUGAGACAAGAUCAACCCCUGGUUAUUUGGUACAACUUCAAUGCCUAGAAAAUAUGCUAAUUUUCCAAGAUCUUUGAGAGAGAAUUGCUUGGCAAGAAGAGCUAUAAAUUCAUGAAUCUUGAGAGGCUUGUCCCCCGUGAUUAUUAGAUCAUUAACAUACACAAUGAGAUAUAAAAUAUGUGUGCCAUCAUUAUAUACAAAUAGCGAUGUAUCAGCCAUAGAAUUUUUGAACCCAAAUUGAAUAAGAAAUUAUUGUAGUUCAUUAUACCAGGCGCGUGGAGCUUGCUUUAGUCCAUAGAUGGCCUUUCAAAGUUUGCAGACAUAGUUAGGUUUGUCACCAUCUAUGAAUCCUUGAGGUUGAGCCAUGCAUACAUCCUCAUACAAGUCCCCUUGAAGGAAUGCAUUAUUUAUGUCUAGUUGGCGUAGCUCCCAUCCAUGACUGACUGCAAUGCUUAGAACAAUACGAACUAUUGUUAGCUUUACAACCGGACUGAAAGUAUCAUGGAAAUCGACCCCUGGUCUUUGAUGGAAUCCUUUGGCCACCAAGUGGGCUUUGUACCUGUCAAUAGAGCCAUCAGAAUUUCUUUUUCCUCAAAAAAUCCAUUUACACCCAAUAAGAUUAUGAUUUGGAGAUGGUGAAACAAGAUCUUAUGUCUCAUUCUUAACUAAAGCAUUAAACUCAUCAAACAUUACUUGUCUCCACUUGGAGUCUUUUAACGCUUGAGUCACUGUGGUUGGUUCAAUUUCAUCUGUGGCGGCAAGUUGAGCAAGGAGAUUCAUUCUGCGAAUAGGUUUAUGAAUAUUAUUUUUAGAUUUGGUGACGAUGGUGUGAGCGGGUGGCAUUGAUGGUUCUAGGGCAGUGAUUGUGGUGUGUUGAGAUGCACAAGGUUGUAUUUGAGGAGCUUUAGCCGCAGAUGACGUAGUGAGUGGCGGAGUAGUUGUGGAGAUAGGUAUUUGUAGGGGAGGAGGAAACCAAGUGGCUAUUGUGUGUGAUUGGUUUAUGGACUCUUGUGGUUUUUGAUGGACGAAUGAGAAUAUAGACUCUACAAACUUGACAUGUCUAGAGACGUAAACUUUGGAAGAACUUGUAUCACGACACAAAAAUGCACUCUGACUUGUCGAAUAACUAAGAAACACACAUGGUUUAGAAUUGGACUCUAGUUUGUAAACCGUAUAAGGACUGAGCCAUGGGUAGUAAAGACACAUUAAAAUUUUGAGUUUGUUGUAAUUGAGUUUUGCCUAAAAAAUUUUCUCAUAGGGUGAAUAAUAUUGAAGGGUUGGUGUGGGCAUCCUGUUUAUAAGGUAAACGAUGGUGGCAAAGGCAUAUGGCCAAUAUUGUAAAGGUAUUGAUGCAUGGGACAAAAGUGCAAGACCAAUUUCGACAACAUACAGAUGGCGACACUCAGACAUACCAUUGCGUUUUGGGGUGUGUGGGGGAGUGGUGAGAUGAGAAAUUCCAUUUGUAGAAAGAAAAUUGGUUAAUGCAAUGAAUUCACCACCAUUGUCAGAGUACAAGGUUUUGAUGGGUUUUUCAAAUCGUUUUUCAACAAUGACUUUGUAUCUUAUAAAAACUUCUUUGACAUCAGUUUUUUUUUUUUAAUAGGUAAAACCAAAUAUAUUUUGUGUAGUGAUCGACAAAAAUAACAUAAUAUUUGUAUCCAUUAACAGAGACUACAAGAGACGUCUAAACAUCAGUGUAUAUAAUUUCAAGAGUAUGUGAAGAUGAUAUUGUAGAAUUUGAAAACGACAACUUAUGACUUGUAUUUGACAAACACGCAUUAUAAUUGACAUCAGAUAGCAUAGAAGACGUUACACUGAGUUUAUUAGAAGACAAAAUUUGUUUUAAAAUGGGAAUGGUAGGAUGUCCUAGCCUAUGAUGCCAAUUAGAAGACGAGGUCGUGAUACUUGAAAAGGAAAUAAUUGGGGUGGAGUCUGGCCACUCAUAUACGCCACCUUUAGCUUGACCCUUCAAAAGUGUUGUCCCUGUGCUGAAUUCCUUCACAAGAAAAGUAUCUAGUAAGAAUUCUAUGGAAGCAUUAUUAGAAUUGCAAAAUUGAUAAAUAGAAAUAAGAUUUCUCUUCAUGCUUGGAACACAUAGGACAUUGUCUAAAAGAAAAGACUUAUGAGGAGAGUUUAAAGUUGUUGAACCAGUGUGAGUUAUUUGUAACUUAGAUCCAUCCCCUAUCAUCAUAUCAUCACCUCCUCUGUACGAGUUAUGUAAAGAGAGAUUUUCUAGAUCAGUUGUUACAUGAUGAGAUGCACCACUAUGUAGGAGCCAGGUUUGAUUGUUGUUUGUUAUGGCUGCAUAAUUUGCUUUUGGCUGCCAUGGGGUAGAUGAGUGGUUAUUGUUUGACUGCACAGGUUGCAAUUUGUAAGAUGGACAUUUCUUGGCAGUGUGCCCUUUAAAUGCUAUAGAGUUGGCAGUAGCCAAGGUAUGGGCGUUGUUGUCGCUGAGUGGAAUUGUUGUUUUGGGGCACUCCUGUGUUGCGGUUUAGGUUGGAGAAGUUUUGGUUGGUUUCGCUGUUGAUACGUCAAUUGUUGUUGGUACGAGUUGUUACAUGGGCUGUUAUUGGGAACAUUGUGUCAGGUUUUGAAGUGUUUAGAGAUGCCUCAAAAUUGAGUAACUUUUCAUGAAGUCGAAUGUGAUAGGGGUGUCCUUGGCUUGUACAGCUUGGACCAACUCCUUAUAGUCAUCUCCAACAGUCUCCAGAAUUUUGUCCCUAAGAUCAUCUUCGUCAUAAGGUGCGCCAAGAAGCGUAAGUUCAUCUGCCCGAGCCUUAAUAUUUUGGAGAAAUUCUAUAAUUGAUGCUAACCCUCUAGUCAUUUGUCUAAUCUGGCUUUUAACUUGCUUAAUAUGUCCUCUGGAAGGCUUUGCAUAGGUGCUGGCAAGCGUUAUCCACGCUUCUUUGGAUGUUUUGGCAGUGGCCACAAAUGGGAUGAUGUUGGGUGAGAUGGAGCCAAUUAUGGCAUUGAGGAUCAGUUGAUCCUGGCGAACCCAAAGUGAAUGAGCUGGAUUCGGGGUAGUAGUGUUGUUGUCUGUUAUUGUAGUUGAAGGACAAGGUUUAGAACCAUCUAUAUAGCCAAGAAGAUCAUAGCCUACGAAGAGAGUUUGAAACUGCAAUUUCCAUGAUAAGUAAUUGGUUGAUGUGAGUUUGAGAGGAGUUUGUGCAGCUACAUUAAUGGUGAUUAAGGUGUUGUUGAGGUCAUUAGUGUUUCUGAUGGUGGUGGCCAUUACAGAAUUUUCUUUCUAAAAAUAAGGAGAGAAAGGGAGAGCCUCUAGUGCUCUGAUACCAUAAAGACUUAAAAGAAAUGAUGAGAAAGCUUAACUCACUUCAUUGAUUUACAAGUAUCAAUAUAUACAGCAAAAAGUGCAACAACUAACUAUAUUAUUGGUUUGUUACAACUGAAUAUAUCUUUACAUUCAAAAUACUUUGAACAGGUAAACUCCUAUAAUCAUGGAGGAGAAUCCUUUAUCAUGUUUACAUUUAGUUUCCACCAAUAUUUCAAAAUUACCGAAUAAGGCCACUUAAUAAAAAGUUGAGAAAAUAAAUAUUUAUUGAUUUAUUUCAGACAUUGCAUGUGUUAGGAGCAUUAAAUGUGAAAUUUUGUGAAAGAAAAAUCUCAUCAACUCUUAGCUUCACAAUUUUAAACUUUGACACGUGAUUCAAAUAAAAUUUAUAUAAAAAAGAAAUAUAAAUUAUUUGUGUUCAUAUUUUACCCUAUCGAUAUAAAGAAUAACUUUCUAACAAAUGAUCGGUUUUUGUUAUUAUUAUUAUUAGGCUAUGCCUAUGUUGGAACAGAUCUACGGUGGAGUACGAAUUUCAACCACAUACGCAAAAUGAUAAAUAAUAAAAAACUCAUUAUAACUUUGAUCGAGUAGUUACGAAGGAAUGCUCUAUUUUAAAACAACUUCAACAUAACCAAACCCUUAUUAUUAUUAUUGUUGAAAAAAAGAGCAAUAUACUAAAUUAGAAAAAACACGCGCGCUGAUGCAAUGUGUUUUUUCAGAAGCAUUGGAUUUCACCUUUUUAUCUGAAUUGUGAAAAGGGCAAAAACAUCUGUUCACUUGAAAUUCCGCGUGACAGGCACGUGUCCUGGAUGAGGCCGAAAAUACAAUUGCUUUUUAUCUUGCUUUCCUCCUUGAGUCGGCAUUGGCUUUCUCUUUGGCCAGUUUUGUGAAUUUUGUCGUGUAAUUUCAUUUCUGGAUUUGCUUAGUGCGAAAACCACUGGGUUCUAAGAAAACAAGGUGUUCGGUCAAUUGUCUAAAAGAAGUCUACAACGCUGCCCAUUACCACCUCCCCCCGUUCACAAUGAGUGGGAACAACAUAAACUCGGUGUUCUACGCCGGGUCGUAUCAUCCGAUUCAAGCUGGUAGCAUUGACGGCACCGAUAUUCACCCCCACGAUAACGCCAUUUGUCGUGCUCUGCUCUGCUCCUCCGCGGGCCUCUGUAUGUACUUCUAUUUUCUUUAUUCCUUUUCACUCCCCCCACAACUUUUAAGUAUUCCCAGUUCUCACCCAUUUUGUAUCUUAAUCAUUUGCAGAUGACCCCCUCGGUGACCCCAAGGCCAUUGGUGACCCUCAUUGCACUGUCUUUGUGGGUCGGCUCUCUCAUUUUACUUCCGAAGACACUCUUCGCAAGGUAAGCGGUUUUUUUUUUUUUUUAAAAAAAUUCCGUUAAUUUUCUUCAUAUUCUGCAGUGUUGCAGAAUUGUAUCUAUUUUGGAUUGAAUUAAUGAGUUGAAAAAAUUAUUGUCAUGUGGGUGUUUUAGGCUAUGAGCAAGUAUGGUAGGGUCAAGAACUUACGGUUAGUGAGGGACAAUGGUAAAGUUGCCGUUCUGAAAAUUGUGUUAUGUUGCCAAUAGUUAUGUUUGGAAUGUAACAUCUAACUUGUUCUGGUGCUUAUUGAUUUGUAUGAUGUGCAGUUACGGGUGCAUCGCGUGGUUAUGCUUUUGUUGAAUAUGAAACUGAAAGAGAGAUGCGCCGUGCAUAUGAGGUAUGUGGCUGAUAAUUUGAUUCUUUCUUGCUUUGCCACUUUGUGACUGUUAUGCAAUUUUUGUUUUGCCCUGAAAUGUGAUUCAUUUCAGAUUCUGUAAUGCACCAUAAAUAUCCACACUUUGAUUAUUUGGCCGCACUUGUGACUGUUGAGUCUCAUAUUGGAUAUUUGCUUGAUAAAUGAGGAAUUUAUAUAAUAUGUUAUGUCUGUAUUAAAAUUGGAGUUAUGUCUAUAUUAAAAUGGGAGUUUUUUACCUUCUAGUUGAGCUUUGCGCACGUCCACAAUUUCAAAAUUAAACAAACUCAAACACAUUGAUCAUCCUGGCUGCAUGCAUGCAUUCAGUGUCCCCAUUGAUAGAAAGUAAAGUGAUGGUUUUUUUGUUUUCAUGUCUGCCAUGCAGGAUGCUCACCACUCCAUUAUUGAUGAUCAUCAAAUUUUAGUUGAUUAUAACAGGCAACAGUUGAUGCCUGGGUGGAUUCCAAGGAGGUUAGGUUAGUUGUUCAUUUUAUUUACUCUGGUCAGCAUCAGCACCAAUAAAUUUGAAUCAUAUAAUUUUUGUCUCCUUUUUCCGUCAAGCAGGAGGAGGCCUUGGAGGUAAGAAAGAGUCAGGGCAGCUUCGCUUUGGAGGAAGAGAAAGACCAUUUAGAGCUCCUUUGUAUGUUCCUAAUUUUGGGGUUUUAUGUUUUGUCAUAAAUUUUUUCAUUAUGUGAUUGAAUGGAAUUGUUAGCCUUUAAGCAAUUUUAGUUAUAAUUUACUCUAAUGAAAAAUGCUUUCUAUUAAAUCUUCUUUCCGUUCAUUUAUUUACUUCUUUAGGUGUUAUAGGCAAUAGAUUCAAUGUUAGUUUUAUUGUUCUUUUUUGUUUGCUUUUGGUGUUUAGUGGGUGUGUGAGUGGUUGGGGAAGAAGAAAGCUUAAGUGGAGCUACUGGCUGGAACAGGAAAAUAAUUGGAAUCAUCUAACUUUUGAUGGACUGAUGGAAUGAUACCUUGUGUGGACAGACCGUACUCAUUUUUUGUAAUAUUUCAAUAAGUUACAAAUCUAUUUUGUCAAGGAACUAUUUCAUUCCUCUCUUUCCGGAAAGCCAUCCAGGUGCAUUAUUUAGACACUUAAAGCAGCUGAUCUCAUAUUCUCACUUUUACGUAGAAAGCUUUGUCUUUUCUUCCAUCAUAUUUGACACACAAUUACCCUUCGACAGCAAUUAUCUGGGAAAUUCAUUUUCUUUGUGUUUGGCUUGGAUGUAGUAUAGUGUACGAAUUUGAUUUAGGUAUGUAUACUUGGCAAGAAAUGGAGGGAGAUGUAAUCUUUUUGUGCAAUCUUUUUGUGCAUUGCUAUAUCUGAACUUAUCCUACCGUGUAAAACUGUUACACAAAUGUUUGAAACAAGGUAACUUUCCCAUCAAUUACUUAGGAGCUGCCUUGAGAACUGAAAGAUAUUGUUUCUUUGUGGCUCCACCCAAGAAUCCCUUUGAAUCAUAUUGUAUUGACUGAAAGGCACACUCUCUAUUAUAGUUCCUUAGGCUGUUCAUCUUUUGGCUGUGCUUAUUUGUCAGGCUAGCACAACUGACAACUGCUACUCGUACAAGGCAAUAGGAGUUUAGCCAGGAAUAGUAUUGUUUUUGGAAAAAAAAUGAAUUAAAAAGUUCAUUUCACUUUGUAACUAUAUGGUGGAAAUUUUCAGUACAUUAUUUUUAUGUACAUAUUUCUGACUUUGUUCAUUCUCUUGCAUCACCAGGCGUCCAAUUCCAUUUGAUGAGCUAAAGAGGCUCGGCAUUCCUCCUCCACCAGAAGGAAGAUAUAUGUCACGUUUUCAGGUAUUGUUUCUUUCAUCUUUUUUUUUUUUUUCUCUUUUUUAGGAUUCUGAUAACCUAGAUUCCCGCACCGACCCGGACCAUGAGUCCUGCCCGGCCAAGCCCUAAACUAGGUGUCAGUCAGGUGCCCCAACUCCAUGAACUAUGAGACGGUGGAAUUUUUAAGUUCACUAGAAGGAUUGAACCUGAGACAUCAGUACGACCAAGCACUAUGUCUCAAGCCCACAACCAACUGGGCUGCCCCCUUGGAGUGUAUUGUUUCUUUCAUAUUACAGACCUUUUAGGGCACAAAAUACUGUUUCCAGGAAUUCUUUUUUCAUUUUGGUUCUUUAAUUUUCAUUGUAGGUCCCAUCACCCCCUAGAAGCAAAAGGUGCUCUAUAGAGAAGGAAGAAAACACUCGCAGUAGGAGCUGGAAGCACAGUGAAGAACGUACUAACAAAAGUAGCACCAUGGAGAAGGAAGAGAAACACUAUAGAAGCUCUUUGGAGAAGGAAGAAUCACAUCGUAAAAGCUCUAUGGAGAAGGGGGGUCGCAAAAGAAGCUUUGUGGACAGAGAAGAAAGCCAUUACAAAAGAAGCACUACAGAAGGGGAAGAGCGGUCACGGUCUCAUAAGAGGAGCUCUACAGACAAGGAAGAGAGCUCUCACCAAAGGCGGAGCUCCAAGGACAAGGAAAAGCACUCCCACCACGGCCAUAGUAAACGGUCUCGCAGACGUGAGAGAAGUUCAAAUGGUGAGGAUCACUAUACUGAUUACUGAGAUGCUGAAUGCUGGCCACUAUAGGGAAACGUUUGGUUUCAGUUAACUGCAGGUUUGAGUUGUGUAUGUAUAAACUGAUGAGUCCAUGCACUCACUUGGGUAAAAAAUAUGGAUAACUUGCUUAAAAUUGUAAAAUACCGAUUUCUGAAAAUCUGAAGCUAAUACUAUAUCGCUGUUGUUCAAGUGACAUAAUGGCUUCAGCACCUAAACGGAUUGUGGAUCAAUGUGAUUUCAGAUAUCCCAUAAUAGCUAUCUAUUUUGCCAAAAACUGCUCCUGCACUAAAUUCCAAAAUCCAGCGCGCCUAAAAACAGCAUAAUUAUCAAAUCUUUUAGCUGAUUCAUGGUCAAUUUAAACAUAGAGGUAAUUCAAAAAGGAAGAAGGGGUAAAAAAUCAAAUUCAAAGACCAAAUUAAAUGAGGGAAUUAUUCAAACCUUCACUUGUUAGGAAGUUUGUUCUACUAUUGAUUGAGAUCAAGCUCUCUGCAAAUGCUUCCACUGUAUAAUCUGUUAAAUCUUCUUGAAAACCAUCAAUCACAUAAUCUUUAUAUGUUCCAUCAAAAAGUACAAAUUUCUCGUCUAAAACUGACAAAAUAAAAUGACUGGCCUUGAGGGAACACAAUGGCUGCAAUACAGGAACUGAAUUGGCUGAUGACAAUUUUCACACAUUCUGUCAAUGGAAUUAAACAAAGACAGUCUCCUAUGACUCUAAUUGAAUGGGAUGAAGAUAGAGAAUGAUCAUCAAAAUCAUUUUCAUUGGGCAAGGCUAAAAUCAUCUUUAUACGGAUUGAAACUAAUUCUUCGAAUGUGUCGAGUUUGGAAAAUUUUGAACUAUGGUUGGCUUGAUCUCAAAUUUCGGAUACGUAGGCAGUCGAAACGAUACAACCAUUCUGGAUCCUUAUUGAAGGAUUAUAUUUGGGACGAUGGUUCGUUGGUAGUCCAAAUCUUCGCCGAGGUGGAGAAUUGUUGAAAAAUCAAAAAAAAAAUUUAACAUGCAUGAUCUUCUAGCCGCAAUGUUGGAAGCAUUAAUGAAGCAUGUGGAUGGAAUUAUGGAAAUUGAAACCAAAUGAGUUGGUGAAGCAUGUGACAAUUUGACAAAUUCACAACAACUUUGACAAUUUGGCAAAUUGUUGGUGAGCACCGAAUUUGUAACAAUGCAAAAUACUUCCUAUAAAUAGAGGGAGUUUUUCAUUUGUUUAGCAUCCUAAAUUUGUCAAGCUUAUAAUUUUCUAAGAUUUUGAGAGAAGUGUGUCUGUGGAAUUUAUAUUUCCUACAGAGUGUGAGAGUAUUGGGUAUAUUUGUGUUUCUAGGAAGUGAAAUUCGUUACUCAAAUAUUGUACUCUAAUAAUUGUUAGUAAUAUAAUUAUUUUUCUCUUACUCUUGUAGACGUAGGCAUAUUGCCGAGCCACGUAAAUUUUGUGUCAUUUAUUUUUCUGUAAUUAUUUGGUGCACUUGAUUCCGCAUUCCGCGCACAACACGUGCAAAAACCAAAGUGGAUAUUUCUUUUGAGUGUGAUUGCCCAAGAAUUUUGUUAAAAAUAUUGAAAUUUGGUUUCAAAAAUUUUCCAAGUAUAGUCCUUCAAGAAAAGUCAUGCAUACCUACUAUAUUCUCUCUGUAAGAUUGAGAAAUUCACAAAAGCUUGAAGUCAUCGAUUGACUGAGCAUAACCAGAGCCAUGUACUGUUGUAUCUAUUUUGUUGAAAAGGUUCAUAGUCUUUUGGUAUUAUUCUCUUGACCUCUGCGGUGCAACAAUUGUAUAUAAAGAAAGCUUUUGUUUGAGUUUCAACUUCAAUGGAUAAGCACAACAAACCAUUACAAGAACAGUGGAUCCAAACGGAAUCACAAUAGCCUUUUCCAAUUGGGAAAUUAAUAAGCCGAUCGGCCAUAAUAAUUUUGCUGUCCAGGUCUUUACAGAGAAGAGAGUUUCUUACUAAACCGUUGUGAAUACCAGCAAGAACCAGUGUUUGUCUUUGUUGGUUUUGAGCUCGGUGCAACUUGAGAAACCAGGUAUUGGUUAUCAAAGCCAUGAAUGACUCCGAUAAACAUUUGAAUCUGUAUAAAGACUUGGUUUGCAGUUUUGCAAAUAUGUCAACAAUGAUAUCCAGGGGAAGAGUCGCCUUUGCUUCUUCUGCAAGUUAAGCAAAUACCCUAGGUUUUAAUUUGUCUUCACAUAUUCGCAGCUUGCCAACUUCAGACUUAAUGCUGGCUCAAUUCUCUACCCAGACCACACCCGUGUGAGCCAGGCUGAAUUGAUACUAUUUAUGAAUCUUCAAUUAAUGAACUUUUUGUACUUUAAGAAUAAAUCUUUGUUAAAAUGAGAUGUCUUUAAAUAGCUUGAACCUUCAAGGUCAAAGUGGAAGAAAGAAAACAUAUUAUUUAUUUAUUAAUUACUAUCCUCGUGCUUAUUGUAUAAAACUAAUUAAUAUUAUUCUUUCUUCAAAAUUAUGAGAUUUCUACGAGUAGCCACGCAAACAUGAGAUACCAUACUACACGUAGCCACUGAAAAGUUCCACGCAAACAUGAUUUAGUUGACGGUAAAAGGGUGCAGUUACCUCCACAAAUUAAUUAUGGCAGGCUUCUCCUUCAUCAAGAAGUAGCCCGCAGCAUUUUUCAGAGACGAAUCGCUUAUUAUAAUAAAUGCUUGCUUUGAUUUCUUCACCACAUUUUGGUAGUAAAUUUGUAUAAAUACAAAUAUGUAUUCUCUUACAGAAAACAAAACAAUAAUAAAAAGAUCUUUGCUUUGAUUUUGUUUUUGGUGAAACAAAACAAAACAAUAUAUUUGAUUUCUUCACCACAUUUUCGCUUAUUAUAGAUCUUUGCUCCACAUUGCUCUAGAAAAUCAUGAGUUUCUUGAGGUAGUGGAGGUAAAGAAACAACAUCUUCAGCUACAACAAUCAUUGAGGAGGAGAGCACGGCCAUUAUUCCACUGACAAGCAAAAUGGCAAUCUUCAUAAAGGAUUGAAUCUCAAGGUUUGCCAUAUUACUUGUAUAUGCUUUUUUUUUUUCCAAUCUCUAGUGUGUUUUUGGGUUGGUAAUUUUUAUGAAUGAAGUUGAAAGUUCAAAUGAGGCUCAUCGAUUUAUUGGAAGAGAAAUGAAGGUUUUAAGAUUUUAAAUAACGCGUUAUGGGAACGUAUGUUUUAUUUGAAGUUCAUUUAAUUGAAUUUAAUGAACAAAGCUCCCAACGCUUCACAUGUAGUCUACUCCAUAUUUAUGAUCAAGCACACUUCUAUCUCUAGUAGUUUUUUUAAUUAUUCUGCUUUCCAUCCUGGACAAAAUGGACCAAGCCCUCCUGCUAGCUAUUCUAAUUGUCCGAAUUUAUUCACAAAGGAUAACAAAAUGAUGUGUGCUUAGAUUGACUGAUUGAACUAUUUAAGCAAACAGACCUAACAAGAACAAAACAGAGGAUUUUCACGUUUAGCAUGAAAUGUACAUUCACAGGAGCAACAAAUCGGAGAUGGCUCUACUUCAAUCUGGUAACUGUAGAAGAUUGCUGAUACAAAGCUGACCUUCGUGAUUACUGCUUCAGCGAUUCAGUGACCAAAUCCCAAUUUCCAUUGUUGUUUAAGACUCGAAAUGAACAUAAAAAAUACAAAUCUGAAUCACAAAGCUUUCGGUAAGUGUAACACACAAACACACGAGGUUGAGAUAAAAGCAUAAGAAAGUAAUGAAAUAGAAAUUAAUUAGAGUGUCGGACUCACAGAAGAAAAUAGGAUAUGAGGAAAGAUGGAACGUUGAUUUGGUCUCUGCAAAUUCUCUUACUACUUGAUUCCAGUUGCUU